UUUUUACUCCCCCUUCCCCCCAAAGAAAGGGUUAGCAGGAAUGUUGGAUUUCAAUCAUAUGGUGGGUUUUAAUGACAUUUUAUACUGCAUUUUUUUUUUUGAUUUUCAACUAAAACAAGCAUUCAUUUUGUUUCCUAAGCUGCUUGUCAUCUCAUCGUAAAUUGUUAUUGCAAAUACUAGGGCAUCCCUGAGCAAGCUGAAGCUCCACCUGUGGCCCGUGCUCCUGUAGUUGGGCAAACCACUAACCCUGCAGAACAACCUCAACAGCCUGCACAAACGGCAGCUAUUCCUACAAGUGGACCAAAUGCAAAUCCCUUAGAUCUCUUUCCCCAGGUAAAAUUGUCAUGCGGUAGACAUUUGAUAAAUUUGAUGAUAGGCAAAUGAAUCAGUGACUUGACAGCCUUUAAUUUAUACAGGGCCUUCCCAACAUGGGUGCAAGUGGUGCUGGGGCUGGCUCUCUUGAUUUUUUACGGAACAGUCCACAGGUCUCUCUCUUUCUCAUAUUUGGUUGUAUAUGGGCUUGUUAGCAUGACUGUCAUGUAAAUACCUACCUAGAACUACACUCAGUUUGCAAUUCUCUUUUCAGUUUCAAGCUUUGCGAGCGAUGGUGCAAGCCAACCCACAAAUAUUGCAGGUUAUUUUCUGGUCCCUUGUUUCCCUCUUCAAUCCUAGUGUGUUUUUCAUCGUCUUUUUCAUCUUUUGUUUUUUACCUUUCACCUUUCCUCAAUGUCUCCCUUUUUUAUAUUUUUGGCAGCCUAUGCUUCAAGAGUUGGGGAAACAAAAUCCUAAUUUAAUGAGACUUAUUCAAGAGCAUCAGGGUGACUUUCUUCGCUUGAUCAAUGAACCUGCUGAAGGUGGAGAGGGGUGAGUCUUCUUGUUUUUACUUGCUCAUUUCUUGAACUUAUAUACUGUAUGUAUAUCAAGUGCUUAUUUGACAUCUCCUGUUGUAAAGAAACAUUUUGGGGCAAUUAGCUGAGGCGAUGCCACAAGCUGUGCAAGUCACACCUGAGGAACGUGAAGCCAUAGAACGGGUAUGUCGUCUUUUACAUAAAGGCUGACUUGGAUGUGUUCACUAUUCUCUGUCAUCAUGGAUUAUUUAGCUAUCUUCCCCACUGCCUCUGGAAAUGCCUUCCAUUUCCUUGGCCUUUAUCUGAGUUAUGAAAUAUGCAUCACAUCUUUAUUUUAGGUAAUGGUUUUGCUUUUAGAUGAUUAAUAAACUCAAAUUUGUCGCAUUUAUCUUGUGCCUACAAAUACUUUUGUAGUCUCCUUAUUCUCUUGUUCAUUCCGCAUCUCUUGCAGCUUGAAGCAAUGGGGUUUGACCGUGCAACUGUGCUCCAAGUGUUCUUUGCUUGCAACAAGAAUGAGGAACUUGCAGCCAACUACCUUUUAGAUCAUAUGCAUGAUUUUCAGGAUUGAGUUGGUAAAAGAAAUGGCUUGGGGAAGUACAAUAUCAUUUUCUCUUUCGUUCUUUGGGGGUCCAUUGUCAUUCAUGUUCCCCCUCCCCUCCCCCCAAAACUUUACCGACUUUAUUCUUAAUCAAGUGAUGUAAGUGUUUGGUGUAGAGACAAGGGAUGUGAAGAUGUUAACUUCAUUUUUUUUCCUUUUGUCUUUUUAUUUCCGAAGGACCCAUUAUUUAUAACGUUAUAUACAAGUUUCUUUCUAAGCUUGUGUGUUUUGUACUUCACAUUUUAUGCUAUUAGAAGCACUUGCCACAAGGAGCUCCACCCAACUUUCAAGUUUUUCGAUCAACACUCUUCCCUAUACCUUGUGCAUGAAUUUGGUAGCCCGUCAGAAUGGUUAAGAGUUGGCAGUGGAAACUCUAGAACCGUGGAAACAGUUUGAAUAAUAUGCAGUGAAAUUUAUGGUCGCAAAACAUGUAAAAUUUUUCUAUUUUCCAAAUAUGUUGGCCAUGUAUAACACCUUUAGUGUAUCCGUAAUAUACAUUAUCGAAUAUCAAAAUUAUCGACGCCUCCUCAAAGUAUUAGCGUCUUGUUUCAUAUUACGUAAAUAAAUCUCAAUAUCAAUAUCUUAAAUAUAGCCAAUGAUAAUUUAUAUUUCAUAUUUGUUUAAUUAUUUUGGCCCCUAUUAAUUGACUCAGACUCAAGGACGGAUAUACAGAUCAAACCAUCAACACACCAGAAUAUGCAUGUAACACCUCACACUUGACUCAAUAGUCAGAUCCAAAUAUGUGAUGCCACAUUAUGUUGCCGAAGUAACUCAAGUUAUCUCAUUACAUAAUCAUAAAAUUUAAAUCAUAAUUACCAUUCAAACAAAUUUAACCAUAAUCAAUCAUACUAGCAAGUAUUCAUUUGUAAUGUUUAAGUUUCAAAUUCAUCGUUAUACGGAGUUAGGAAAAGUCAAAUUUAGAGUUAGAACUUGAAUCCAAACUCAAUUAUUAAAUUUCAAUGCUGUGUCUUGAGACAAGUCUCAUUUUAAUUUAGGUAUUUUAGCUUCGAAGUUAAUCUGUCUCGAGACAUUAGAAAUUGUGUCUCCAAAUUAUGUCUCAAGAUCAACCUCCUAUGUUUUCCUAUUUUUGCUUCAAUGUUUGAAUGUCUCGAGAUAUGGGGUUCUUGUCCUGAGACCUAGAGUAGGACAAAAUCUAUUUAGUUUUGAUGUUCUCCUGUCUUGAGACAAAGAUCAUUUGUCUUGAGACCUAGGAACAAUUGUCUCGAGCUUAUACAAAUAUGUCUCGAGACCUGAGGCUCUUGAAUGCAAAAUUUAAAUGAAAUUUGAUCUAGCGGUCUCGAGAUUCGGUGAACAAAUGGUCAAAAAUCCUAUACUUCUAAGUGUUAAAUACCUUAACCAAAUGAACUUAAACCUACCUAAAACUUACCACUAAACAUAUUCAUCCUAUUAACCUAUCUAAACAUGUUUAAACAUUACCAAAUUAUAACCUUCAAUAGAUCAUUUUCAAACCAGCCAAUUUGCACAUUCAAACUCACAUAAUCAAGCAUUAUUAACUUGUAAUCAAGAGAUGAAAUUCAACCAUAAAGACAUUAUAGGCCAAAUUACCAAAAGUAUCAAAUCAUCGUUAAGAGUAACAACCAAACCAACUUAGGUACAUGCCAGAAGACUCAAAACACAUAUAAAUACAAAAAGUAUUGAGAUGCCUUCUGAGCUAAGUUAGAGAAAUUAGAUUCUUGGGCUUGAGUUUAUUGAAGCUUUUGCUUGUGACCUGCGCACAGAACAAACAAAACUAUACGCUGAGCAAUAAAGUUUAGUAGUUCUAACAUGAUAUAAAACAACAAUCGAUUAUAAGCAAAAUAAACAAAUACAUUUAAAAUGAAAUUCAACCAUAAUCUAAAUCAUUUUUAAAUUCCUUGUCUCAUGCUUUUAUUAUCUUGCUUUAUGCUUAUUAUCAUUUCAUAUAUCAACAUUUAAAUUCAUCUAUCAUUCUAUCUCAAUUACAUGCAAAUUUAGGCAUAACAUAUAAGUCAUUUCACUUUUUCAUUUCUUACCCAAAUCCAUUUAUUCGUAUUAUCACCAUAUCGAUCCUUGAUCGCCUCUCGAUGUGCAAACGUCUAGAGUGUAAAAUCGUGCAAAAAUAUAAAGAUAAUAAUUAAGUACAGUUUCUGCAAGCGAACAGGUCAUAUUGUAAUAUAGUUAGUUUACAACGAAACAAUUGGUAAGUAUUCCGAGGAUUGUACCUAAAGGAUUGCAGAUUGGAGAAAUUCACUAUGAAAUCAAUUACAAAAAAUAAUUACUAAUUUAAUUGAGUUACAAAUUAGUAGUGUUAAUUAACUAAGACUAAAGCUAACCCUAGGUUAAGUCAAUAGGUUUUUCCUAUUCCUUAUUUCGAUUACGCGAGCUACUUAGCCUAGGAUCAAUUGUGCUGCCUGAUUAUUAACUAAGUCAAUAAUUACCUUUAAUUAAGUAUUUACCAUUAUUAGCUACGAAUACCCUCUUAGUCCCAUCUUCACUAAGGAUUACCAUCUAAGAUACCCAAUCGGUCUCACUUAGGCAUACGGAUACCCUCUCGGUCUCACCACUUGGCAUAAGUUUUACUCAACAGGAUACUCUCUCGAUCUCACUUGUGUAGGUCUUCUACUAGGGGCGUCACUUCCUAGUACACUAAGUACUGUUGAAUAAAUACUCAAGUUCAGGUUAUUAUUUACUUAAUCAAUUAAUUAGGUUAAACAGUUGAAACAUGCAAGAUAUGUAUAAAGCAUAAACUCAUUUUGAUAUUCAUACAAACAUUCAAUAAUCAAAGUUAAAGAAAGAGAUAUAACUAAGAGAAUAAGGGAAGAGAAUGCUCAUGGAUUAAUCGAUGUAAAAGUGCAACUCCAGAACAAUAUCUGUUCACGAUAGUCUCACUUUGAAAUAGGAUCUUCUAAUUAAGCAAACAUAAAAAUAACUAAGUAAAAACUAAGAGAGAAAUAAAAGCUAAAUAAUAAUCUAUGUAUCCCUCAAUUUGUGUUUAAUGUGUUGCUUUGAGAUAUUAUUUAUAGAUUACAUGUAUUAUGACCUAAUUAAGUUAAGUAAAGACUACUAAACAUGUUAAUUUAGGUUCUACAUAUGAAAACACCCUCAGUUGAUAUUUGGCCUUGUUGCAGCUGUGUUGCGACACCCUCUAGCUUGUGUCGUGACAUCGUAGGCAGUAUAUUUUUUUUGGCACGUUCAGGGCUACGUCGCGACAUCCCCUGGUGUGUGUCAAGACAUAGAAGGUAGUAUGCUCCAUAGGUAGUUUGGAAGGUGUGUUUGCGACAUCCCAACCGUGUGUUGUAACAUCAAAGGUAAUCCACUAACUCCUCGGCCUAAAUUAAUGUCAUGCACACUUAAUCAACACAUUAGUCUUCCUUUAGGCCCAGAUUGGCCUAGAAGGUCAUAAAACACAUAAAAAUGCUCAUUUUAUUAACUAAAUACUCUAAAUAGAAACUUAAGAAAAACAUUACUUAUUUGCUAGAAAACAAGCUCCCUUAAGUGUCAAAAAUGACCUAAUUUGCCACAACAAAUUGUGGCAAAUCAACCCUCAAGGCUCAUAAUAAUCGUAUCACAUGGUCUUUCACAUGCUAUCAUCAAUGUUAUAAUGAUCAUAUACAAAUUUCAAUUCCACAUUCAAUAUCAUUUACCAAUUUUCAUGUUUUCUAAUCCUUAUUAACUGGACAUAGACUCAAGAUGGAUACACGAAUCUUCCAACCAUUACAACAAUAUAACUAGCACUGAGUGCAUCAUUGGUACAUCUGAAGUAUAUUGCGCUCUGUGUCUUACCGGUAUAAACUGAAGUAAAUAUAUAAAUGUGCCUAGCACCUCAUCGGUACAUCCAAAGUGUAAUGUAUGCUCCGUGCCUCAUUGGUAUAAAUCGAAGUAAAAUACCAUGCACUAAUCCUAUGGCAUGCCAACUAUACCUGACUAAAUUCGAAACCGUUAAUUGGGUAUUCAUUGUUUCAAAACACAUAUUUCUCAUGUCACAAGUCAACAUAUUCGAUGGAGAAACUUUUAGAAACACUUUCUCACCUAUGACAUAUUCAAUUUCAACAUCGGCCCCUUGUUUGGUAAUUUUAAGUUGGUAAAAUUUUUGGAAACCUUUCAAGAGUGGAGGUUCAUUUCUUUGGCAAAAGUCUAUGAAAUAGGCUAUAAGGAUCCACCAAGACAGGGUCGAUAACUACCCUGGUGCGAUGUCGUACUCUGAAAGCAUUGAAAAAGAACGGAUGUAGGGGCAGAUGGAAGCCAACUUCUAAUAGAAUAAGAGGAAGGAUGAAAUCUUGAGUGUUGUCAUUGAGACAACACCUCGGUGGUAUUUUGAUGUUGUAGGAAAAGUUCAGACAACAAAAGCCUCAGGCUAUUUAGAAUCGAUCCGUUUCUUCUUGGGUUGUACUACAUUCAUACAUAGGAGUGGAAGCUCGGGGAAGACUAUUUUCAAGCUAUUGAGGUCCAAAGAUGGUGUAAUUUGUGGGGGAUUAAAGUUUGGCUACUGUAACACCCCUAACCCAUCUCCGUCGUCGAAUUAGGGUUACGAAGCAUUACCGUACAAAGCAGAACGUUUAACUUCAAUAUAGAAUAUUAAUUCAAAUUACAAAGUGAAUAACAAUUACACAAUUGAAUCAUAGCCAUAAUACUAAUUUGGGCCUUAAACCGAGCAUUUGGGGCCCUAAAAAUGAUUUAAAAAUGAUCGGGGAUUGAUUUGAAUAAAUCAUAAAAUUUUGAGAAAAACAUAAAAAUUGUGAAAACAAGGGUCACACGACCGUGUGACAUAACCUAGACCAUGUGACUCCAAACAUGGCCAUGUAGCUAUCCACACAUUUUUGUGACUAUAACACAUGCUCGUGUGUGCAGACCGUGUAACUCACUGACUUGGUAUACACGGUCGUGUGUCGGACCGUGUACCAGAUCGUGUAACUCACUGACUUAGUACAAGGUUGUGUCUUAGAUCGUGUAUAACCUGUACCUAAAAUAAAAAGUGACACACAACUAUAUAGCCAAGCCAUGUGAGUUACACGGCCGUGUGACAGCUCGUGUCCCAGGCCGUGUACUCCAUAAUUAACCCCUAAAAUAAGCCAUUUCAAAACCAAAACUUGUCCAACAAGCUACUCCAUUUGUACAUACAUUCAAUGGACCUAAACACACUUCAAACAUUCAUAAACAUACCAAUUCAAUCAACCUAAAUCCUAUAACCAUAUGCCAUUCAAAGGCACCUCAUUUCAUACCAUAACAAUAUCAAUUAAGAACAAAACUACAAUGCCACAUCUCAAACACAAAACAUAGGUAAAAUAGCUACCUAAUGACAAAAAUUGUCAAUCCGUUCCACCAUUCAAAUUAAGCAUAUCAAAAUGACCAUAUUCAUAUAACUUUUAACAUAUAAACAAACCAACUACACCAUAUAUGUAUACAACCAUUUAUAAAAGUAACCAAAACACCCAAAAGCAUAAAUGACCUUAAACCCGAUACAUGCCAUUUAUAACCAUAGUUCAAAAUAACCAAAAACAACCAAAGUGAUUGCUGGAUAGUGUGAUAAGACUCCGAAAAGGUUCCAAUCGAUCGAGCUUCUGAUGAUCUACAAAACAAAGGAAAAACAACCACAUAAGCAUUUAAUGCUUAGUAAGUUCGUAUUAGGUAAACUUCAACUUACCGAACAUUAAUUAACAAUCCAUACAAACAUGCUCAUUUCAUCAAUUAACAUAAAACUUUCCUAUGCACCAUAAUUCACAUGGUUAGUAGAAAUCAUGAAAACAUAACAUCUCAUAUACUAAGAAAUAAAUUCCAUACAUUUCUUUGUCAUCACAUAGCAACAUCUCAUUCAUUACAUUUCAUAAAUUCAUACCAAUUUUACCUUUUCAAAUGAACAUUAGCAAUAAUGGAUUCUUAUACAUGCUUUUCCAUCAUCCUUUUCUUACCCCUUGAACCAUUUAGAAUUUCAUCGGAUACUUGCGAAUGCCCAGACAUAGUGUGCCUUUUCAUGUAAUCGUAACCUUUCCUUUUCAAUAGUGCUCACAUGAGCUGUAAAAUGGGUUUGCUCACACAAGCAAUAAGUCCGAAUGUUAGCUACUCGGUGCUAUUCACACGAGCUGUAGAAAAUUCGUAACAAAUGUAGGACCUCAGCCAUCGGUAGAACAUUCAAGACCAACACCCAAAAUCGUAUAACCCUAAUGACAUGCCAUUUGUAUCCUAAGAAUUCUUAAGGUUCAAACAGGAUUACUUAACCAUUAAUUGUUCAAAACAUCGUGAUAUUUUCGAGUCUGAUUUAUAUUCAACAUGUUAUAACAAAUAAUCAAAUCAAACUAUAAUUAAUAAGAUUAUAAUUCAUACGAACUUACCUCACUAUCACGAUCAUUUAACAGAAUCAAAAAUUAAUCCAAUAUCUUAGCUUUGCCUCGAUUUAAAACCAAUUGUUAUGUAUCUUGAUCUAAAUAAUAAUUUCAUUCAAUCAAGUACUUCAAAUAACUUCAAUUAUUCAAUUUAAUAUAUAAUUCAUAUUAUCUUAAAAUUACUCCACCUAUUUUAACUUUUUCACAACUUAGUCCUUAAGCUAAUAACUUGAAAUUUAACCAUUUUUUAACCUAAUCCAUGAUAAUCGAUUCUUUCCUAAGUUUAAAUAAUCUACAUUUUUCCAUUAUUUCAUACAAUAUACAUGAAAUUUAUGAAUUAAGCAAUUGAAUCCCUAAACCUUACAUUCAAAAAAUUCCACUUAACAAAUCAUGAUCAUUUAACAACCAAAUUUAAUUAUCUUACACUUAUAAUCUCAAACACAUCAAUUUCAUUCAUGGAAAAACCUCCAACCUUUAACAGCUUUGCAAAUUACUCCCCGGGCUAAAUAGAUUAAGCUAAAAGGAUAACAAAACCAUAAAAAUCAUUAAAAAUGGGACUAAAAAACAUACUAUGCAUGAACAAAACACCAUAGUUGAAAGCUCCCUAUUCUCUACAAUGGUUUUUGGUUUGAGCAAAGCAAAAUUGGAAAAUAUGAUAGCCAUUCAUCUUUUCUUUAAGUCAUUUAUUUAAUUAUUUACUAUUUUGCCCUUAUGUUAUAACUUAAUAAUAAACAUAAGCAUGCCCAUAAUUGUCCGCUAUCAACAUGUAUGGUGUAAUUACCAUCUAAGUACAUCAUCUUGAGAUUCCAUAGCCAUUUGAAUCCUUUAACUAAUACAAAUCAACUUUUGUACUUUUUUUAAUUUAGUCAUUUUUACCUAAUUAACCAUUUAAACUUCAAAAUUUCUUAAUGAAAAUUUAAUAAUACCUUAAAUUAACCCUAUAGACAUUAAAUAAAUAUUAAAAUAAUAACUCAUUCUUCAGAGUCGUGGUCUCGAAACCACUAUUUUUGAUACCACUAAAAAUAGAUUAUUACAGCUACUCUGGUUACGGCCUUUACCACGAAUACUCAUCCUUGACAUUCUUGUAUGAAAAUAAGAAAAAGGAAUGAUAAAUACAAUUAAAUAAUAUUACCUUCAAAGAAUCUAGAAAAUCGGAGAAGACGAAGAUAGAAAGAGAAGUCGAGAAAACUGUUAAGAAAAUAUGAAGGUUUGACGAAUGUGUAGAAGAAAGCUUAGAGUUUUUGUUCUAUAGAGAUAAACAUGCUCAAGAAGUUACUUUGUGAAAAUUUUUUACAUUCUCCAAUGCAAGCUUGACAUUGGUCAAAGAGGUAACCAUGCGGUGUCUAUACCAUAGUGUUUAACUGCCAAAAUUCGAUUUCAUUCAGAGAAGCAGUCUGAUGAUAUCUUUUUAAGACUUUUGAAGGUUAUGUCAGUAAGAGGGAAAAAAACUUGAAGUGUGGGUGAGGGAAUCUAUAUCGUCGUUGAUUUAUGCUUGGCGUGAGCAACCAAACAUCAUGGUAAUUAAAAUCCUACGGGGGAUAAAAAUUUCGAGGAUAAAAUUUUAUUAAGGGGGAAAGAGUUGUACCAUCCCAGUUCUAGCGGGCACAAGGUCUGGCGUAGUCAUUUAGAAAUAUGUUGGCGGAGUAAUAUUCGCCAAAGUACCCCUUCUGGCAUAUUGAGUUGGUGGAUACAAUUAUGAGCUUAGGUUAGCGAGUGCUCCGUGCUAGAUUGCUAUGAUUUGUUGGAAAUAGGAUGUAAUCAAGUAAAUCAAUAUUAAGGGUAUGAAUCAACGUCAGAGGUAUAGUGCACCCUUUUCUCUGUUGUAUUGUGCAGGUUAAGUUACAAUGUAAGCUGGUUAGGGUUUAACCAAACGUGAACCAAGAUAGUUAAUUGACGAGGGAAAUACUUAAUUAGGUUUCUCGAAAGUUGUAAACUUUGAUAAGACAAUUCAAUAGUGAUGUGACAUUUGUCAAGUUCCAAUAAAGACCUAGAUUAUAUUAAUAGGUUUUCUAAUUUGAAUAAAGAAAGUUCUCUUCUUCUUUCUUCAAACAUUGAAAACUAAUGUUGGAUGGAAUAGAAGCAUUCCUUUAAGCUAGAUCUAAAACCCUGUAUUCUACUAGUGAUAUCUCCAUGUCGAGGUGAGCUUUAUGACUCUAGUAGAUCUACAUGAAUGCCUAAAUAAGUAAGGCAUUGUAUAUGGGUUAUUUGUGUUUCAAAUUAUGGGAAAGGUUAUUUGAAUGAGUUUUGAUGGUGUCCUUUCAUUUUUAAAAGGAAGUGGUUGCAGCAGUUCCUGAGUGGGUCUUGGAUCUAGAACUCAAGCUGCUACACAUUUUUGUCAGGUGAGUCUUUAAACUGAUUCAUGUGUGUAAAAUAUUUAUUUUAGAUGAUUCCGUGAAGAAACAUAUAAACUGCAAACUGAAACUAAAAAAGAAUGGUAUGAUAAAUAUGUUGAUGUGUGAAUAUUAUUCGAGGGUUGCAUGUAUGACUCGUAUGAACCUUAUUGGUAUAAAGUAUGUGAUAAAUAAUAUGAAAUUAAAGCUUGAUUGUAUGACCAUGUUUUGAAUGUAUGAGGUAAACAGUCUAUUAAGUUUAAUGGUGUUAAUGCAUGAAAGGCAUGUUAAGUGUUUGUCUGUUCAUUGCGGUGGAGUCUAAAGGGGUUCGUCGAGACUUUAAACAUGAUCUCUAAAAGGAAAGCCCAUGGCCAUGGCACCAUAUUGUGUAAGACAUAUCUGGUGGUCUAUGACAUCAUAUGGAAAGAACUAAAGAAAAGUUAUUACCUAAUGGGGUUCUCUGCGUGACCUAGGAUGAUGAGGGGCAAACUUCAUGAAAUAUGAGUCUAUACGAAUCUCUGUCAUAAAAACACCAGAAAAAUAGAAUCCUUUAUGGUGAUCUAAAAAAUGGAUGCCGUUGUGGCGAUCUAAGAAAUGGAAGCCUUUGUGACAAUCUAAGAAAUGAAAGCCUUCAUGGCAAUCCAAGAAAUAGAAGUCGUUGUGGCAAUCUAAGAAAUGGAAGCCUUUGUGGCGAUCUAAAAAAACUGGAAGCCUUUGUAGUGAUAUAAGAAAUGGAAGCUUUAUGGCAAAUCUUGUAAAGGAUGCCUUUAUGGCACACUCUAAAGAAUGGCCCUUAUGGCAAACUUCUAAAGGAACGCCUUUGUGGUAGACCCUGAAAGAAAGAAAUGAUUACCAUGGCGUAUUAUGAAGGAAUGGAAUUCUUGGAAAAUAAGAAAAGAACAGUAUGAAAGGCAGAUCCUGGACUUAGAGCCUUCGUGGCAAAGAAUCCUGUAGAGAAAGUUUUUUACGACACACAAAAAUUGGGCUACUCCUAUGGCGUGUUCUAGAAAGGCUUUCAAGAAUAAAUCAUGAAGGACGCCCUUUGUAGCAGACUCUAUACUAAGUUAUCGACGUAUCUCUUACUAUUCUUAAUUGCAAAUAGUGGGAUUAGUAAGUACAAAACGUAUAUAUGAGUAUUCCGAUAAGGUACUAGUUACGAUUAAGAUUUGUAUAGAGAUAAAGUUUUUAAGAGACAUAAUUUUUAAGAGACAUAACAAAGUAAUGAGGAUGUAUUCUAAAAAAUAACGUAAAUAAUAUACGCUCGAGAGGAAGUAUCGAUCAUUUUUGUAUGGGUCUCUUCCUAAAGUUGAGGAAGUUAUGGCUUACUGAACGAAAAAUGCAUGUGAGGUCUCAAAGGCACUGAGGAGAAGGAAAUGGUCUCAGAGUAAGGUAUGGUAACAAAUGUGAAUAAAGAAAUGAAAAUAGAGGUAGCUUUUGUUAGAGAUGUGAUGAAGAAUAAGAGUAAUAAAAUGGUUCUGGAAACAUUAGAUGUGGCGUGCAAGUAUGGUUCAUGUAAAUGGUUUCUGCUUCACUAAGUCUCUUCAAACUUAUCUCUAUGUGUUAUGUUUCAGGAGGGUUUUUAAAGGUCUUGCUUAGAAGGACGAAGACUACAUUGAAGGAGUGGCGUAUUGGACUAUUAUGCAUACAGAGCGAGCUUGAUGGCUAGAUCAAGUUUGCGUCAAUAAUUAUAGAUAUUCCUACGGGAGAUAACUAUAUAGACCAGGGCAUCAAUUCAGUCCUAAUUGUAAUUAAAUUCUCUAUGUAUACCAUUUGAAUUUCCUCAUUGUUUACACUUUUGUAUUUUAUUAAAAAGUUUGAAAUUUAUUAGUUGUAAUAUUUGAUAAUUUGAAUAAUUAGGCUUAAGUACUUUGUAUUAUAGUGGUAUUACCCAAUAUUCAGGUUUGAUUCACCGGACCAAGUUUGGGGUGUUACAAGUUUGGUAUUAGACUUUGAUUUAGCCAGUUCUCAUAUCGAGAAGACAAAAAAGCCUUGUAUUCAUAAUACACCGAACCUAGUAGAGUUCUUCAGGUAUGUUGAGAAUUUUCUCAUUUAUAAGAUUGAUGCGUUAAUAGUGACUUAAUGAAGAGUAAUUAAAAAGAACAAAAAGAUAAUAGAAAGGAAAGUAUCACUUCAUUAAUAAAAAGAGAUGUUAUACAAGGUGGAAGACAAUAAAAGAAAAAGAUGGGAUAAAAAGAAAGAAAUUAGUCCUCUCCUUUUGAGUGCUGUCCAGUUGCCUUGGCGGGGACCUCUUAUGUUGGCUCCAUUUCCCCUGGAAUUUGCUCUGAGUUAUUGAGCUCCUCAAGAUUCUUAUCACCCUUUAUUUUGGGCGAGUUAGGAAUAAAGAAACCAAUAAUUUAUUUCCAUUUUGAUUGGAAAUCUUCCCACUCUUUUAUCUUGGGGUUGUAAACAUCGAAGCCUAAUGAAUUUGUAGAAACAUCUCGAAGAAAGUCAAAGUCCACUUGACUCAGGUCCAUGGGACCAACGACCACUUUGGCUUGGAAAAUAGGUUAGCCUUCCAUUCUGGUAGCGCCUCAGUCAAGUUCCUCUUCAUGUCCUAUUGAUAUUUCUUGAAGGUUUCUUCACUGGAUUGGCAAAGAGUAUCCAACUUAGCCUCAUAGUGCAGCUUCUGGGAUUGGAGUUGUUACCUCAAUGACGAAUCAUUCUUCCCUAGUGACUUGACUCUAUUUUCCAACAGUUUGCACUUAUCCUUUAUUUCCUUGUUUUUAAGCUUUUAAGCCAUGACACAAGAGUCAAGGUGCUCAACCUUGCUUUUAAGAGCCUGCUCCCUACUGCAUUGUUCUUCUAUUGUCUUAAAUUUCAACUGAAUCGACUCCUUGAAGUUGGCAACUGUGGCCCUAUAGAAAUCAUGGAACUCUUGAAGAGAUUCACUCAAUAGCCCGUACUUGACAGAUAGAGUUUUGCAGAUUUGGCCAACUGAAAAAAAUGAGAUGAACCUGACUUGGACACAACGUGAGAACCGAAAGCCUCUUUCCAUUUUUGAGGGAUCAAAUUGUAUUGGCUUUGAAAGAUCAAACUUAAAGAAAAAGGGGAUGACCCUGAAGCAUAAAGGUUGCACUAAGGAAAGAACUCAUCACUUCCACUAGAGGAAGAAUGUGGUGGUUAAGGAAUUGGAAGGAUCAUAGAUCGAUCUAAUAGUAAAGGUUCGACUGGGAUAUCAGCUUAAGAAGGGCACGUAUUUUGGAUAAGGGAACCUACAGUUUGGGCAAACUGGUGCAGCUGGUAAUGAUGGAAUCAACGAAAAAAGAACUUUUGGACUAGGAUUUCCUUUCUUCAGUCUACUCCACUUGGGUUGUGGGGGCUCACUUUCCUUAGUAUUUGGGGUAUCAUCACUUGCCCUAGGCCUCUUCUAAUGCUUCUUAGUCACAGGUUUCUUGGAAUGAGCAGUUGAAUCACUCUCCUUAGUACGAGAUUGGUCCAUAAUGGCCCUAAUAUCCAUCAUUGGUGUUUGAGUGGGAAAAAGUAUGAGAAUUUGGAAUGGAUCCUGCACCACCAAUGUAAGUGUUAGGUUCACUUGGAGAAGAAGAAGUUAGAGGAUGAAUACUAGGAGUAAUGAACCAAUUCUAGGAACGUGUAACAUCCUGUUUUUCAAUGGUGUCAGAAAUAGUGGUUUUGGGACCACAAAUCUGAAGAGUAAUUUCAUUAUAAUUAUUAUUUAAUUCAUAUAAGUCAACUAUAAUUUUAUAUUGAAUUUUUAUUUGAUAAAUUUUAACUUAUUGAACAAAUAGUAAAGAUAAGUGGUUUGUUCCGAAAGUUAAGUGGUUUUGGAAAAUGAGGUAACGGGACCUCAUUUCUGUAAACCGAACUCAUAAAUAUUUUAUUAUUUGAUAUGUGAAAUUCUGGUUCGAAAAUUUUAUUAUUUGACUAGUUAAUUAAAGAAAAAUGACUAAACCGUAAAAGAUGUAAAACUUAAUCACUAUUGAAAUUUAUUGGUUAAGUAGCUUAAUUAGUGUAUGUGUGAGGAUUUAUGAAGUAAAUAUACCAUCUUUUAUUGGUGUGGACGGUGUGAUAGCCCGAAAUAGGGCCUAAUCGGAAUAGUGGUUUCGUAACCACAAAUCCGAAGUGAAAUAGUUUAAUUUUAUAAAUUUUUAUUAGUUACUGAUUGAUUGAAAUAUUGUGUGAAAAUAUGGAUAGGAAAUUUUAAUGCUUUAGUGCUUAAUUGAAUUUUUAGGACUAAAUUGAAAAAAAUGCAAAGUGUGUCUAAUUAGUGAUUAAAUGACUUAAUUGAAUUAUUGCAUGAAAUUGAAAGUGUUUAUGUGGCAAUUAGACCAUAAAUUAGUGUUAUGGACACAAAAGGGUAUUUCUAGAAAAAUAUCUAAGUAAUGGGUCAAGGGCAUUUUUGUCCAAAUUGAAUAAAAGACAAAAUAAAGAUGAAAACAAGUGUUCAUCUUCUUAAAAUCAGACGUUUGCUGCCAAAAAAAUUCAUGUCACCAUAGCUAGGGUUCUUGAACUUCCUAAGCUCAAUUGUAAGUGAUUUCUUGCCCCGUUUUUAAUUAUUUUUGUAUUUUUAUGCUUAUUGAAGCUUGAAUUUCAUGUUUCUACUAUUUAAUUUAAAUGAAAUUAAAGUUUGAAAAUUUACCCAUUCAUGAUAUAAUUGUAAAUUGGUUAAUGAUGUUAGAUAAUGAAUGUUUGAAGUGUUAAUUACAAGUUUUACUAGAUGAAUUUUGAUGGAAAUGUUGAAAAAGGGCUAAAUUGUGAAAGAUGGUAAAGUGUGCAUAAAGUUGUGAUUUUGUGAAAUUGAGGGCUGUUAUGAGCAUGAAAUAUGAUUUAGUGAAGUUUGAAAUUUAAAAAUUUAGUGAAUUUUAUUUUUACGAGCUUAGGGACAAAAGUGGAAUUUUUGAAAAGUUUCGGGGAAAAAUGUAAAUUUGCCAAAAUGUUGUGUAUGAAUUGUAUUUGAAUGAAAUGUUGAUAAAAUGUAUUAAAUUGUGUUAAUAUAGAUCAAGAAAGAAGAAAUAGUGGAAGUGAUCGGGGAAAAGAGAAAGUUAUCGACUAAAUUACAAAAAAUAGUCGUUUUGCAUCCGAGGUAAGUUAUAUGUAAAUAAUAGUUAUAUUUGUAUAAAUUGUGAAUUAUAUUUGAUAUGUGAAUUAAUAUUGAAUGUGGAAGGAAAAUUGUUCAUGAAUUAUUCAAGUAAUAAAGUGUUAAGUGUAAAUUCCCGGUUGAACUUAGGAAUAGAAUUGGAUACAAGUGACAUGUCACUAGAGACCAGUGUUACAGUGUUACAGUGUUACAGUGAGUCUCGGGUGCUGGGUGAUCUAGCAUGUGUUGCAGACACCUGACAGCUUGUGUGAGCAGGCCCGUGGACAUUUCCAGUGUUAUUGAUCAGUGGUAGCUUCGGCUACAUAUCAGUGGUAGCUUCGGCUACAUAUCAGUGGUAGCUACGGCUACAUAUCAGUGGUAGCUUCGGCUACAUAUCAGUGUGGCACUUAUGUGCUAAAUCUCUACGUAUCCGUGUAUAUUCCAACUGUUCAACGGGAUUAAUAAUGAAUUAAAGUGAAUAUGAAAUGUUAAGUGUGAAAAUGUAUAUGCAAGUGAAUUGGUAAGAUUGUGCAUGUGUAAGUGAUUGAAAUUGCUAAGAAAUGUUUUGAUUAGUUAUAUGUUAAAAGUGUUAAUUAUUAAAUGAGUAAUUAUUGUUUACAUGUAACUUACUAAGCUAUUUAUAGCUUACACAUCUCUUUCUUUCCUUUGUUUUAUAGUGAUUUGAACUUGAUCGAAUAGUGGACCGUCGGAGCUCGUAUCACACUAUCAUAGCCAUCUCGGUAUUAUGUGCUUUUCAAAAUGUUUCAACUAUGGCAUGUAUAGAGUCUUAAUCAUUUUGAGCAUGAUCAAAUGAUAUGGCUAAGAUUAGCUAUUGAAAUGGUUAGUAAAGAUUAUGUUUUGGUAUUAUGUAUGUGUAAAUGGUAACUAAUUCAAAGAAGCAGUUUCUUUGACAGCAGCAGUGACGUGAAUGUAAAAAUUCACCAUAAAUAUUAGAAAUGGAAUUAGAGAGUGAAUUAUAUAUAGAAUUAAAUCUUAUCAAGUCUAUUUUUAUAUGAAAGAAACUAUGUAGGAAAAGGAAUUCUGUAUUUUGAGAUAUUUGAAUUUUAGUGAGACAGGGUCAGAAUGGUUUUUGAAGUCCCCUGUUCUGACUUUAGAAAAUCAUUAUAAAUUGUACAGAAAGAAUUAUGGGUCAUAAUUUAUAUGUGUAGAUUUCUUAGUGAGUCUAUUUUCAAAAGAAAAAACGAUAACCUUAUAUGUAUUCUGUACAAAGAGAUAAUUGAUUUUUAGUGCCGAGAGGUCAGAUCUGUCGAGCUGUGAAACAGGGGAUACUUUAAUGAAUAAACUGUACUAAUUGGCCGAGUCAAAAAUUCUGAAAAUUUUAUGGUAAGUAGUAAUAUGAGUCUAGUUUCAGGGAAAAUUUACGGAUUUAAAUUUUGAGUUCUGUAACUCGAGUUAUAAUUAAAUUAGUGAAAGUCACGCAGGUAGACAGUUUUGUUGUGAACAGUGAAUUUAAUUUUAAAAGCAAUUUUUUUAUGCUCCGAAUUGGUAAGUUAAAUUGGAUAACAUCUCGUACUAGAUUCCGGUGACGGUCUCGGGUAAGGGGUGUUACAGACGGUUAACAGGUUUUUUUGUUAUAUUUUAUACAUUAAAUUAAAAUUUAAAAUAUUAUAAUAAAGGAAAAACAUAAAAAUAAUGGGUUAUCAUCUUCCUUAUGGAACUUCCAUCGAAAAAACAAACUAAAACCUCCAUUUCAAGAGCUUGAAGAUUCAGUGGCUUUGGUUGUAUGCAUGUAAGCAAUUUCUUUACCCGUUUUUAAUAAUUUUUAUGUUUUCGAGGUCGUUGUGGCUUAAUCUAGUUAGCCCAGGGACUAUUUCGUGAAAGUGGUAAAAGUUUUGAAACUUACCAUUGAUGAAUUCUAGAUGUUUUUGAGAUUAAAUGAUAAAUUUGUAAUCUUGGUUGUUGAUUAGGACUAUUUUGUAAAGUGAUUUUAGUUAAUUUUUAGUUAAAAGCCUGAAAUGAUAAAAUAUCAAAUUUGACAUGAAAUUCUUGUGAAUUUUGAAUAAUUAUCGGCUGUAACAGUUUAAAGGAAAAUUCGGCUAUCAUGAAAAUUGGCGAAAUUGUGAUUAUUUGAAAGUUUCAGAUUAAGGGACUAAAUUGAAUAAAAGGUAAAAAUUUAGGGUAAAAGUGUAAAAUGUUGAUUAAAGGUCAAAUAUGUGAAUUUAAGUGUUUAAAGUAUUUGAAUUGGUUAAUUGAAUGAAAUUAUUAUAUUUAGAUUAAGAAACGAAUCAAACGGACUGUAAUCGAGGAAAAAGGAAAGUUGGCGGAAUGAAUAUCGAUGUCACGCUCGUAGCCAUUUUUCAUUAGGUAAGUUCGUAACUUGGUUAAACUAAUUAGUUAUUGUUUUGGUAAAUUAAUAUCUAUUUACGUAUGUUGGGAUCGAGUUCAUUGACUUGAAAAAUGAAUAAGACCAUAGUUGAAAUACACUAUGACACUAUACCGUAAAUGAAUAAGACCAUAGUUGAAAGACACUGUGGCACUAUACCAAAAAAUGAAUAAGAACAUAGUUGAAAGGCACUAUGGCCCUAUAUCGAAAAAUGAAUAAGACCAUAGUUGAAAGACACUAUGGCACUAUACCGAAAAUAAAUAAGACCAUAGUUGAAAGACACUAUGGCCCUAUAUCAGAAAAUGAAUAAGACCAUAGUUGAAAGACACUAUGGCAUCAUGCCGGAAAUAAAUAAGACCAUAGUUGAAAGAAACUAUGGCAUCAUAUCGGAAGUGUAUAAGACCGUGGCUAAAAGACGCUAUGGCAUCCUUUGUACAGUUGUUUAUCAAGUAAUAUGUAUCAAAUGUUAAAUACAUUAUAUAAUAUGAACAUGAGAUGGUUGUUUUGAAUUUCAUGGGUUAUUGGUGAAUGUUAAAUGUAUAAAAUGAAAUGGGUAUAUAAAACAGUUAUAUGGAAUGAGACAUUGAAUAAAGAAAUUAAUAUGAAUUAUCAAAAUGAAAUAUGAUUUGGAAAAUGAUUGUGUUAAAUGUGUAAUAUGAAAUGGUUACAUGAGAUGGCUAUUCGAAACGGUGAUAUAUAAAAACAAUAUAUGAAAUGAUUAUAUGAAUCGGUUAUAUGGAAAUAGUUAUAUAACGUGUUUAUACAAAAUGUUUAUAUGGAUAGAUAUAUUAAAUAGGACAUUUGAAAUGAACACUUGAAAUGGGAAAUGUGAAAUGUUAAAUGAAUAGAUGUUGAAUAAAUGGUAUAUCUAAUGUGUUCACUUGUAUAUGUUUUAUAACAUAAAAAGAUUAUAAGUUUUGUAUAUGUGAACUCACUAACCUUGUGAGACUUGUGAUGUGUAUAGGUAAUGAAUGAACGCAUGACCAUGAUAUUGAAUUAUCUUGUAACUCAUGACCAUGAUAUUGAAUUAUCUUGUAAAAUGUUUAAACUACAUCCUUUUCGGUAAGUUAAAGUUAAAGUUUAUUAAGAACAUACUAAGUUUUACGUAAGCUUACCUCGUGUUGGUUUUUCUUCAUUGUAGAUCAUUGGAUUUGAGCUAUCGAUUGGAUUGCUUUUGGAGAUCACACUAUCCGACAACUUAAUCGGUAACUAAUUCUUCACUUUGGUCUGGUUAUAAAUGGCAUGUAAAUAGGGUUUUGGUAUAUAUAUGUUAUAAGCAUUAUGCAUAUGUUUUGUAUGAAUUGAGGUAUUAGAUGUGUUUAUUGAUGUGAAUCUUAAUUAGUAUUUUGGUUGAUUGUGGUGUGUGAUGGCAAUGGUAUGUCUAUAUAGGUGUUUUUGACCAUUUGUUAUAUGCCUUAUGGUAGUAGUUGAUGUUUGGUUCAUUGGAUGUGUAUGAAAUAGAUGUUUAGAUAUGUUUGAUUGGUUUAUAAGGUAGGAACAUGUGUAUAUUGAAAGUGAAUUUGGAUUAGUGUUUGAUUUUUGGUGCCAAUGUGGGCAUAUUGGUUAAACACAUAGGUUGUAUGCUUUUGGUAUGUUUUUGGCAUGUUUAGAUGUGUUUUGAAAAGGUGAAAAAGGUUGGAUAUGGUUUGUUUUCAUGCUUAAGAAAUGGUUGAUGAAUUGGAUUAUUUUUUGUUUGGAUGCACACAACCUGGGACACGGGUUUUCACGGCCGUGUGCCACAUACGGCCACCUCAUACGGUCGUGUGUCAUAUUGAUUUUUAAGUGCAAGAUUUUUCACAUGGGUUCAGUUUGUUAUGCGACCUGGCGACAAAGAUGUGUGGCCCUAUUUUUGAACUGUACACGGUUUGGCCACACAGCCGUGUGACCUCUAUCUUCAGUUAUUUCUACAUUUUUUUGUUUUGUUUCAAAUUGAUCCCUGUGUGUUCCCAAAUUGAUUUUAAGGUUCUGCAGGCUUGAUUUAAGGCCAUUUAGGUAUGAGUGCUAUGAUUAUUGUAUGGACAUCGAUUUAACGGAUAUAGGGGCAGAUGGAAGACGACUUCUAAUAGAAUAAAAGGUAGGAUGAAAUCUUUAGUGUUGUCAUUGAGACAACACAUCGGUGGUAUGUCGGUGUCAUAGGCAAAGUUGGGACGACGGAAACCUCUAGCUAUUAAGAAUCGAUCCGCUUCUUCCUGGGUUGUUAAAUUCUCUAUGUAUACCAUUUGAAUUUCUUCAUUGUCUACACUUUUGUAUUUUAUUAAAAAGUUUGAAAUUUAUUAGAUUUAAUCGUUGUAAUUUGAAUAAUUAGGCUUAAGUACUUUGUAUUAUAGUGGUAUCACCCAAUAUUCGGGUUUGAUUCAUCGGGAUAGGUUUGGGGUGUUACACAGAUUUUGUUGAAUGAUCAACUAUAACCCAUAUGACAUUUCUAUUAUUCGGUGAAGUUGGUAAACCCACAAUAAAAUCCAUCGUGAAUUCAUUCUCAUUUCCACUCAAGAAUUGAAAUAAGUUGAAGUAAACUAGAAAGAACCUGAUGUUCGACUUUAACUCAUUGGUGAGUCAAACACUUUGAGACAUAUUCAACAAUUUAUCUUAUGUUCGACUUUAACUCAUUGGUGAGUCAAACACUUUGAGACAUAUUCAACAAUUUAUCUUUCCAUAUCCGGCCACCAAUACAACUCUUGAAGUCACGAUACAUUUUCGCACCACCAGGAUGCAUAACAAGUGAACCAUCAUGAGCUCCAUGAAGAAUAAAUUAUUUUAACUCAACAUUAUUAUGUAUACAAAUUUGAUUAUAGAAUCAUAAGCAAUCAUCGUCAUCAAUUAUGAAAUUCUCAACACUACCCUAUUGAGCAAGUUUUCUUUUCUUAAACAACUCAACAUCCAAAAAUUGUGCUUCCUUGAUUUGGCCGACCAACACUGAUUUCACUUUCAAUUCAACUAACAGGCUACCAUCGUCGUAAAUGCUCAAUCGAGAUAACAUUAAUUAACAACCCGAUUUUUAGUGGUGCUAGAAAAGGUGGUUUUAGAACCCAUUUUCGUAAACUAAGUCCAUAAAUCUUAAUAUUUAAUAUUUACGAGGUUAGUAUAGAAAUAUAUUAAAGUUUGUUUUAGUAAUUUUUUCGAAUUGAUAAUUAAUUUAGGUACAAGAACUAAAUUAUAAAAAUCUUAUCGUUAUAUAUUUUUUUAAAUAACUAAAGGAUUAAAAUAGUAAUUAGACCAUUUUAAAUUGCCAAAUGUUGGUGGAUGAAGUUAAAAUCCACUAACUUUAGUUAAUCAUGCCUAAGGCUUAAUUAAUUAAUGUUUAAUUAAAUUAAUCUUGAUUUAUUAAGUUUAAACAAAGUAUAUAAGUUGAAUAUAAAAGAAAAAUACACAUUAUAGCCAAGAUAUCAUAACAUUAUCACAAUACAAAUUCACUAUCACAAGUAUAUACAUGUUCAACAUAUCUCAACUGAAUUUGAGUAGUCAAGUUUAAACAUACAUCAUAUCAUGAUGGAUACCAUUUUUAUUUGAUUAACUACAUAUUAAAGCAUAAUUGAAAUCAAAUUAUGAGAGCACAAAACUAGAAUAAUUAUUUGUUGAUGGCUAUUGUUUUUUCUUUAUCCUUAAAUGUCUCGACAUCAUUUUUAGCUACAUUCGGUAAAUUCAAAUACGAAAAUUCAUUAGUUUCACACAUUACACAUUGUAACAUACAAAUUAAACAUAAAAUGCACUUUUUUCAAUUUAGUCCCUCAAAACUCUAAUAUUUGAAACGCUCGUAUCUCAUUAUCUACUAGAUUAAAUCUAAAUCUAAUUUCGUAAAUAUACUACGGAACCUCAAGCUAUCAAUAAACACAAAAGAUCUUACUCACUAACCUUAAGCAUUCAACCAUCGAACUUCAACCAAAACCUUAUCACUUAAACUAUCUAUACGCAUGGGCUAUGCUUAUCAAGUUUCAUAAAUUAAAAUACAUUCAAAAUUCAAAUGGUAAUUGGAGGAAAGAUAAAAGGAAGGAAAACCAAAGAAAUUUCCUUUCUUAAGCAAGUUCGAUGGAGAAGAAGGGAUAAAAUGAAGCUUAUUUCUCCUCUCUCUCCCCUUACACAUUCCUAUUAAAUUUACUUUAACUAUCAUAGUUUAAGAUAUAAUCAAUGGCUAGAAUUUUAUGCAUAAAUAUCUAGAUUGUAUUCAACACGUGACUAGUCAAUUCUAAUUUUUGACCAACUCGAUUUAAGAAAUUCGAUCUUAAAAUUGAAUUUUUAACACUAUUACAAAUUGGAUCAUUGCAAGUAAUGUCUAAGUAACUUAUUACAUGCAACUAUAGCAACUAUCCCGAGUUAUUAUAAGCAAUGUAGAUUAUUACUGGCUAUUAUUUUGGAAAGGUUGAAUCGAAUAAAUAGGAAUUUUUUUUCUAGGGUGUCUCUGAAGAAUCUAAGAAAAUUCAUCUUUCGAGCUGGGAUAAAUGAACACAAACGAAGGUUAAUAGUGGGCUUGAGAUCAAAGUUUCAAAAUUCAGGAACAAAUCUUUUAUGAUGAAACUGGCCUAGAGAAUUCUUCAUGAACAAGAUAAGCUUUGGGUUAGUGUUCUUUACAUCUCUCUCCUCAGAUCUGUUUCACCUACUUGGGCAGCUCUUAAAAGAGUCUACAUGCUUUUCCAAAGUGGGCUAAGGUGGUCCAUUUGUAAUGGGCAUUAUGUGAAUUUUAGGGUGGACAAUUGGUGCAGGCUUGGAUCGCUUAGAUCAUUUGUGAUUGGCCUAUCAAUGAAGAUGAUUUUUCAAUGUCUUUUAAAGCUGCCAAAGACUUGUUGGAGAACAUUGGCCCUAAAUCCGUUCAAAUUCCUAACGAUUUUCUUGUUGUUGCCCUCAACACCCCAAUUUCCUUUGAUCUGAACCAUGGUGAUAUACUGUGUUGGAAUCCUUCGACAGAUGACACCUUCUCCCUUUCUAGUGCUUAUAUUAAAGACCAUUUGAGAAUGAAGAUAAAUGGAACUGCCUUUGGAAAAUGUGUGAAUCAUACUCUACCUACCGCAAGCUUUCUGAAUCGUAGAGGAUUGAACUUCAAUGACUUAUGUACUUUUUGUAAAUCGAGCAACGACAACAUCUCCCAUAUCUUGAGAGAUAGCGACAUGGUGAAUGAAUGGUGGUUUGUCACCAUGUUGCAUAGCCAUCGACUUCCCCCUUUGUCGUGUAACUGGGAGUGUAGGAUUUUCCAACCUUAAAUCCUAAAGCUAGACCUCUAAUCCUAAACUUCCUUCGUACCUCGUCUUCUCUUUUGCUCUUAGGGAAUUAUUACUUCUUAGGAAUGUUGUCACCUUUAAUAGCAAUGCUAGGAAAUGAAGUACUAGGGAGCGAGCUUUGGCUGGUGCAUGUGAAUUAUUUGUUGUCUCACUAGCUUUGAAGGUAAAUACCAACCCUCUCAAGGGAUGGUUAAUUGGCAGUCGCCUUGUUAAGGAUAAAAAAGGCUCAAUACUAAUGGAUCAUCACUUGGCAAUCAUGGUAAAGUAGGGGCAGGGGAUUAUAAAAAAUCAUGCUAGUGGUUGAAUUAUAAAAAGUAAUCGACAUAUCCCUGAAGUUUGUUGCAUCGAGUAGGGGUGAUCAUGGGCCGGGAGGCCGGCCUUGCCCGACCGCCCGGCCUUGCCCGACGGCCUGCCCGAAAUAUGGGAGGGUUCGGGUAAAAAUAUAGGCCCGAAAUAUGGGCUUGGGCAAAAAACGACGUGAGAAAAAUUCUUGGCCCAGCCCGGCCCGGCCCGAAUAUAAUAUAUAUUUUUUUAUUUUUUGUUUUUUCAAACAUUUCUCAAUUCCCCCAUUAACAUUUUUGCUUUAACACCCAUUUCCCCAUUUCCCAUUUCUCCCAUUUCCCGUUUCCCCUGUUCCACAAAUCCCUAACCCCGUGUCCGACUGCCCUCCUCCCUUUUUUUCUCAACCUUCACCUCCGACACCAAUCCACCUCCACCGAUCCACCUCCGGUCCUCCACGGCUCCACCCAUUUCCUGAAUCAGAGGUUAGAACGAAGCUACAAACGUCUUCUACCUUUGAAUUAACAAUGUUUUUUUUCCUCUCUUUUAUGGUGCUUAACUGCUUAUGUAAUCUGUAUUUGUAAAAUGUAAAUCUUCAGUUCUCGAAUUAUUUCCCCUUUGAUUUGUAAAUCUUCAGUUCUGCAGUCUACACCUUUUUCUGCAUGUUAAUUUGUUAAAUUAUUUUUCACGUUUUUUGCUUUUUGCUUUUAAGACACUGAAUAUUUGGGGGGGGGGGAAUUAAAUCUGGAAUUUUGGAAUAUGUAUUCUGGAUUGUAUGCUCAAUUUGUAUUCUGGAUUGUAUGUUCAAUUUGUAUUCUGCUUAGUUUAACAAAAUUACUAUUUGUUCUUUUUAAAGUUUUCUAGUAACAUUUCCAGCAAUAACCUCAAACAUUUCAAACAAAAUGAAAUUCAUUUUUGUCCAAAUAAAAUUAUAUUAAAUUAAUGAAAAUAUUUGGGAAUUAGUUCCCCUUCCUUAAUCGGUCUCAUAGGUCAUUCAGAGUACCUUGAGCCUUGAAAAAGGAUCUCAAAUAGCCUUUUGUAGUAAGCCUAUUGGGAACCAUGCAGGUUAAAGGAGACAAAAUUCUAAUGGGAGAUUUUAAUACAUACAGUGGCUGUUAAUGAUUUCUAGAACUGAACUGGUUGUAGUGUUGUGUGAUUUUUACACCUAAUGUGGAUUUGUUUCGCUUGUGAUUCUCCCCAUAUCAAUUUAAAUAAGGAAACAUACUUUUGUAGAGACCAUGUUGUGUUAAAAACUCAAAUUUCUGAACCUGAUAGUCUUCUCUGCUACCUGUUGUUUUUCAUCUUCGCACUCAAAUUUUGUUUAUUUUGUUAUUUGCUAACCAAAUUUCUUCUGUCUUCAUAUUCAUUCUUUUGUUUUGUAGUGACCAAAUUUAAAUUUAAAAUUUCUUUAAUUUUUAAUAUCAUCCAUUGUGGGCUAUUAGUAGCUCGUACCGCUUCUCUAGUUCAGGUAGUUUAAGAGUUAAGCUAGCUUAGUGAAUCGAUUUCAGUAUGCAACUCUUCCCCUUCAUCCCUUGCUUCUUUGAAAGUGUUUGAGUGAAGUGUUACUAAUUUUAAAUGAUGUAGUAAAGUGUUAUGUUACUGUAUUAAUCCUUUUCUUAAAAAUAAAAUAAUUCACAUGAACACAAAUGUCGGUUUAGAUGCUAUAUUUUACUUCGAAAUUGAGUGAGUGCAAUUAAGAUCUUUAAUUACCUAACACAUUAUUUUUUUUAGCAUAUGGUUGCUGAAUCCUGACAACUGGAAACUUGUUUUUUCAUUUUUAGAAAGCAACUUAUAUAUAUAUAUAUGUAUGUAUAUAUAUCAUUACAGUAAAAUUGCCUUGAAGUGAGUUUUGUAUUUCAAUACGAGGCUAUAGGAUUAAGAGUAGCUGAGCACAAUUAAGAACAAAAUUGUGUUAUUCAAUUAUUAUUGGAUGAGAAUUGAUUUAUGUUUUAUAGAGCAUGUAAUUUGCAAGGUUGAGAUCACAAGCUUAGUUUCUUCAUUUAAUCUCAUCAUUUUUGUUUUUGCUUUGUUUUAUUGCAGAAGCAAGCUAUUUAGUGAGGCAGAAAUACAGCAGGCCCAGGCAGGUUGCUAUCACUAUCUCACACCCUUUCCUUUGAAACAAUCAACCUUAGCGACUUUUCCUAAAUGAUGUGUGUUUUUUUAGUAUUACUUAAAGACAUGCGACAAGUUUGAUCUUGUAUCACAAGGCUAGCAUAGUUAAAUAACUAUUUUAUUAUCUCGUGCAAUAUAUGAGUUCGGUAUUAUACUAUUAUGUAAUAUGUAUUAAUUAAAAUAUAUUAUAUUUAUUUUCUCAAAACUGUUAUAAAAUUUGUAACUUUUUGAAAAAGUAAAAUAAUAUAAUUCUUCACUUUUAUAUUUGAAAAGUAAAAAUAAUAUAAAUAUAUCACAUAUAGAACAUUUUCUUUUGGUUUUGGAGGUUGAAAUAAUCUUACAAAUUAACACAUGAUUUUUUUCUUCUAGGUUUGCAAUGUCUUACCCCUUUUUUGUAAUUUUGGAAAAAAUGAAUAAAUUUUAAUUUUGGUCUCUCCAUUAUGCCUAAAUUUGAUAUUUAACUACCACACCUAUACAUGUGGACGAUGGGUUUAAUGAGUAUGAAAGUGCUCUCAAACGUCAAAAGUCUACCACUUCAAAUGUGUGGGAUGAAAUGACAAAGCUUGAAUGUGAGAACAAAAAUGAAUUGAAGGCAUAAUGUAAACACUGUAAGACUAUCUUCUCUACUAAGUCUUCCAGUGAAACCUCUAAUUUAAUACGUCACCUAGAUAGCUAUUUGAAAAAAGUUAAUCAGGACAUCACUCAAUACACCAUAGCCACUCAACCAUCACCAGAAAGUGUUCCAUCUAUAAAAAACUACAAGUUUGAUGCUGAUGAGUGUCGUCAAGCUAUUUCUUCUUUUCUUGUGUGUGGCAAGCAUUCAUUUAGGACAGCCGAAGAACCGGGAUUUAGAUAUAUGAUGAUAAUUGUUAGUCCUAAUUUUAAGAAUAUAAGUAGACAUACAGCUGCUAGGGAUGUCCUAAUGUAUUAUGCAAAAGAGAGAGAUCAUGUUAAAGAAGAGUUGGCUAGAGCACCUGGUUUAAUUUGUCUAACUUUCGAUAAUUGGAACUCGGAGCAUACUAAUGAUGAAUAUAUUUGCAUUACUGCUCAUUGGAUUGACAAAGAUUGGAAGCUACAAAAGGGAAUCAUAAGGUUUAGAGCUUUAUUUCCUCCGUAUGAUGGUUUGAACAUAGCGGAUGAACUUGUUUUAUGUUUAUCUCAAUGGGGUAUAGAUAAGAAAAUUUUUAGUAUCACUUUGGAUAAUGCUUCUUAUAAUGAUGUUAUGGUUUCUUAUCUUAAAAAUCGUUUUUAUGCAAACCGAGCUAUUUUGUGUGAUGGUGCUUUUUUUCAAGUUAGAUGUUGUGCACAUAUAUUGUAUCUUAUAGUUAAAGCUGGUUUGGAACUUGCUGAUGAUGUUGUUGGUAAGAUUCGAAAUGGAAUUAGGUACAUAAAAAAAGUCGGGAAUUCGUAGGAAAAGAUUUUAUGAUGUGGCCGACAAAAGUUUUCAUUUAAAUGUGACCAAAAAUUUGCAUCAAGAUGUGUGUGUGAUGGAAUUUUACUUAUUUGAUGCUUGAAUCUUCUCUUUACUAUAAAGAUGUGCUAGAUUAUUGGGGCCAACGGGAUAAAGAUUAUCAAAUGUUUGCACUUUCUAACGAGGAGUGGAGAAAUGUUGCUAUUCUUUGCAAAUUUUUGAAAGUCUUUUAUGAUGUGACUUGUGUUUUUCUGGUUCUAAUUAUCCAACGGCUAAUCUUUAUUUUAGAGGGGUUUGGAAGGUUCACAAGGUCUUGCUUGAUACAGUUAAAUGUCCUUAUUCAUUUUUAACUCCAAUGGUUAAGCAAAUGCAAGAGAAAUUUAAUAAGUAUUGGGCUGAGUAUUUAUUGAUAUUGUCAUGUGCUGCAAUUUUAGAUCCUCGUUACAAGUUGAAUUAUGUGCAAUAUUGCUUUAAAACAAUCUAUGGUAUUCAUGCUUCAGAUUUUGUUGAGACCAUUCUUAGCAAUCUUAGACUUUUGUUUGAUGAGUAUGUUAAGAAAUCCAAAUCCACAUCUUCCUCUUUGGCUGGGAGUUCUAAUGUUUCGGAUAAAAAUCUUGUUGAUUCUGGUUUGGAUGAACACAAUGUUAAUAGUUUUGAUUUUGGGGGAUAUUUUGAUGAGAGUGAUGAUUAUAAGUAGUAUUUAGAUGAAUCUAGCACUAGGAGUGAAAAGUCACUGUUGGACAUCUAUUUGGAAGAACCAGAGCUUGAGUUGAAUAGUCAAAUAGAUGUUUUAGAUUAUUGGAGCAAAAGUUCAGUUCAAUACAAUGAGCUUUCAUUAUUGGCUCGUGAUCUUUUGGCAAUUCCAAUAUCGACUGUAGCUUCCGAAUUGGCUUUUAGCAUGGGUAAGAAAGUUAUCACACCUUUGAGGAGUUCACUUAAGCCAAAAACAAUUCAAGCCGUUGUUUGCUUGGAUGAUUGGAUGCGAGCUAAGGGAUUUUCAACAGGUAAUUAUUAUUCUCGUUUUAUUGUUGUAAUUUUAUGUUAUUUUUUCAUCAAUUUGAUUAUCUAAUUAUUUAUUCUUAUUUCAUGUUAGAAAUUGGUUGCAAAAAAGACGAUGAAGACGAUGAGGAUGAUGUUUCUUCGGCUGCUUUUUAGGAUAUUUCCUUUCUAAUUGUUGAAAAUUUAAUUUAGUUUACAAUUUAUAUUUUGUUAUAAAAUUAAAUAUGUAGAUUGGUUAAUGUAUGGAUAUUUUGGUUGUUUGCUUAUAUUUUGCAAGUUUUUUAUACAAUUUUAGUGUUUACCAAAAAAAAAGGGCCGAGCCGGGCCGGGCUCGGGCUCAGGAAUUUUUCCCUGGGUUGGGCCUGGACAAAAUUUGAGGCCCGUAUUUCGGGCCGGGUCGGGCUCCGGCCUAGGAAGCGGGCUGAAAAUUUUUUAGGCCCGGCCCAAACCCGACCCGGCCCAUGGUCACCUCUAGCAUCGAGGCUGAGUUGUGGCAUUGUACGAUGGCAUCAAACUUGUUGAUUUGAAAAUCUCUCACUUAGAAAUAAAAGUCGACAAUAAUUUCAUUUAUUUCUACCGUGUUUAUUAUUCGUGUCAAAACCAUUUUUAUUUUGAAAAAUGAGGUUGACUUUUAAAACGAAAAUAGAGUCGCCACCAAUCUUUUUUUCGAGGUGUGAUCGGAUCACCUUGAGAUUAAUCAUUUUAAUAAAAUAUUUUGAUUUAUUAAAAUAAUGAUUUUGGUCUACAAAAUUCGAGAAAACGGGCUAGGGAGUCGGUUACGCACGAGGAAAUAUUAGCACCCUCGUAACGCCCAAAAAUUGGUACCUAAUUGAUUAAUUAACGUCCUAAUGUCGAAAAUUUGAAAAGAUUUAAAAAUAAGAUUCUCUUUAAAAACCUGAAUAAAUCGAAUUUGAUGUUAAGACCUCUUUGUCCCGAAGUAAUAAGAUGUCACAUCUAGUAAGUUAGGAUACGAUAUUUUAACCCUCGAAACUAAGCUUGUCUCAUGCAUUAAAGUUUAAAAAGGAUAUUCGGUUAUUUGGAUAAAAAAAUCGAAACCCAGUAAGUUAGGACACGAUUUUCUCAAAGCUCCAAAGUACCGAAUAUUGCCUUAUUUUUAAAAGUUUUCUUUUUUAAAAUUGGAGAAAAUUGAUGCAAUAUUAAAACGAUGCGUAAAAACUUUUAUAAAAAAAGGCAAUAUGAAAAUACAAAUAAACAAGUUAUAAAACACGUAAUGACAAUUAUUUAAAUACUAGCAUCAAUAAUCAAAGACCAAUGAAUUUAAAACAAAGAGUAUAAAAAAAUAUAAGGAAAAAUAAAAUGUAAACAAAUUUAAAAAUAAUGAAUUUGAAAAUUAAUAAUAAGGGAAAAAGAAAUUUGAAAUCAACAAUAUACAAAUCAAUAAAUAAAAAAAGGUAGGUAAUAUAUGUAUAAGUUUGGAAUAAAUAAUAUAUAAAAAAUGAAAAUAGGUAAUAUAUAAAGUAAUAAUAUAUAAAUGAGUUUAAAAAUAAAUAUUGUGUAAUAAGGAAUUUAGAACAAGUUAUACACAAAACAUCUUAAAAAUAAAUGGUAUAUAAAAUAGAUAGUAUAAAAAAAUUGCAAUUGAUAAUAUAUGGAAAAAAUUUUAAAGCAAAUAAUCAAACAAUUUAAAAUGGAUGAUUUAUAACACGAGUUUUUAAAAAAUAAACAACAUUUUUGACAUAAUAUUAAAAACAAAUAAAGUAUAUAAUUAAUGGAAGAAAAUAAAAUAAUGAUAAGAAUGGUUAAAUGAAUGAAUAUUAUGUAAAUAAGAAAGUUGAUGAAUAAAUAAACGUAUAAAAGUAAAAUAAUAAUUAAUGAUUAAACAAUUAAAUGGAUAGAUAAAAAAAGGUUAAAAAAACGCUUAAGUCAGCCUAACUCUCACAAUAUGAAGAUUCAACGAAAUUCGUCCACCAAAAUCCAACUCAAAUGAAAGCAACUUAAAAAGAAACAAAGAUGAACGAAGAACAAAAUAAGAACAAGCCACAGAAAAUAAGAACGCAAGAGAGAGAAAAUUUUGAGUGAAUGCUUUUAAGAAUUAUUAUCACUCCAAACUCAAGUCUUUUACAAUGAAGGGAGAGGCCUCUAUUUAUAGUUGAGCCUCCCCAAAUCCAACGGUACAGAUCAAUUACAUUAACGGCUAAGAUUAAAGGGUAUCUACAAAUUAAAUCUUAAAGAUUACAAAAUCUUAUCUUCUAAGAUUGCAUAUCAUAUCUAAGAUUGCAUAUCCUUGAAGAUUAUGUUUCCAUAUGUGUCAAGCUUGUAGAUGGACCUUCAACCUUUUCAAGUAAUGGGUCAUUCCAAUCGGGCCAAAUGAUAUAAUUUUGGACUGGACUUGGACUUUGUUUUAUUAUUUUGGGGUUUUUUUUUGUGAGCCCGGGCUAAAUUGGCCUAUUACAACUGCCCCUCUUUGCUCAUUGACAUGUAAUGAGAAUGUAGCAAAGACUAUAAAAGGGUCAAUUUUGCUUGGUCUUGCGGGUUCUAACUUCUUUGAGUGCUCGUCUUCUUCAAGUAGUCUCAUUCCAUCCCACUGCAUCUUCAGGGGCAUAGGAAUUAGUGCUUCUAUCUGCUCCAAUGUGAUUUCAAGGAGAAGAGAUUUCUAGCUUCGAUCUUCUCCACUUGAACUUCAAGGAGGUAGGAAUUGGUAAUUUCAACCUGCUCCACUGCAAUUUCAGGUAGAUAAGACUGGUGGCUUAAAUCUGCUUCCCUACUACCUCGGGAAUAUAAGACUUGCCGUCUUUGAUCUGCUCCACUACUACUUAGGGAGACAUGAUAUACAAUCUUCAACCUACUCCGCUACUGCUCAGGGAGAUAGGACUGGUGGUUUAAAUCUGCUUCCUACUAUCUCGGGAAGAUAAGAUUCGCCGUCUUUGAUUUGCUCCACUGCUACUUAGGGAGACAGGAUCUACAAUUUUCAACCUACUCCACUGCUACUCAAGGAGAAAGGACUGGUGGCUUAAAUCUAUUUCCCUACUACCUUGGGAAGAUAAGAUUUGCCGUCUUUGAUCUGCUCCACUACUGCUUAGGGAGACAGGAUCUACAAUCUUCAACCUACUCCACUGCAAACUCAAAGAGGCAAGGCUGGUGUUUUCGAUCUGCUUCACUGCCAGUACAGGAAGACAAGAUCUGCUGUUUUCAGUCUGCUCUGCUGUAAACUCAGGGAGGCAAGGCUGGUGUCUUUGAUCUGCUUUGCUGCCAAUACAGGAAGACAAUGUAAUAACCCGAUUUUGGGCCUAGCCAUAAUAGUGGUUUCGGGACCACAAAUUCGACGAUGAAAAAAAUUAUUUUUAUUAUAUUUUUAUGGUCUACAAUUUUACGAAAUAAUUUUGUGAAAAAUUUGUUCGAAAAUUUUGACGUUUGGGCACUGAAUUUAGUCAAAAGGACUAAAUUGUAAAAAGUGCAAAAGUUGAGUUCUACAAGUUAGAGGUGUCCAAUUGUUAUGAAACUUUAAAUUGGAGGUCUUUAUAUGGUAAUUAGACCAUUGGUUAAGUUAUAGACAAAAAUAUACAUGAGAUCAGUGAAAUAGGAAAUUUUUAAGUUAGGGGCAAUUUGGUAAUUUAGUAAUAAAAAGAAUUAACAAGGGAAAAAGAUGGAAAAAUGUGUUUAUCUUCUCCAUGAUGAAUGAAAAUAGCAAGGGGGAAGCCAUAGUUAGGUUUUUCAAGCUUCCAAGCUCCAUAGUAAGUGAUUCCAAUCCCCGUUUUUAAUGUUCUUUACGAUUUUAGAGUCCUAGUAACUUGAUUUAAGCUUAUUCUAGCAAUAAUUUAACCUAGGGUUUAUAUUUGGAAAAAUACCCAUAGGUGAAAUGUGUUUAUUUUGAUGUUUUAUGGAAGAAUGUGAAGCUUUAAAUUAUGUUAAACAACUUUUGCUAAGUGAUUUUAAGUGAAAACGAGUAAAACGACAAAAUCGGUAAAAAUACCUAAUGUUCAUAAGUAAGUGUUAGAGUGGGAAUUUGAUGUUGCCAUAGAAGGGAAAAAUGUUCAGCAUGUCAUAAUACAUAAGAAUAAGGGAUGAAUUUUAAUUUACGAGCUUUUGGGAAAAAAGUGUAAAUAUGCAAAGUUUAGGGGCAAAAUUGUAAUUUUGCCAAAGUUUGAGUCAAGAAAUGUUUUGAUAAAUGUGAGUAUUAAAUAAGUCAAAUGUGUUAUUAUAGAUCAAGAAAGAAGUGGAAUCGACCUUGAUCGGAGAAAAGAAAAAAUUAAAGACUAAAUUGUUAAAUUUUUAUAUUGUUGCAUCAAAGUAAGUUAUGUGUAAAUAAUAACAAUAUAUUUUUAUAAAUUGUGAAUUAUAUUUGAUAUGUGAAUUAUUAUUAUUGAAUGUGGAAGGAAAAUUGUUCAUGAAUUAUUCAAGUGAUAAAGUGUUAAGUGUAAAUUCCCGGUUGAACUUAGGAAUAGAAGUGGAUACAAGUGACAUGUCACUAGAGACCAGUGUUACAGUGUUACAGUGAGUCCCGGGUGCUGGGUGAUCUAGCAUGUGUUGCAGACACCUAACAGCUUGUGUGAGCAGGCCCGUGGACAUUUCCAGUGUUAUUGAUCAGUGGUAGUUACGGCUACAUAUCAGUGGUAGCUUCAGCUACAUUUUAGUGGUAGCUACGACUACGUAUCAGUGGUAGCUUCGGCUACAUAUCAGUGUGGCACUUAUGUGCUAAUUCUCUACGUAUCCGUGUAUAUUCCAAGUGUUCAACGGGAAAUCGACUAAGUGAAAAUAUAUGAGAUUAUGUAACGACUAAGUGUACUUAAAUGAUGAAUAUAUCUGUGGAAUUGAAUUGAAUAGUGAUCGAAAGUGAAAAAGUGAAAAGUGAAAUUAUGAAAUAGUAGAAUUAGCAGCAAAAUAGUUUUGGACAGAAACAAUUGCAUGACUUUGAAAAAUCACCAAAAAUGGUGGAAAUCGAAUUAGAGAGUGAAUAAGAUAUGAAAUGAAAUUUUAAUGAGCCUAUUUUUACAUAAUAGAAAUAGAGUAAGCAAAAGAGUUUUAAAUUUUGAGAUAUUUUAAGUUUAGUGAGACAGGGUCAGAAUGAAUUUGGAAUCCCCUGUUCUAACUUUGGAAAAUUGUUAAAAAUUGUACAAAAAUAAUUACGGGCUAAACUUUAUAUGUUUAGAACCCUGAAUGAGUUUAUUUUCAAGUGAAAUAAACAUAAGUACCUCCAAAUUCUGUACAAUGAGAUAUUAAUUUUUAGUGAAGAGAGGUCAGAACUGUUGAGCAAUGAAAUAGGGGAAAAUUGAAAGAAUGAACUGUACUUAUUGGCUAAGCCAAAAAUUAUGAAAAUUUUAUGGUAAGAAUAUAUGUGAAUCUAGUUUCAGGGAAAAUUAAUGGAUCUUAAUUUGGAGCUCUGUAGCUCCAAAUAAAAAUAAUUUAGUGACUCUGACUCAGAUAGCAGCUUUGAAUAUACAUGUGAGUGAAUAGUAAAAUUAUAGAAAAUGUUAUUUAUAAGAGUGUUAUGUACAUUAAGGAUGUGGAAUGGAGAGGAGGAGGAGGAAAUAUAAAAUAUAUGAAUGAUUUGUAUAUAAAUUAGUCAUAUGCCCGAUUAUAUUUGAUAAAAGUUUAAUUUAAAAUGACAUAAUGUUUCAUUUCAAUUAGUUAUUAUGAAUUGAAUUGUAAAUUCAUAAGGCUGAAACCAAACAAUUAUUUGUUAGUAUUAUGCAUGAUAUAAUGUAUUAUUCUAUAUACAUAUUCAUGGUUGAAUUAUGAUUGUUGAGAAAGAUAGAUAAAUUGGAAUGAAAGUUCAAAUUGAGUAGAACUCAGGGUUGAGUACUUUCGUUUAGUGAUAAAGAUGAAUUGACGGAAAAUACCAUGGAUGGACCAUGGCAAUAAGUGAUAUGUGAUUCCAUGUAAGACCAUAGCUGGGCUAUGGCAUCGGUAUAUGUUAUGUGAUUACGUGUAAGACCAUAGUUGGACUAUGGCAUCGAGAAAAUAAGUACUCAAUUCCGUAAGACAUUCACUAAUUUGACAAAGUUGGUAAGUGUUACAUGGACUCAUGUUCAAGUGAUAGAUUUGUUGUGAUUGUUGAAGUUGAAUUCAAUUAAGUGAUUUCACCAAUUGGAUAUUGUAUAUGGCAAGAUGUGUUAGUGAAUUACAUAUUUAUGAAAUGAUAAAUGAAGUUCAAUAAAUGAUACAUGAAAUUAAUAUGAAAAGAUUUAUGAUUGUUAUUGGUAUUGUUUCUGGCAUAAUGUGGAUUCUUCGAUGUUGAAAUGAUUUAAAGGAUUUAUUGAGCAUAUGAAUGAGUAUGAGACUCACACGAGUUAGUAUAGAUAUGUACUUGUGUCUUAUAAGCUUUGAAAUGAUAAGACUUGUGAAUUGUGAAUUAAUCUGUGUGAAAGUAUAUGGGAUAGAUUAGCGAAUCUUUAUGAGAUAUUGAAUAUUUAAUAUAUUACAAUGGUGGUAGCUAUAAGGCUUGGAUCAAAUGAGUAUAUAUUGGGCCUCGUAAGCCUUAAUUAGCGAUUAGAAGAUAAUAAUUUGAAAAUUUUAAUUUGUAUGAAAUUUUAUAACUUGGUUUAAUACGUUUAUAAGUGUAUAUGUUCUGGUAAUGCCUCGUACCCUAUUCCGGCGUUGAAUAUGGGUAAGGGGUGUUACAAUGUGACAUCGACAGAUUCGGCCAUAACGUUUAGGCCGGGUUUGGGGUGUUACAGACAAGAUCUGCUAUCUUUAGUCUGCUUCGCUGCAAACUCAGGGAGGCAAGAUUGGUGUCUUCGAUCUGUUUCGCUGCCAAUACAGGAAGAUAAGAUCUGCUAUCUUCAGUCUGCUCCGCUUCAAACUUAGGGAGGCAAGGCUGGUGUCUUCGAUCUCCUUUGCUGCCAAUACAGGAAGACAAGAUCUGCUAUCUUCAGUCUGCUCCGCUGUAAACUCAGGGAGGCAAGACUUGUAGCUUUCACUUGUUUCACUGUAAUUUUAAGGAAAUAAGGUCUGAUGCGAUCUGCUCUACUGCAACUUCAGAGAGAUAAGAUCCAUCAUUUUAAUUCGCUCCACUACAACUUCAGGGAGAUAUGAUUGGUUUCUUCAAUCUACUCCACUGCAACUUCAAGGAGAUAAGAUUGGUUUAUUCAGUCUGCUCCACUGCAACUUCAAGGAGAUAAGACUUGUAAUUUCAUUCUACUUCACUGCAACUUCAAGGAGAUAAGGUUUACUAUGAUCUGCUCUAUUGCAACUCCAGAGAGAUAAAAUCUGUGAUUUAUAGCUUCAAUCUGUUCUACUAUAACUUCAGGGAAAUAAGAUUCGCUAUCUUCAGUCUGCUCCACUGCAACUUCAGGGGGAUAAGACUUUACUUCAAUCCGCUCCACUGUAACUUCAGGGAGAUAGGAUUAUUGGCUUUAAUCUACUCCACUACAACUUCAGGGAGAUAAAAUUUUCCAUCUUCUUCAAUCUAUUCCACUGUAACUUUAGUGGUAUACGUUUGUAGUUUCACCAAUCUGUUCUCUGGGGAACAUGACCUAUAGAAUGGGUCUGUGCUUAUGUCAAAUGACUAGGAUGCCAUGAUCGAAAUGAGUCAAAUUCUCCUAAUUAGAUAUGCUAUGAAUGAUAUAUGAAUGCAAAAUGAGAAUGAUCCCUUUUUUAAUGCUUAGGGUGUCAUCAUUCAUUGUUCAUCAGAAGUCUUAUCACUGAUGUAUUGCACUACUAUCUUAUUCGACUGGUAUUUUCCAACAGAAAACUCGAAGAAACAAUCACAUUCUGCUCAACAAGCUUGCCCCGUUGUAAUUUCAGAGUCCCUUCCACUAUAUCGUCUGGGACAUAAAGUUUGUACCUCCCACUGCAACUUCAAGGGAAUAACAUUUGGUUUCUUCCAUUCAUCCUGCUGCAACUAAAAGGUAUAGAAUUUGUAUCAUCUUCAAUCAUUUUGAUCUGUUACACCAUUCCCUGGGUGUAACGACCAGAUGUAUAUGCUUGAAAUUUUCAUGAAUGCAGAGUGUCAUUUUUUCCCAAGAAUGAUCCCCUUUUACACUUGGGUUGACAUUGCUCGUUAUUUGUCGAGAUGGUAUCACCGACAAAAUGUCUUGUCUUUCAAUAUUUCCAACCCUUAGGCUUGAUGAGUUCUAAAUAAUAGUCUUGUUUCAGAUUCUCGUAUUAUUUAGAAGCUUCUAGAGCAAUAUGCGAAACUCCUUUUAUGAAAGUAUUAUUUGUCCAUUAAUCGUUAUUUCGAUAUAAAAUGCUUGAAAAGAUCAUAACAAUAGACAAGAAGGAAAUUAAUUAGGAACAUAGCUCGAAACAAUUAAAUUAAUCAAAGAUAGCUAAGGCAAUAAAAAGAAAUUGAUUGGGGCGUAUCUUGAAAAGAAUAAGGUAAUCAAAGAUAGCAAAUUCAAAAAUGGGUAAGAUGGAAAACUAGGUGCCCUAGAUAUUGUAGCCUGAGCUUCUCUGUACGAACUUCUUGAGGACCAUUUUGAGCUUAAUAUGUGUUUAGGGGAUCUGAAGUACUUUGUCAAUGCCCUAAGAUGUAGCAUACUUCCUCAUUGUUAAUUCAGGCAUAGCAAGACUACCACAUGCCCCACUUUUGAUCAAAAUUUAAGCUACUUUUUUCGAGUUUUCAACUCAAAACCCCUUUGGUCUCAAAGCGCCUUUUGCGGGUUUUCGCCUUGGCCUCUCCUCUUUUUCUUUCUUCUCUUUUUUUUGAAUUUUUUUCUCAAGGCGCCCUUUGCUGGUUUUCACCUUGGCCUCUCCCCUUUUAGGUAAAAUACUUCUUGACUGGAUCUGAAUUCACCGGAUUGGGAAAGUCUUUGGCAUCCAUCUCGGUCAAUAUCAAUGUUCCUCUAGAACAGACAUUCUUUACAACAUAAGGUCCUUCCCAAUUUGGCAUCCACUUUCCUUUAAAAUCCUUUUGUAUAAGAAGGAUCUUUUUCAACAUCAAGUCCCCCUCGUGGAAUUCUCUAGGAUGAACCUCUUUGUCGUAAGCUUGCAUCAUCUGACCGUGACGGAUAGCUUUUAACCCUUUUUUUAUUGGGUUCAACAUUCCAUAAACUAAUGGGCCAGGUGUUGCCCCGGUAAAGGUCCUGGCCGACGUUUGAUGAGCAUAGAGGGUAAAUAGUAACUUUUUUAUGCCAAUCUUUACAAGUCACGGUCAUCUUUCCCACGUUCCUUGUUUUAUUUUUUCUUUUUUGGUUGCCUAUGGCGUCUGAUCUUUGAACAGAAUACAAACUUUUGACAUUGUCCUUUUUGGCAUUCUUUAUCGGGGCCUGAUCUUUUUUUUUGAAAUUAGAAUUUAAUAACUUCGACCUUGUAACAUUGGCAUAUGAAGCUAUUUCUACCCUCUUAGUGAAGUAAUCGAAGACCACAAAAAUGAAUCGAUAUUGGCUAAAAGCUUUUGAAAAGAUUGGCCCUAUCAUAUCCAUGCCCCACAUAUGGAAAAUUUGUGAAGAAAUAGAGGAGAUACAUAGGUUUUAGCUUCCUCAAAUUGGUAUUUAUGGCAUAACUGAUAUUAUUCACUUUCAUGGUGGACUAGCAAUACUGAAACUUCGUGAUUAACUUGGCUAUCGUAAAACCAUUAGUAUGUAUCCUUCUGACACACUUAUGGACCUUUUAGCCUUAACAGUAUCCACAAGUCUUAGUAAGCCAGACAUAUCUUAAUAUGAUCGUGCGAAAGCAUCUUUGAAUUCUUGGAAUAAUUUAAUGACGUUUCACUUUGUUUCGAUAGUAAGAAAGCUCCAAUCUCUUUCUCUUCUCCUAGGCUCACUGUCCACUGACUUUUGUAACGUAGGAUCUAUUUUUUCAUCUUGUUCUACCAUUCUUAACAAAUCAAGAGAUAGGCUACAAUCUCAGUCAUAUUCAAAGCCUGAGCUCCCCUUAGACACAUAUCUUACUCAAAAGGAGAUUCUGAGUUAGUAGCAACAUCGCUCAUGUCGUUGAUAUCUGAAGACCUAUUGUAGGUACAAAGGCAUAUUCCAAAGAAUAAAUAAAUUUAAGGACAAUUAUUUGUAUGAAUAAAGAAUAAAAUAAUAUUUAAAAGAGAGUCCAAAGAACAAAAGAAUCUAUAAAUGAAAAGAAUGAAAGAAUGUUUGCUCAAAAAGAUACAUUUUAUUGAAAUAAAGAUUUUGGACGUAAGCCUAUUUCAAAAAAGGAUUCUUAUUGCCUCUAGGCUUUAAAGUAACAAGUGUGUUUUGAAUAUUACUCUAGAUUAUCUCUAAAAAUACAGUGAUCUCUUCCACAGUCUCGUUGUUCAAAACACUCCCAAGUAUGCAAGGGCUUGGAAACUUUAUUCCUCAGUUCCCUCUUCGGAAACAUCAUUAAUGUUUAGAUUCUCUGAUAUUCCCUUUGGGCUUUUGACUUCUUCAAGGAGUCGCAACUUUCUUGCCUCUUCCUUCAAUUAUCGCAUUUACUGCCUCGUCAAAGUGAUUAGGUUCUGAUGAAACAUCAAACUUCGCAAUUCCCAUUUUAAUGAACCUUUCGACCAACUUUUUAAACGUAGUGCAUUUUUCAAUUGAGUGACCCGUUAUCCCACGUGGUACUCGCAUUGGGCAUUCUCAGUGUGUAUCGAAUAAACUUUGGUACAGCUCCCUAUACGACAUUGGAAUUGGCUUGAACUAGAGCUUCUCAGUGUCUUGUGUCGGACUCUUGUCUUGAUGAACCUUGUUGGUUAGCAGCCAUCUUUCUUGGUUGAUUCACCGUAAUCAAUUUUGAGUAACCCUUUCUAUAUGUACUCAUGUUGUUCACCUCAUUUUCCUUUUUCUUCGAGGCUGACCUUCUGUUACUUUCUCCAGCAUUAAUCUUCCUACUCCUAUGGUGUUUUCAAUCAUUUUACCAUUCAUGAUUAUGUUAGAAAAGCUUUUUGUGGCACCUCCUAACAUAUGUGUGAUAAAUGGGGCUUUCAGUGUGUUAAUAAAUAGCAUUGUUAUUUCUCUUUCCAGGAGCAAUAGCUAAAAUUAGACGGCAACCUCCCUCCACCUUUGUACGUAUUGCCUAAAACUUUCAUUUGACUUCUUUUCCAUGUUUUGUAGGGUGAUUCUAUCAGGAACCAUAUCUAUUACGUGACUGUACUGCUUCAUGAAUGCUUGUGCUAAAUCCCUCCAUGAACUAAUCCUGGUACGGCUCAAUUGAUUGUACUAUUUAGAUGUUGCUAUCUUAGAAGCAAUGUAUUUGCAGUUGGUCGUUGUUAACAUAUCCAGUCAUCCGCCUACAAAACAUGGUGAUAUGAGCUUCAGGGCAACUGGUCCCAUUGUACUUCUCAAAUUCUGACAUUUUGAACUUGUGAGGGAAUACCAAAUCCGGGACCAAGCUCAGAUCUUUAUCAUCAAUCCCAUGGUAGUUCUUAGUGCUUUCCAUUGCCCUGAAUUUUUCUUCGAGCCUUUUACACCUUUCCUCUAGUUGUUUUGGCAAUUCCUCCUUUGUCUUUUCCUUUUCAGCCAUUUUAUUGAAAUUAGGGAUAGUAGGAUUAAUAGGGUUAUCUCCGAGGUUAGAGCCUGAUCCGGCUUAGAAAUUCAUUGGUAUUAAGGCACCGGCCUGAAACUGCUGAGGCCUGAUUGUGACAGAGGAUUUGCGCGGAUAUACCUCAGCUUGGGUCUACACGUGUGGAGGAGUAAAGCCUGAAGGAUAGAAAGGUCUCUCAUUGUCUCAUUCUUCAGCAUUAGCCAUAGGGCCCUUUCCUUUAUCGUUUCCCCCAGCCAACAGUUGAGUCAACUGAGUCAUCAUGUUUCUUUGAGACUCCAGCAUUUUUUCCAUCAUAUCUUGCUGAAUCUUAGCUAGCUGCUCUUGCAUUUGCAGCUGAAGUUGGUCUUGCAUAUCCUUUUGGAACUGUUCAAGUCUUUUCAAUCUUUGGUCCAUGUCUUUGGUUUUUGCUCGAGUACCGUAACGAUGCUUAGUCGAUAGACUCUUUUUAGGUUCAUAGGUUAACUAGAAUAAUUUUACCUAAUUAGGGUCAUUUUGUGAAAAUCUAAUACAUAUGAUGCAAUGUAAUGCAAAUGCAUGGAAUGAAUGCAAAAAGAAAGAGAGGCAUUGAUUCUGAAUUCAAUUCUAUUAGAACAACUUUUCUAGAAAACAAAUUUCUUUACAUAAAAUGAAUUACAUAUGUAGCUUUGCCCUUAUAUUUUAGGCAAAGACAUCGAUCUUUUUCUUCAUAUCUGGAUGCUAGGAUCAAAUCUUGCAAAUUUUCCAAAAUCUGUCUCUAUUAUCUCCUUUUUGUUUGAUCCAAGCCACGACCUAUUGCUCACCCCGUGAUGCUCUUUAGUUUCUUUGAGAUGUGACAACUCUCGAAUAAUCUUUGUCGGUUUGAAUCCUCAAGCAACGAAGCAUAGUCGUAUAUUCCUCUACGAACUUCUAGCCUUCUCUCGUUGUGUUUAAUCAGACCAUAUUUGGGUAGUCGCAUUAUAUUCCACUUUAUCAAGAAAUUCGUUUUCCAUGACAAGCUUUUCUAUUUAGCAAUUAAAUUUGAAUCAACACCUCUUUCUAUGAUGAAAAUGCAAAGCAAUCAUAAACAAAAUAAAACAAAAUACGUCAGUACAGAAGAAAUAAACAACAGAAUAGAACACCUAUCUGGGUGACCACUAGGGUUUGGCGCGGCUUUACCUAGGGUAGGUUCUUAAGGCUCUCUAUAUGUGGUUCGGUUCUAAGGCAAGGGUACCUAAACCAGCAGAUUCCUCGAUCCUCACCCAUUAUAGGUUCAUAUGGACCGAGUUCAAUUCAGGGGGAUACAUUUCCCUAUGGCUGCACGGAGAUGAAAAUCUCACGAAGACAUAGGUACAGAUGUAUCCCGAAAGCGAUCUACUAUCCUGCACGGAGGUGAAAACCUCAUGAAGGAGUAGCUUCUCACUUCCACUUGAAAGGGUGUGACCAACGGUCAUGCAAUGUAAUGUGUGGAGAUAUAAAAAUUUAAAAUACAAAACAUGAUGAAAACUAUAACUCAAAACAGAUGAAAUGCAAUGAGAAGCUUAUAUGUUAAAAACCAAAAUUUCAACUUUCGACAAAAAAAAGGCAAAAAUUAAUCAAUUUACGGCUUGACACUCUUAUGGUCCCCAGUGAAGUCGCCAAGCCGUCGAAACCAUUUUUAUUUUGAAAAACGGGGUUGACUUUUAAAACGAAAAUAGAGUCGCCACCAAUUUUUUUUCGAGGUGUGAACGGGUCACCUUGAGAUUAAUUAUUUUAAUAAAACAUUUUGAUUUAUUAAAAUAAUGAUUUUGGUCUACAAAAUUCAAGAAAACGGGCUUGGGAGUCGGUUACGCACGAGGAAGGAUUAGCACCUUCGUAACGCCCAAAAAUUGGUACCUAAUUGAUUAAUUAACGUCCUAAUGUAAAAAAUUUGAAAAGAUUUUAAAAUAUGAUCCUCUUUAAAAACCUGAAUAAAUUGAAUUUGAUGUUAAGACCUCCUUGUUCCGAAGUAAUAAGAUGUCACAUCCAGUAAGUUAGGAUACGACAUUUUAACCCUCGAAACUAAGCUUGUCUCAUGCAUUAAAGUUUAAAAAGGAUAUUUGGUUAUUUGGAUAAAAAAAAUCGAAUCCCAGUAAGUUAGGACACGAUUUUCUCAAAGCUCCAAAGUACCAAAUAUUGCCUUAUUUUUAAAAGUUUUCUUUUUUAAAAUUGGGGAAAAUUAACGCAAUAUUAAAACGACGUGUAAAAACUUUGAUAAAAAAACAACAAUAUGAAAAUACAAAUAAACAAUUUAUAAAACACACAAAGGCAAUUAUUUAAAUACUAGCAUCAAUAAUCAAAGACCAAUGAAUUUAAAACAAACAGUAUAAAAAAAUAUAAGGUAAAAUAAAAUAUAAACAAAUUUAAAAAUAAUGAAUUUGAAAAUGAAUAAUAAGGGAAAAAGAAAUUUGAAAUCAACAAUAUACAAAUCAAUAAAUAUAAAAAAAGUAGGUAAUAUAUGUAUAAGUUUGGAAUAAAUAAUAUAUAAAAAAUGAAAAUAGGUAAUAUAUAAAGUAAUAAUAUAAAUGAGUUUAAAAAUAAAUAUUGUGUAAUAAGGAAUUUAGAACAAGUUAUACACAAAACAUCUUAAAAAUAAAUGAUAUAUAAAAUAGAUAGUAUAAAAAAAAUUUGCAAUUGAUAAUAUAUGGAAAAAAAUUUAAAGCAAAUAAUCAAACAAUUUAAAAUGAAUGAUUUAUAACACGAGUUUUUAAAAAAUAAACAACAUUUGUGACAUAAUAUUAAAAACAAAUAAAGUAUAUAAUUAAUGAAAGAAAAUAAAAGAAUGAUAAGAAUAGUUAAAUGAAUGAACAAUAUGUAAAUAAGAAAGUUGAUGAAUAAAUAAAUGAAUAAAAGUAAAAGAAUAAUUAAUGAUUAAACAAUUAAAUGGAUAAAUAAAAAAAUGUUAAAAAAACGCUUAAGUCAGCCUAACUCUCACAAUAUGAAGAUUAAACGAAAUUCCUCUACCAAAAUCCAACUCAAAUGAAAGAAACUUAAAAAGAAACGAAAAUGAACGAAGAAUAAAAUAAGAACAAGCCACAGAAAAUAAGAACGCAAGAGAGGGAGAAAUUUGAGUGAAUACUCUUAAGAAUUAUUAUUGCUCCAAACUUAAGUUUUUUACAAUGAAGGGAGAGGCCUCUAUUUAUAGUUGAGCCUCCCCAAAUUUAACGGUACAGAUCAAUUACAUCAAUGGCUAAGAUUAAAGGAUAUCUAUAAAUCUCUAAGAUUACAAAAUCAUAUCUUUUAAGAUUGCAUAUCAUAUCUAAAAUUGCAUAUCCUUGAAGAUUAUAUUUCCAUAUGCGUCAAGCUUGUAGAUGGACCUUCAACUUUUUCAAGUAAUGGACCAUUCCGAUCGGACUAAAUGAUAUAAUUUUGUACUGGAAUUGGGCUUUGUUUUAUUAUUUUGAGUUUAUUAUUAUUUUUUGAGAGCCCGGAUUAAAUUAGCUUAUUACAGCUAGUUAUUUUCUUGCAACGUUGAUUAAUAAAUAUAGGAUGUUUCGUUCUUCUAUUCUAAAUACUAGAAUCAAACAUAUUUCCAAAAGAAAGAAAUUAGAGUGGGGUGAUGUAGCAAGAUUAAGAAUCAACCUUUCUGUUUAUGACCUAUGAACAUAUUAAUUAUGAUUUCACUAUUGUAUGUAAUAAAUCCUUGAUGAGAUUUUGUUCUUUAGUUUAAAAGAAGCCUUUGACCCAACCGUUGAGAGAAUAAUUAUGUAAUCUUUCUUUUCUAUCCAAACUCCUUUUAUUACAAAAAAAAAAAGAAAAAAAAAAAGAGUGGCGUCUUUAGUUUUUUUCUAGUGCUACCAUAUAUUCCUUGCUUGCCAACAUUUCUCUCCCCCUCUCUCUUCCAUAUAUAAAGGGUUAAAAUGUGCCACAAAUACUUAUAAUUUCAAAAAUUAAAAAUUUAAUCCAUUUAUUUUUAUUUUAUAAUUUUAGUUUUUCUUUUUUUAAGAUUUUAAAAUUCAUUCAAACUCAAUUGUUACCAUUAUUAAUUUUUUGGAUAAGUUUAAAACAAAAAAAUUCACUUCAUAUCUAUAUAAUUUUGGAUAAGUUUAAAAUAAAAAAAUUCACUUCGUAUCUAUAUAAUUAAACACUUAAACUUAUAUUUAAUUUAAAUUUAAUAAAAAUUAUAGAUGUUAACAGUUUAAUCAAAAAUAAAAACUCUAAACAAAAUUCCAUUAAAUAAAACUACAGGAUCGACGGACUCGUAAUUUUCCUAAUUUUUAUGAAAUAAAGAAAAUAAAAAUGUUAACAAUUUAACCAAAUAAUUUGAUCUAAAUUCCUUAUUUUCGAAAAGCAGAUUCGUGGAACAUUUUAACAUAUAUAAAUAGGACCGGCGGAUUUUGACAAACGUAGUGAAAGAUCGAAAUUGGCAAAAGAUGAAGGUUUCCGUCAAAACUCUCAAAGGCACUCACUUCGAUAUCGAAGUCAAACCCGAAGAUGCGGUUCGCUUCUCUCUCCCUCUUUUCCCAGGGAUUUUACGUUUCUUGACUAGGGUUUUCCGUUUUCCCCUAUAUUUGAACAUUAAUUCGCGUUCAUCUAGGACUGUAUUAGUUGGACUUAUUAUGCACGUAGUUGAAUUACCAUGCCUGACAUGUAAAAUCGGAGAUCGUGAAUGAUUUGUUCAAUUUUAGUGUCUAAUUCAUUGAAUAUGUUUAUUUAGCUUGUGAAUAGUCUAGCUACUUCGAUUAAGUUUUAGUGGACUGAUACUCGUGUAGCUUGAACGGCAAUAUCAUUUUCUUCUGGCGACAAUUAGCAAUUAAGUACUUCUUCCUACGUAAUGCUUUUUACUAGUUCAUUGAAAUUAGUGAAUAAUACUUUGAUUUGUGGGCUUCAUUUUUGUAUUAGUAUUUCAUUAACUUGUAUCAUUGAAUAUUAAUUCAUAGAUUGCCAUGUAAUUGCUAGUUGUAGUUUGCUAGAUAUAAGUUUGAACUGGGGUAUACACAAGCUUUGAACAUUGAAAUAUGCUAAUAUCUCAUAUUUUGCAAUGUUCUUUCACCUUUUUAAAAAAAAAAAAAAUUUAGUGUGGCUAUAAACACCGGAUUAAAUGUACAGAGGCUUCUUUUAAUAGAUCUUCUAUAACCAAGGAUCAAGUUCUGCAUUCUAUGGUUACAUCUAAUCAAGGGUUGUGUUUUUUAAUGAUGUGGAUUUUCUAACUAUAUAAAUAAGCUAUUAUUAUUUUUAUUGUUUUUUGCUACUUUUUAUGCUUUUAAGGCUUAUAUAUGCAUAUAUAUAUGCACAGACAUGAAAUUCUUGGGAUAAAAUGCAUUCUGCCUUCUGCCUUUUACAUUACUUUGUCACUUGGUAUUAUACUAUUCUGCUGCAAAUGCUUGUCAAUUCUUUCAGGUUGCAGAUGUAAAAAAGAACAUAGAAACUGUUCAAGGGGCUGAUGUUUAUCCUGCUGCACAACAAAUGCUUAUCUUUAAGGGAAAAGUUCUUAAAGAUGACACGACACUGGCUGAAAACAGUGUCAAUGAAAAUAGCUUUAUUGUGAUCAUGUUGACAAAGGUGAGUUUGGUUACAGUAUCCUGAUUUUUAUGUUUGUAAUCUUUCAUCUAACUUGUUCUAACUUUUCUGAACUUUGUCCUAAUAAACGCCUAACUGACAUAAUUAUUUUUCACACUGCUGUUGAACUUGAAAGUUAUCUUAGAUAUAACUUAUGAUGGAGUGUUGUAUCAUUAUAUAUAUAUUUUUUUUGAAAUCUGGUUGUUGCUUUCCUUUAGGUGCAUCUUAAAAAUCAAAUUUUUGCUAAACUAGAAAAUUUUCUUUGCACUAUUUUUCGACCUCUUACUUGUAUUGUAUCUUAAUUUAUUUUUCAUGACUGUCAUUUUCAUACUAAUAAUGUCCUUUUUGCUUAAAUAAACUAGAAUAAGGGUGCAUCUGGUGAGUGUUCAACUGCUUCAACAGCUCCUACAAAGAAAGUAAGAUUAUAAUUUUGCUACCUCUCUUACUGCUACUUGCAUGCAUUUUUAGCUACAUUUCUAAAGGCAUUUGUGAUUGAUAUAACAUGAAAAGCUUUGGGGUUCUGUUUUUGCCGUGAUGGUAGGUGUUCUUUACUUCAAUGCUAUGAACUAGAACUUGAAGUGAUAGUCAAGCAUCUUGAGCAAAUAUACUUUGUAUACGAGUAGAUCAUCUAAAAAGUUAUAGGUAGCAAAUAGAAUGCUUUUAAGAUUUUGGGUUUAUAGAUAUAGCCCAGGUUUGAGUUGUUUUGAGUCCAACUGAUAGAUAUGUUACACUAUUGAGCUACAAACAUAAUGCAUAAUUUGGAGUUUGAGUUGGUGUUAUUACCAAAUUCAACACCUUAAAUGUUUGAGUUAGUCACAUAAUGUCUGUUUUCCCCCCACUAUACAAUCUUUAGGGUAUGUUGCUUCUGAAAACCAUGCCUGUUUGCAAAGAUUAUUGUUGAGUAAGUAGUGAUUUUUGAUUCUUUGUAGGCUCCUGAGGCAAGUAGUCUGCCAACAGCUACAGUACCAGCUUCGACUGCACCUGUUGUGACGUCUGCUGCGUAAGUCCCGCUAUUCAACACUUUUGGUCAGAUACAGCACCUUUGCAAUUGAUUAAUUGCUUAUUAAUUUCUUAUUCAGGGCUGCACCUCCCGCUGAAUCUGCUCCUGUUGCUUCAAGUACUCCUCUGUGAGUAACUUAUUCUUGAUAGUAACUUUCAUGCUUCUAAUUUGAAGGACAGAAGCUUGCAUUUGAUUUAAUCGAAUUGCUUUUAGUAGGAGAGAUCUUGGUUUUUUUCCUUGUUUUCCUUUGCAUAAUUGUAAUAUCUUGAAUAAUGUCUUUGGAAACAGGUCAGAUUCUGAUGUUUAUGGCCAAACAGCAUCUAAUUUGGUUGCAGGGAGUAACUUCGAGGGAACAAUCCAACAAAUUCUUGACAUGGGUGGAGGGACCUGGGACAGGGACACUGUUGUCCGCGCCCUUCGCGCUGCUUAUAAUAACCCAGAGAGAGCUGUUGAAUAUUUGUAUUCUGUAAGUACCUUCCUUGUAUCUUGAAGAAUAUGUGCUUUCUUCUGUGCUUCUAGUUGCUGUUGUUUUAUUAUUCUCCUUAAUGUAGUUGCUGUUGAAUAUAUUUGCUUUCUUCUGCCCUCUCCCCCCCUCCUCCCCCCCCCCCAAAAAAAAAAAAAAAAUUGUAAACAGGAAUGUUGGAUUUCUAUCAUAUGGUGUCUUAAAUUUUCCCCCCUUGGGAAUGGUGGGUUUUGAUGAUAUUUUAUACUGCACCCUUUUCUUUUCUUCUUUUUAGUUUUCAACUAAAACAAGCAUUCAUUUGUUUCCUAAGCUGCAUCUCAUCUUGUCAUAAAUUAUUGUUGCAAAUACUAGGGCAUCCCUGAGCAAGCUGACGCUACACCUGUGGCCCAUGCUCCUGUAGUUGGGCAAACCACUAGCCCUGCAGAACCACCUCAACAGCCUGCACAAAUGGCAGCUAUUCCUACAAGUGGACCAAAUUCAAAUCCAUUAGACCUCUUUCCCCAGGUAAAAUUGUCAUGCGGUAGACAUUUGAUAAAUUUGAUGAUGGGCAAAUGAACCAGUGACUUGAUUUCCUUUUAUUGAUACAGGGCCUUCCGAACAUGGGUGCAAGUGGUGCUGGGGCUGGCUCUCUUGAUUUUUUACGGAACAGUCCACAGGUCUCUCUCUUUCUCAUUUGGUUAUAUAUGGGCUUGUUAGCAUGACUGUCAUGUAAAUACCUACCUAGGACUACACUCAGUUUGCAAUUCUCUUUUCAGUUUCAAGCUUUGCGAGCGAUGGUGCAAGCCAACCCACAAAUAUUGCAGGUUAUUCUCUGGUCCCUUGUUUCCCCUCUUCAAUCUUCAUGUGUGUGUUUCAUUUUCUUUUCUUCUUCCUUUUUUCCUUUCACCUUUCCUCAAUGUCUCCCUUUUUAUAUUUUUGGCAGCCUAUGCUUCAAGAGUUGGGGAAACAAAAUCCUAAUCUAGUGAGACUUAUUCAAGAGCAUCAGGGUGACUUUCUUCGCCUGAUCAAUGAACCUGCUGAAGGUGGAGAGGGGUGAGUUUGUUGUUUUUAGUUGCUCAUUUCUUGAACUUAUAUACUGCAUGUAUAUCAAGUGCUUAUUUGACAUUCCUGUUGUAAAGAAACAUUUUGGGGCAAUUAGCUGAGGCGAUGCCACAAGCUGUGCAAGUCACACCUGAAGAGCGUGAAGCCAUAGAACGGGUAUGUCAUCUGUUACGUAAAGGCUGACUUGGAUGUGUUCACUAUUCUCUGUAAUCAUGGAUUAUUUAGCUAUCUUCCCCACUGCCUCUGGAAAUGCUUUCAUUUCCUUGGACUUUAUCUGAGUUAUGAAAUAUGCAUCACUUCUUUCUUUUAGGCAAUGGUUUUACUUUUAGAUGAUUAAUAAACUCAAAUUUGUUGCAUUGAUCUUGUGCCUACAAAUACUUUUGUAGUCUCCUUAUUCUCUUGUUCAUUCCCCAUCUCUUGCAGCUUGAAGCAAUGGGGUUUGACCGUGCAACUGUGCUCCAAGUGUUCUUUGCGUGCAACAAGAAUGAGGAACUUGCAGCCAACUACCUUUUAGAUCAUAUGCAUGAUUUUCAGGAUUGAGUUGGUAAAGGAAAUGACUAGGGGAAGUACAAUUUCAUUCUCUUUCGUUCUUUGGGUCCAUUGUCAUUCAUGUUCCCCCUCCCGUCCCCCCAAAACUCUACCGACUUUAUUCUUAAACAAGUGAUGUAAGUGUUUGGUGUAGAGACAAGGAAUGUGAAGAUGUUAACUUCAUUUUUUUUUCUUUUUUCUUUUUAUUUCAGGACCCAUUAUUUAUAACGUUAUAUACAAGUUUCUUUCUAAGCUUGUGCGUAUUGUACUUUACAUUUUAUGCUAUUAUAAGCACUUGCGACGAGGAGCUGCACCCAACUUUCAAGUUCUUCGAUCAAUACUCUUAGAGGUCUAGACAUGGAAAAGACUUAAGGCAGUAUGACGCAGCCAAAUUUUCCAUAAGGCGAAGGUAAAAACAAUGGACUAAGGAAUCGUCGGGUGGUGAACUCACACUUUUGAAGUGACAUUUUCUUGGGCCCAUUUCCCCCAAUUACUCCGUUGAGGUCUAACUCAAAAGUGAAAAUGAACAGAAUUUCAUAAUUGCUGGACAAUAUGACAUUCCCAGGAGCAAAGGAGCAAUAGAUUCAUGUUCAACAUUGCGAAAACAACAGGAUCCACUAGGUUCAUACCUCGAAGGAUCAUAAAAUAUCGGGUUGAGAGAGGUGUCCACCCACAUUUCUAAAGGAAGAACUUUAACUAUGAAGGAAGACGAGCUUUCCAAAUCAAAUUCCAGAGAGUUAGUUGACUACCCGGGGAAAUGUCAAUAGAGGGAGUACUAAAUGCUAGGAUGAAAGAAUAAGCAUUAGCCAAGGUAAAAGUUCCAGAUUUCGUAAGCCCCCAACCAACAAAAUUUGAUCCCUAGAGUGCUUAAGAACACAUCAAUUAAAUCUUGCGGGAAUUGGACAAAUAUCGAAUAAAAACCACUACGAUCCUAGCUAUUGCAGACUUGCUCGAAAGACCAAAACUCCUCCAAUGGCAGCAGGGGGCCUUGUACAAGAUUGCGGAGAGGGCCUUGUCUUGACCACUUAUCACUAAAAAAAUUCAUUGUUCUACCAUCCUUAAUAACCCAUCUCAUCUCUAGCUCAAUGAAGUGGCGAAUCUUCUUCAAAGAGGGUGUAUUCUGUACAAGGUUUGGAUUACUAGGGUCAGUGAUGUAUUUUGAUAUAAGGAUUUUAGCCCAAAGGGUAGCCUUCUCCUGGAUUAGUAUCCAACCAAGCUUUACUAGCAAAGCUUGAUUUUUAAUUAUUGCUUUUGAUAUACCCAAACCUCCAUAGGCUUUAGGUUGUACGACCAAAUCCCACUUUAGAAGUUGUCCAUGAUUUGUAUGAUCAUAACUUUCCUAAAGAAAGUUCUUGUUGAUUCAGUCUAGCUGACUAUGAAUACUGGAGGGGAGUAAACAACACUGCAUGUAAUAGUUCUGGAUGGAGGCCAUUGUUGACUGGAUAAGAACCAACCUUCCAAGGGAUAGAAAAUUUGGCUUUCCAAUAGCUUAGCUUGUUAUGGAAUUUAUCAACAAUAAAAUCAUAGUCAUGUUUAGUGACUCUCUUCAUGUGCAUAAAGAACCCAAGAUAUUUCACUAAAGCAUUGGAUAUGCUUUUUCUAGAGUCCGCACAUUUAGGGGAAAAAGCCACUUGGGAUUUCUCAAAGUUUAUAGUUCGUCUAGAUUCUACCAUGAAUAGCUAAAUGAUCCUUUGGAUAGAGGAUACCGGUGUAGCAUAAUUUUUUUGCCAACAAAAUGAUAUCAUAUGCAAAUAAUAAGUGAGAGAACCAGGGUACACUCCUAGAGGGUCGGAUAGGAGACCAAACUUGUUGAUCCACCACUCUUGAAAUUAACAAGCUAAGGAAUUCCAUGCAUAAAAUAAAUAUAUAAGGGGAGACUGGGUCACCUUAUCGGAUUCCUCUAGAUGGUUUGAAGCUAUUCAAUUUUGAUAUGUUUAACAGCACCGAGGUGGAUGUCGUCGAAAUACAACUCAUUAUCAACUUGACCCAACUAGGGGGAAACCAAAGAAUAUAAGAACUUUAUGAAUAAAGCUCUAUUGUAGCUUAUCGUAAGAUUUUUCUAGAUCUAAUUUAAUAGUCAUAAGAUCUUUUUCCCAUUACAAUGAGAAAGGGAAUGGCAAAUUUCCUGCACUAUCAUUGUAUUAUCCGAAGAUAAGCACUUAGGGAGAAAAUUGCCUUGGACCGAGGAUGUAAUGUCAUUGAGGAUGGGUUGAAGACUCAUAACAAGGAUCUUCGUGAUAAUUUUGUAGAAAGUAUUGCAUAAGCUUAUUGGUCAGAAUUGUGAGAUCGAAGCAACUUCCCUAGAUUUGUGAGUAAGCGCGAUUGAGGUUUUGUUUAGCUCAUUGGGGAUCGUAGAGUUAUAAAACACCAUCACAUCGUUGUGAUGUGGGAAGACUCCUCGUCACGAUGUCACCACCGUGAAAAUCCUUCCCAUCUUCAUCGCAUCAUCGUGAUGAGAGAAAUCUUCUCGUCACGACGUCAAGAGUAUUUCUGGCCUUGGCAGCUUCGUUGCUCUAUCAAACUGCCUUGUCUCGUGGCCCGAUGAUCAUCCCUUGAAUUCUUGGACCUGAAUUGACAUCCUACACACUCAAUUAGCCCAUUAUUCACUUACGAGGCCAAAGUCGGUCUUAUGAGUCAUCGAAAUAAAAGAAAAUGCGUAAAAAUACUUUUUUAUUAAUAUUUAGUUUCUAACCUAGUAAUACUGAAAAUGCAAUAAUUAAUUAUAAGACGCCUAGAAAACAAGCUCGUUAAAUGUAGAAAUGACCCAAACUAAAUACUACAUUUGAAGCCAGGUCACAUACCCCCACACUUAAGUCCUUGUCUUCAAGCAAGCAAAACAAAAAUAAAAAACAAAACAAAUUGAAAAUGAAAACUAAACAUGCAAGAAAAGAAAGUGCACUUGAACUAGCUUAAUGCAGGAAAUUGGGCAGAAAUGUAUUAAAAAGAUAAUGUAAAUAAACAUAUAAUUCUAGCAUGAUACACAAUUGACUCGCAAUUUCUAAAAUUAGACAGAUUAGUUCAUUAAAUUACAAAUCAAAUAAAUAAAAGAAUAUUAAGUAUAGGUAUCCAUCAAAAUAAAUAUAUAAAUAUACAAUUAUGUUCAAAUGAAUACAAGUGGUAAAAAUAUCAAAACUUGGCACGACUGCCAUCCAUAUAGAGUACUACUUAGGUCACAUAGGACUUUUUGGCUUGUAACAUUUUGCGGCUUAAGUUGGUUUGGAAUUCAAGGAACAGACUUGACAAAAUGGCUAAGCACAAAACUAGUUUGACACAUUGUAUUGUCCCUGAUACUCCCCUAAUUUCGAAUAAUCUCACCACCUUAUAUCCACUUCCAGGGGCGAAGCUAGAAAUUUUUUUAGGGGGGGCCAAAAUGAAAUUUUAAUUUUUAAUAGUCUAUAUUUUUAUAAUUUUCAAAGGAUUAAAUCAAAUUUUUAUAAUUUUAAAGGGCCAAAGUGAAAUUUUACCUUUACUAAAUUAAAAUUUUAAAAAUUUCUAAAGGACCUAAAUAGUAAUUUUCUAUUUUAGAAGGGUCGGGGCACCUGCCAGCCCCCUAGAUUCGCUUUUUUCAACUUCUCUCACCUUCCUUUUCUCUUCAUCAUUAAUGCCCCGUAUAGUAUUCAUGAGUACAAUCAUUCAAGCUUGAAAUAAAUUUUUUUUCUUUUCAUCGAGAUUUUUUGGAUUGGCAUUUUUCCUUAUUUUGUACAAGCUCAAAAUCUUAUACUCACUAUACCAUACAGUUCCUUAGUCACUCAAUUUUUUUUCUCUUUUCUUUUGAAACCACCAUGAUGCAUCUCAAUAUCAAUGGUCGGACAUCAAAAUCUGUGCAAGGACUAAAAAAUAAAUGAUCAAAUAGAUUAUAUAUUAGGCUUAAGGUUUCAUUUAGGGUUCACCAAGAAAAUGGAUUCAAGCACAAAUUAGGUACUAGGGAAAAUAUAUAUAGGGUUAGCUUUUUGGCUAAAAAAAUUGCCUACCAAAUAAUGCCUUAGGUCGUCCCUAGGUAUUUCAAUGCAUGGAUUAAAUCGGCUAAGUCUCUUGAACGCUUAUAAAUGUGUUAUUUUUUAUAGUAUAAAUAUUGCACCAAAAAUAUAUAAAAUUAAUUUGCGGUGUCUGCAAGCGUACAAGUCAGAUUGUAAUAUAGUAAAAUUUACAACAAAACAUUGGUAAGUAUUCUAAGGAUCAUACCCAAGGGAGGAUGAAAUAAAUCUAUAAAAACCUUUUUAGAAUAAUAAAUUUAAAUAGUAAUAAUUAAUUCCUGUAUUAUGAUAAGCCAUAAAAUAGAUUAAUAAGAGAAUUUAAAUAACUAAAACAAAUAAACAAGAAAAAUAACAAAUGCAUUAAAUUAGUAAAACCAAUUAGGAAUAUUAACUCGUUUCAGGGUUUGUAUUUAACUUUGGAUUAGGGUUUUAGGGUAGAUUAGCUACCAAUUAACCAAUUAUUACCUCCCGUCCUCUACUAAUUAAUCAAUUGGUUGAUACUUGCUUAUCUCCCGAUCUCACUUUCUCAACCAAGAUAAACUAAAAUUUACUUGAUUCGACUUAUCUCCCGAUCUCGUCUCACCUAUGAUAACUUCCUAGGGUUGUCAAGCCUAAGGUUUAAGAACACGUAACCUAUACCAACUAAUCCUCUCAGGAAACCCUAAAUUCUUCGUUAAUCACAUCCAUAUCCACUCGUUAAAAAACCCUUAAGGGAUUUAGCCACUCAUGUUAUUCAUAAUAUCUAACUCAAUCGAAUAAAUCAUGUAAAUAACAUGAUUGAAUCAGAAGAGAAAUGAGAUUAGAAUAAUCGUGGAUUGAUAUCGAAUAGAGAACAGUGUAGGAAAUUAUUAAUCGUAAUAAUAAAAUAUAUCGAUUGCAAUGAAGAAAUAAACUGAAUACUUUAAUAAAAUAAAAUAACUCUUGGAUCGAAACAAAUUCCAAGAGGAAAAACAAAUAGUUUAUGAAAAGCCAAAAUAAAAUUAAUCUAAUCCUACUCUUAAGUGCGAAAAUAACACGAAUUAACUACCACAUUUGAUGGCAGGUCAAAUACCCCUACAUUUAAGUCUUUUCUUGUUCUCAAGCAAACAAAACAAAACAAAAUAAAUACUAAAUAUGAACUAAACUGAAAACAAGAAAUAAAUAUGCAAGGAAAAGAAAAUGUACUCGAGCUAGCUUAAUAAAGUAAAUUGGAUAGAAACAUAUUAACAAGAUAAUGUAAAUAAACAUAUAAUUCUAGAGUGAUAUAAAAUUGACUUGCAAUUUCUAAAGUUAGACGGAUUAGUUCAAUAAAUUACAAGGCAAACAAGUAAAAUAAUGUUAAGUGUGGGUUUUCAUCAAAACAUAUAUACAAAUAUACAUGUAUGCUCAAAUGAGUAUAAGUGGUAAAAACAUCAAAACUUAGAACAAUUUCAUCCAUAUAAAUUACUACCUAAGUCACAUAGGACUUUUCGUCUUGUAGCAUUUUGUGAUUUAGGUUGGUUUGGAAUUCAAAGAAUAGGCUCAAUCAAACAAUUAAGCACGAAAGUAGUUUGUCACAUGAUAUUGUCCUCGAUACUCCCCCGAGUAUACAUAUGCUCACCACCUUAUAUCCACUUCCCUCACCUUCCUUAUUUCUCAAUUUACUAAGGCCUUGUAUAGUAUUUAUGAAUACAAUCAUUUGAGCUCAUAAAAAAAUUAUUAUCUUUUUAUUUCUUUUUUGAACAAAAGUGAGCGUACUUUUUUUCCAGCUCACAUUGUUUUUAUUUUUCAUCGAGAUUUUCUCGAUUGACUUUUUGUCUUAUUUUAUACAAGUUCAAAAUCUUGUACUCAUUAUACCAUACAAUUCCUUAGUCACUCAAAUUUUUCCGUUUCCUUUGAAACCACUGAGAUUUAUCUACCUAAUCCCUCAAUAUCGAUGGUUGGACGUCUAAAUUCGUGCAAGAACUAAGAAAUAAAAGAUCAAGUAAAUUAUCUAUUAGGCUUAGGGUUUCAUUUUUGGCUCAUCAAGAAAAUGGAUUAAGGCUCAAAGUAGGUACUAGGGAAAAUAUUUAUGGGAUAUCUUUUAGGCUAAAAAAUUUCUACCAAACAAUGCCUUAGGUCCUCCCUAGGUAAUUAUAUACAUGGAUAAAAUAGGCCAAGUCUCUCAAUUUCUAAAACUUAUAAUUCAAUUAAAUAUACAUGCUAUUUAUAUACCUGUUUAUCAUGUGGUAUUGUAACACUUUCCACCCGACCCGAAUCACCGAGUCUGAAUAUAGUGGGGUCCACAUGACAAUCCUACUGUGGGGUAGUUAAAUUAUCAUAUCAUGAAAAGAACCACUGAUAGAGGUCGUAGGUCUUGUUUAGGGACCUUCUCCUACUCAAUUUUUUAAAAACAUGCAAGGUUUUUAAUGUUCAAUUUCAAUCAUGAAUGAAUAAUAUAUGCAUGUCAAGUACAUGUGACAUUCUUCCCUAAACUAUAUGACAUGCUUAUCAUACAUAUGCAUGAACAUACAUUCACAGUCAUAUCAAUAUCAUCAUGAUUAUCACAUAUAUAAAAGCAUAAAAAUUUAAAAGACUCUAACUAGCCAAAGUUUCCAUGAUUCCAUCCUAGAAAAAAUAAAAAAAAUUCACCUCAAAGCAUACUUUGGGUCUUCUAUUUUGUCACCAUGGACUUAUGGUACAGUACCAGUUCACGUUUUCAUUGUCAUUGUCUUUUUGCAGCCAUUUUUGUAUCACUGUCGCUGAACCGCCAUUACCGACCAUAGUUGGGUUAUCUCAAGUCACCGUCGAAUCGCCUCUAGCCACCGUCAUCAGCCUCCAUCGCUAACCCUUGUCGUCGAUCAUCACCAUUAGACCACCAGUAGUCGAUUGUUGCCAGACCACUAUUGGUCUCAUGCUAGUUUGGUUGGGUCAGGUUUGCAUCAUCUUGAUGGCCUAGAUACGUCUCAGUUCUCCUAGUUCCGUUGAAAAAUUUAGGUAACAAAAUUCCUAUGUCCGUUUCCAGCUCAAAUAUUUUAUUCUAAAAUAAUAAAAUUAAACCAUGCGUGAAGAUGAUAGUCCACGAUCAAAAAUAUACAUGCCCGAUAAAUCAAUAAAUUUAAUUUAAUUUUCUAGGAAUCACAACUUUGGCAAAUUUAUUUUAUCAUACAUAAUAAUAAAAUAAUAUCAUGAAUUCAUUCCUUUAGACAUGCAUACAAUUACAAGAAUGACACAUCUUAUCAAAAUAAAACUAUAAACAUAAUACAACCCGACACUCUGAUACCAAUUUUUGGAAAAAUAAAUCCUAUUCGAAAACGAUUUUCUUGCAUAGUGAAAAAAUUUGAAAAUCGUGCCGAUUUGUGAUAUUUAUAGCAAUAAACCCUUUACCAAAAUCGCACUUGUGUUUUUAGCUAGAUGAAUCCUUCUCAUUCUUGGCUUUUAAUUGAAUGACCUUCUUCGUUAUUCUCAUACCACAAACUGCUUUGAGUGUGGGCUUGAACAAUUUGAAUCAAACACAAAACCAAAAAUAGUUUCCUUAACUUUUAGUGUGAAAAUGAAAAUCUCUUCUCAAUAGAAAUUGGAAAAAAUUUUAUUUUAGAAAAUAGAUUUAAUAUUUGAGAAUUAACUCUCACUAUUUCCGGGCAAAGUAACAAUAUCUUUGAGUUUUAUUUUUAACCCUAUCGAUGCCAUCUAUUUAUAGGGAAAAGAAGUUAAACCUUUGUUGAAUUAUAGAAGUGUAUUUCCAGUAGAAAAAUGAAGUCCUAUUAUAACUAGAAUUAUAGGGGAUGACAACCCUAGUUAAUAAUACUAGGGAUUGUUGUCCUUCCCUUUAACAUGCGGGGCUUUUGGGCCUCUCUCAUAACAAGUUAAAUUACAAGUACUUCCUGAACUUUUAACCUACUACUUUAUAAUUCGAUCCAACCCGAUAUUUGUUUUUUUUAUUUCCCAAAAUAAAUAUAUCAAUUUAUUUCCAAUUAAAUAAUCUUCUAAACCCAAUUCUAAUUCUGUUAAAAUCACGACUUUACCGUAAAAGAAACUAUGAGAAAAUAUAUUUAAUAUUUCUACAUUUAAUGGGUUCACUAUGACCAAAUUAUUUAUUUCCAUUUUCAAACUUCAUUUAAUUCAAAAACCAUAAAUUCAUUUUCAGGUCAUUAUAUUUUGGAGAAAAUCACAUUCAUUUCCAAAUGUUUCUCAUUUCUCCAUUUUCACCAUUUCUAUUCAUUUAAUUCAACAUGCAAUUUAUUUAUGGUUUCAACAAUAUAGUGGAAAUAUUGAUUGGACACAUACGAUUAGGGCUCAAAUAAUUUAUAAUUAAGUCCCCCCUUUUCGCCUAUUAAUUAUAAAGUCAUUUAGUCACAAAGUCAUUUCACUAUAGUAUCGUGAUUGAGCUCUUUCCAACGGCAUACCAUUAUGAAAGCAACUACUCAGUGCUCGUCUAAUGACCUUGUCAUAAGUGUGUUACCCUUAUAAGAUAUCAUUAAUCUCUUUGGGAUAAUAUAUGUUCUCCCAAUAUGAUCGUAUUUUAUUUCAUGGUAAUCAUUACAUCUUCUUUCAUGAAAGGUCAAUCAUUAUCAAAUAGUGAUCAAAUCAUCCAUCACAAAGACGGAUGAACCUUGGCCACGUUUAAUUUUCAUCAACUAUGUAAUGCCAAUGAGAGGGUAUCAUUUACCCAUGUUUUGGGCUAUGAAUUCCACAUUUGUGAAUCACUCUACAUACUACAGAAGUCGUACACCCAACACACCAGCUUUCAGUUCCUUAUAUAUUUGAACUCAAACUUUUACUUACAUCAAAGUAUACGAGUCAUACAUACAUAACCCGUCAUUCACUUAGGAUUUAGGUAUGCCACACUGUAAACAUCACAACUAAAUAAAUACAUAAACGAAUUCAGGAUGUAUUCUUCUUCGGUCCAGUCCAAUGUACUAUCAUUCCAGUUAGUCACAUCUAUGUCUCUAUCUUUUGGGAGUCAUCCACUUUGAUGCCCAAGACAAAACAUCUCCCCAAUUGGACUUGAUAGAUGGUAUAUUAGUCUUUUAAUCGGUUUUGCUCAUUUCUAAUUAGACUAAGGACAUGUUUAGGUUCAUCUACUAAUAUAAGUUUUCUUUUCGUAUUACAAUACCACCACAUAAUACCGCUUAGUAUUAGUUUAAACAUUAGACAACUAGUGAGCCAAUAUUUGCUUCUAUUUUAAUUUGCAUGCAGAAACCACAUAAGGAAAAUUAUACAAAAUAAUAUUAAUGUAAUUCAUAAUUUUUUGUUAAUCAAUCUGUUUGAAAAAAAUACAAGUUUACAAACGAAUAUACUACACCCGUGGCAUGAGAUCCAACACUUCCUUCUUUUUCGUGUAACUAGGAAUGUUGAAUUUUUUCGACCUUAAAUCCAUACCUCUAAUCCUAAACUUCCCUGGCACCUUGUCUUCUCUUUUUCUUUUUGGGAAUUAUUGCUUCUUAGGAAUGCUGUCACCUUUAAUUGCAAUGCUAGGUAUGGUAGAAUUAGGGAGCGAGCUUUGGUUGGGGCAUGUGAAUUCUUUAUUGUAUCACUAGCUUUGAAGGUAAAUACCCACCCUUUUCAAUGAUGGUUAAUUGGAAGUCGCCUCGUCAAAGAUGGAAAAAGCACAAUACCAAUGCAUCAUCACUUGGCAAUCCCAGUAAAAUAGUGGCGGGGACAAUUAUCUGAGAUCAUGUUGGUGGUUUGGUUAUAAGAAGUUAUCGAUAUAUCCCCAAAGCUAACAUCAUCAAGGCUGAGUUGCAUGUGUUGUGAGAUGGCCUUAAACUUGUUGUUGAUUUGAAAAUCUCGCAUUUAGAAAUAGAAGUCGAUUGUACUGUUGUUGUUUCUUUUAUUUCUAGUAUGCUUAUUACUAAUCCUUUUGAUAUGUUGAUUAAUGAUUAUAGUUUGCUCUGUGCUUCUAUCCCGAAUACUAGAAUCAAACAUAUUUUCAAAGAAGGAAAUUAGAGUGUUGAUGCCGUAACACCUUAUACCCGACCUGAUCGCUAGGUUCGGGUACUAAGUGUCACAAUCAACCCAAUAUACUUAACAAUAAUUCUAUAUUGAUUUACUUUCAACUUUUACAUUCUAAGAUAGGUUUCUUAUAUAUACAUAACUUCACUCCAAUCUUGUAACAUCCCGAUUUAGAGCUUAGUCGGAACAGUGGUUUCGGGACCACAAAUUUGAUGAGGAAAAAAUUAUUUUUACUAUAUUUUUAUGGCCUACAAUUUCACGGAAAGAUUUCUUGAAAAUUUCGUUCAAAAAUUUUGACGUUUGGGCACUCAAUUUAGUCAAAAGGACUAAAUUGUAAAAAGUGUGAAAGUUGAGUUUUAUAUGUUAAAGGUAUUUAAUUGUUAUGGAACUAUAAAUUAGGGGUCCUUAUAUGGUAAUUAUACCAUUAGUUAGUGAUGGAAAAAAAUGGACAUGAGAUAAGUGAAAUAGGAUUUUUUUUAAGUAAGGGCAUUUUAGUCAUUUAGUAAAUAAAUAGAAUUAAAAGGGAAAAAGAUGUAAAAAUUGUAUUCAUCAUCUUUACUUGCUGCUGAAAUUUGAAAGAAGCCAUAGCUAGGGUUUCUUCACUUUCUCAAGCUCAUAGUAAGUGAUUUCAAGUCCCUUUUUAAUGUUCUUUAUGUUUUUGGAAUCCCGGUAGCUUAAUUUAGCUUAUUUUAGCAAUAAUUUAACCUAGGGUUCAUAUUUGGAAAAAUACCCAUAGGUGAAAUAUGUUUAUUUUGAUGUUUUAUGGUAGAAUAUGAAGUUAGGAAUUAUGUUAAACAACUUUUUCUAGUCGAUUUUAAGUGAAAACGAGUAUAUUGACAUAAUCGGCAAAAAUACCUAAUGUUCAUAAGUAAGUGUUAGAGUAAGAAUUUGAUGUUGUCAUAGAAGGAAAAAAUUUUCAGCAUGUUAUAAAACAUAAUAAUAAGAUAUGAAGUUUAAUUUAUGAGCUUUGGGGCAAAAGUGUAAAUAUGCAAAAGUUUAGGGGCAAAACUGUAAUUUUGCAAAAAUUGAGUCAAGGACUGUUUUGAUGAAUGUGAGUAUUAAAUACGCCAAAUUUGCUAUUAUAGAUCAAGAAGAACGAAUCCGGAGCUAGAUCGGGGAAAGAAAAAGAUUGAGGACUAAAGUGUUAGAUUUGAUCACAUUUUUGAAUUCGAGGUAAAUUUACGGUAAAUAAAUGCAAUAUUUCAAUAAUUAUUAUUAAUACUGCUAUUUUCCAACAAUUAUGUACUUAUUUUAUGAAAUUAUUUAAUGUUGACUUAAGAAUGAGAUGACAGAGAAUCAGUGAUAAAAGCCCCGUUGAAACAUAAGGAAUGUAUCGGAUACAAAUGUCAUGACAUUUGGAUAAAGAGAUCUCAUGUAAUACCAUGUCUGGGACAUGGCAUUGCCAUCAUUGAGAUUAUGUGAGGUCCCAUGUAAGACCAUGUCUGGGACAUGGCGUUGGCACCGAGAUGAGAGGUCCCUCGUAAGACCAUGUCUGGGACAUGGCAUGGGCACCAAUAUGAGAACUCCCAUCUAAGACCAUAUCUGGGAUAUGACAUUGGCAGUACUGGAAACAUCUCAUGUAAGACCAUGUCUGGGAUAUGGCUUUGGCAUGUUAUUAUCAAAUAUCAGACCCAAGUAUCCUUAUUAUUCCAAUGUGGCUCAACGGGCUAGAAAACAAAUUAUGUUCUAUGUAAGUUCAAGUAAAAGUAUAAUUAGCAGCUUCAGGUGAGUUAUAAGAGUUAAGAAUAUAUUAUGUUAUCAGUGAGAACCAAUAUUUCAGCAAGAGAAGAGUAAGUUGUAAUCUAAAGCUAUCUAAGCAGGUAAGUAAGUAAACAAGUAAAUGAGAUUAAGUAAAGAGAAAGCUUAAGAACAUGAUACUUGCAUAUCAUUAUUUAUGUUAAAUGCUGUUAUUUAUUUACUUGUAAACUUACUAAGCUUUAUGCAUACUUCUUUUAUUUCUUUUUUCUUUCAUAUAGUAUUAUCAAGCGUAGUCGGGAUCUUGAAGACGUCGGAGAGCGUUCACACUAUCAACCACCACAACUCGGUAUUUUAAGACGAUAAAUGUUUCGAGCUAUGGCAUGUAUAGGGACUUGGUCAUUUCGAUUUUAUAUUCUUAAGAUAUGACCAAAAGAUGAUAUGUAAAUAUUUGAUGAUGAAUAGUUAUUAAAAUGACUAAGUAUGAACGUGUUUGUUGUUAUAAAUGUCUAGGUGAUAAAUUAUGCAUAGAAAUCAUGAAAAAGUAAAAAAAAAUGUUAGCGAAUCAGUUUUGAGACAACAGUAGUGACGUGAUUUUGAAAAAUCACCAAGAAUAGUAGAAAAUGAAUUAGAGGGUGGAUGAGAUAUAGAAUUAAAGCUUAUUGAGUCUAUUUUAUAUAAAAAUAACACUGUAGACAAAGGAAUUAUGUAUUAUGAGAUAUUUGCAUUUUAGUUAGACAAGGUCAAAGUGGUUUUCGGAAUCUCCUGUUCUGACUUUAGAAAAUCAUUAAAACUUGUACAAAAAUAGUUAUGAAUUGUAAUUUAUAUGUCUAGAUUUAUUAUUGAGUGUAUCUUCUGUAGGAACAAGUGGGAACACCAUAUGAAGUCUGUAAAAUGAGAUAAUUAAAUUUUAGUGAUGAGAGGUCAGGACAGUCGAUCAGUGAAGUAGGGGAGACUUUAACUAAUAAAAUAUACUAAUUGGAUAAAACCAAAAAUUCUGAAAAAUUUAUGGUAAAUAUAUAUAUGAUUCUAGUUUUAGGGAAAAUUUAUAGAUCUAAAUUUCAGGUUUCGUAGCUCGAGUUAUAAUUGAUUUAGUAACUACUGCGCAAGUGGACAACUUUGUUGUGAAUAGUGAAAUUAAUUUCAAAAGUAAAAUUUUAUUCCCCGAACUUUUAAGUUAAGUCAAGUAACGCCUCAUGCUCGACUCCGGCAACCGUCUCGGGUAAGGGGUGUUACAAAUAUAUUUAGUUAACAUGUUAAAAAAUAUCACUACAGAUAAAAUUUCUACUAUUUCUAAAGUUCUUAGUAUCAAAUUACCUUAUUGAGCAGGUUUAAGUUUAUAAGUGUACAACAACUUGGGAAUUAAAACUUCUAUAAAAGCCUUCUAUAAAAGCCUUCUUAUUCGAACCCCGAGGCAUAGCCUCUAAGGGUGCCUCUUUAAAUGCAUGUACAACUAUGGCACCAUUUGCGUAACUUCACAACGUUUGGCAUAGUCCCUUCCUAACCCUUGAAUCAUUCUUUAAUCCUGCAUACAAAACAGUAAAAUCAUAAGUUUUGAUGAACUUAGUGAGAUUCUAUACAUCAGAAAUUAAAGGCUCUCAAAUUUUGGGUAAAUAAGAAUAAGAGUAUAGAAUUUAAAACUCCUUAGCAAAACUUAGGAAUUUUGUAGUAACACUAGAGUAGCUAAUGCUCAUGUCUUCUUUGAACCAAUCAUUGGCGGAUAUAACUGCUGAUCUGAUCAUAGGUGCACUCUUUCAAACAACCCAUUUCUGGGGCCCAACCUUGUCUAGCUCCAUCUUAGGCUCCCAUUUUACCUUUCUGGCUCGACUAAUCAAGGUUCCAUAUACACGAAUAUGCGAUUUGACAACUACUUUUGGUGGACUAUCAGGUAUCUCACCAUAACUGUGGAUCCUUACCCUAAUCUCUUCGUUCCACCCUGAACUCAAAAUAGGCUUACUACAUUACCCCGAUAAUUUUCUUUUUAUGACUUAUCCUGUGCUUAAACCCUUAUUCUAAGGAAGACCCAUAUACUGAGAAUCUCAUUUGCUAUCUUGAAUUUGAGAUUUGGCUGAUACAUGAUCACCUUGUUCUUUGCAGACUUGUACUCGUCAAUAAUCUCGGAAGACUUUCCUAUUUCAGAUCGUUCUAUUAAAAUACUCCCAGUAACAGAUAGUUCCCUACGAAGUAUUUCUUUCUUAGAUUUCCCUUGGCAGGCUUUCACAUUUGAUAGUCCUAAGAGGACUUCCCUGCUCUAUACAGUCAUGAUAGACUUUCGUUUCUUCUAUUAUUUCCCGAUGGACUUUCUACUUCAGAUUGUCCUUGGUGUUUUUCUUUCUUAAGAAAGUCCUCGAUGGACUUCCCUCUUAUUCUAGCAACCUCUUUACCCAUGAAUACUUAGGAUUAAUAUUUGCAGAAUCAUCUCACUUUAUUACAACAAAAAACUUGUUUACUUAUCGAACUUUGGUGGACCUUUAUGGUGGAUACCUAUUUGCCAAUACUUUGAAGGAAUUCCUCUUUCCUCUCACAUAUACCCUUGUUAAGACAUUUUUACCAGUUCUACUUACCUUCGCAUUUUUGAGGAUUCUCUUAUUAUCAUGUUUGCCCGUGUUCGCAAAUGCACGAUGCUCAUUUUGUUAGACUUCUUGUCGCGCGAAUCAUACAGUGAUUUCCCUUUUUUUGUGCCUUGACAGGUUUCCUACUUACUAUCCUGGGAGACUCCAUUUCACCAUAAAGUCUACCUGUUCACCACUAGAUUAUGUCAUGGCUAACCAUGGACUUUUGAUUUUGAAAAAUUAGUAAACCCCUUUCAAAAUGUCGUCUCAUAGGGCCUGUAUGUCAUUUACACAGUGUCGCCUUGAAGGACCUAUAUAUUGUAGUCAUGGUGUCACCCUAAAGGACCAUUAGAUAAUCGUCAUCACAGUGUCGCCCCAAAGGACUAGUAGAUAAUUGUUAUCACAGUGUCGCCCCAAAGGACAAGUAGAUAACUGUCGUCACAGUGUCGCCCUGAAGGACCAGUACAUAUCUGUUCCACGAUGCCACUAAACUCCCUUGUAUCCCAUAACAAUUCAUCAAUUCCUUCAUUACGCUAAUUUUUCCUAUCUUCAUCCAACCGUCAUAAUAACUCCUUCCAUACUUCUCAUUUUAAAAACAUGUUUUUUUCACUUAUUACUAUAACAUAUAACAUGCCAUAUUUCAAUACAUCAAUAUUGGUCUGCUGCAAUUUGUUAAAGCAGAUUAAACCAUUUUUCGUACUUAAAGAGCUUGAAUAAAAGCAAUUUCAUCAUGUUUUACUUAGCUUUUCACUUUUAGUUAUGAAAUAAUAAAGAGUGUGAUUUGAGUCAUUUAUAUGACUUUAGGGCCAAAAUAGGUUAAAAGAAGACUAACGUGUUUGGUGAGUGUGCAAGACAUCAUUCAGAUGUAUGGAAACACAAGACUAGUCACCAUGUUCCAACAUAGAGGUUCGACGUCGCAACAUAGUGAGAAGUAUAACCAAAAUAACAAGACUGCCUUUAGUGUCGUGACACAACCUUGAAUUUAAGCCUGAGCCAAGUAAACUACAACCAAUGUUACGACAUAGGGCAGAUGAUGUCGUGCCACCGGCCUGAUGUGAAGAAUUAAUGAGUUGAUGGUGUUUUGGUCUACACAAUGAACUUUAACAUAAAAACGUCAGUCAAACUAGGGCUAUGAACGAUAGCCAACCUUAAAUUUGUAAAUAGGUUUCACUAAACACUUCUUAGACAACUUUUCUAUAUGUUUAAACUUUUAUUCUAGUUUAGGUUACAAAUUUUAUUUACUUUUCAAUUUUUACUCCUUUGUAAUUAGGAUUUCUUUUCAAUUUUAUUUUCACUUUUGUUUGACGGAGAAUCUGGUUGGUAGAUUCAUCAAACUCUUAUUAAAAAAAAUGUUACUUUCCAACCUCCUUAUAUGCAAAUACGCUAGUAGAGGGCCAAACCAAGUGACCAUACUGUAUGUGGUCAAAGACUGGAUUGAAUUGAGGGAGAGAUACAGUCAAUGCAAACUGAAGUGAAUCAGGUGCAAUUUAAGUGCACCUAAAUGAUAAAAACAUUGACAAGACUAGAAGAUCAGAUGAGCCAAUUGAUAAGCAUGAUGGGGAAUAACAAAAGGAAAAUUGACACCGGGAUCCCAAGUAGUAUUGAGAAUAAUCCUCAGAGAGAAAGGAAGGAGCACAUUAAAGCAAUUGUGCUCUAUUUGGGCAAAGUACUCAGUAGCCCAAAGAACCCAACUCAAGAGGAGUGCAAGAAAGAUGUCGAUGAUUUUUGAGAAGAAGCUCCUUGAAAUGAUGAUGCUGAACUAGAACCAAAAAAGGUAGUCGAGCCGACAACUAAGUCGGUAGCUGAGCCAAAUAGAGAACCCGCACCAACCAAGGUACCAUUCCCUUCACAGUUAGAGGAUAAGUGGAAACAGGAUCAAGCGAAAUUUGUAAUUUUUCUAAAAUUAUUCAAGUCGUUUAAUGUUAACUUACCUCUAAUGGAAGUAAUUGAAAAUUUUCCUAAAUACUCCAAGUACUUAAAAGAAUUUAUGGCUAGGCGUAUGAAAAUUAAAACGGAGAGCAAGCUAAUAUAAAUGCAUCAUGUAGUGUGAUGAUUUCUAAAUAGAUACCCCAAAAACUGAAAGAUCCAGGGAGUUUUGCAAUUUCUAUAGAGAUAGGGGAUAUUCACUUUAAUAAGGCUCUAUGUGAUUUAAGAGCCAAUAUAAAUUUGAUGCCCUUAUCGAUAUACAAGAAACUGAGGUUAGCGGAACUUAAAAACACACAUAUCACACUACAAUUAACUUCUAGGUCUUCGGUAAAAUGAAAAGGAGUACUUGAAGAUAUGUUGGUUAAGGUGUGUAGCUUUAUAAUCCUGGUCGAUUUUAUAAUUAUGGACUUUAAGGAAGACCAUGAGAUACCUAUUAUGUUAGGUAGACCAUUUUUAGCCAUGACAAGGUCUGCCAUUAAUCUAGAAAAUAAUGAGUUAAUCAUGAAAAUCAAUGGCGAGAUUGAAGUAUUCAAAUGCGGUCACCAGUAGAAUGAGGGAAGUAGGGAAAAGUUAGGGAAAACAUGUUUUGAAAUAUUUGUAAACAUCCCUAAUUACCUUGAUUUGGAAAAGGUAUUUUUUUGUGAUAAGUGCAGGUCAAAAGAGAUUCAAGGAGCGGACCAAGGUGGAGUGGCAUGAUGGAUUUUGGACCAACACAGAUAGAAGAUCGAUUAAAGGGACAUCUAAGAAUACACUGACUAAGCUAACGGACGAAUCCGACAACAAUACUUGAUAUUUUUAAAUUGAGUUAAUUUUUUUGUGUAUUAUUGCAUUUUAAUAGACUUAUGGGUAGUUUAAGAAUUAAUUUUAUUUAACCUAUCUAAAAAUAUGUUUUGAACAUUUUGAAACUCGAGAAGAAGGGCCAAAACAGAGCCGAUGUUGCAAUACGAACCUGACUGCCUCCGGACGUACCAACAUCCAGAGUUUGAAUACUAGAACUAAAAUAUAUGGAAUUAAGGUAGUGUCCGCAAGUAUACGGGUCAGGUUGUAAUAUAAAUACAACGAAGAAGGUAACUUCUCCGAGGAUUGUACCCAAUGGAGGCGAGUACUAAAUUAAUGUCAACCUAAAUACAAAUAGAAGUAAUUAGUGGUUUAAAUAAAUUAUAGUAUGAUAAAACAUAAAAGAAUUUUUUUUGGGAUUUUAUAAAGAAUGAAAUAAAAAUAACAAAAGGAAAGUGAGCUUUAGAAAUAUAAAUUCUAACUUAAUCAAAUCUAAGUAUGGGUGAUUAGUUCACUUUGGUGAUCAUAACUAAUUCCUAUUUCAGGUUUCUACUUAAUCAACUAGUUGCUACCCUAGAAGGAUCUCUCGAUCUUCCACUAGACUAACGAGUUGGAAAGAACUAAUUAUCUCUCGACUUUACAGUUCAAAUCGAUUUGGGGUAAAGGUGUUCACGGAUAGGCCAUACCAAUUUUGGGUUAAUUCCCACCUAAAUUACUUCCUAGGGUCUCCAAGCCUAAAGUUUAAGUUCUUCCUCUCCCUAACAGCUGAUCCACUAUGAAAACCCUACAUAGCAAUUAAUGAAUCACACCUCCACCCACUAAUCCCCCAUAAAAGGAUUAGUUCCUUGUGGAUCUCAUGUACACAGUAAUCUUGAUAAUAAAGAUAAGCAUGAAUAAUGAAUCAAGAUAAAUUUUUAAGAGAACCCUGAAUUGUAUUGAUUGAAGUAUAGAAUCUAUAGCAGUUUGAUCACAGUUACAAGUCACGUUCUCUGACGAACACGGAAUAGAAUAGAACUGAAAUAAACCUAACACCUAAAAUAAAGGAAAAAAUAAAGACUAAAUUUACAAGGAAAGUAAAAGUUGUCUAAAAUAAGUGUUUUAAGAGCCUAUUUAUAGAGUUAGGGUUGCCGUCGUCCUCAACCUUAGGUCAGCUGACGUUCUUGUGUUUUAAUUUCCAUUGUGCAGACCAAAAUGCCUCUGAUGUCGUGACACCCUAGUUCUUGUGUCGGGACAUCAAAGGUAGUAUGCAUGGUUCAAGGCUAACUUCAGUAGUGUGUCGUGACAUCUCUUGGCUAUGUUGCGACAUCCAAGGUAGUAUAGUUGUUCUAGUAUUCUGCUCCCUAUGUUGCGACAUCGAAUCCCCGUGUUGCAACAUAGCGACUAGCUUUGAGUUUCUAUGCAUUUGAAUGAUCUCUUGCACACUUAGUAAGUACGUUAGCUCACAUUUAGGCCUCAGUCGGCCCCUCAGGUAAAUAAAAGACUCAAAAUGCAGUUUUUAUUGAUUUAACUAAACUAAGAAAACACAUGUAAAACAUACUAAAAUUUCUCAUCUUCAAGCUCCUCAAGUGUGAAAACUAGUUUAAUAUUCUACACCGAAUUACAAUAGAUCAAACUUUCCUACACUUAAGUCAUUGCUUGUCUUCAAGCAAAGCAAGACAUAAAUAAAAACAUAAAAGAAUACCCUUGAAAAAGUAUAGUACAAAGAUUGGUUUUGGAGUACAUAACUAGGCAUUUUCAUGUUUACACAUAAUCCUGAAAUGAUAUAUAAACAACUUACUGAUAACUCUUGAAAAAAGUUAUAUCUCAUGCUUUUAGACCUAGCUAAUUGCUUGUACUUAAGUACAUUUUGUUGCAUUUUAGAACAUUUUAGUUAGCAUUUUUAAAUAUUGCAUUAGGACUUGGAUUGUGUUGGAAUUAGGUGCUUUUAAUCGCUUGUAGUGGAGUUUUUUUUAACUAGUAGGAACAUGUUUUUGAACGAGAACAUAAAGGAGUGAAGUUUUUUCAAGGCAAAGUACAGACAGUUUGCCAGCGCGGAUGCCGUUACAAUGCCAGGAAGACCAAGUCAACAUUUUUCGUACUGCAGUCUCGGUUCAAAUUCAAACUUGUACCAAAUAAAUCCCCCUAAAAUAGGAGAAGAUAAUCAUAAGUUGUUAGCCAACCCUAGCCUAAUCUAUCUAUAAAUACCGAUGAAGGGGACCUCACAAAUGACAAAAAAAGGAGAGAGAGAUCCUUAGGCAUAAAUAAGGGUAUGACUGCGCAAAGGAAAGGAAGUUGAAGGUAGUCCUUCUUAGCCAUCAUAGGAUGCUUUGCUGCCAAAGUGUGGAUUGGGCAUGCAAAAGUUAUUUCUUGAAGUUCUUCCGUUAUUUCCAUUAGUGUUCCUUUGAAAUAGUGAAUUAAAGUAGUGGAACGCAAUGUCGGAUAAUGUUUUCGUUUGGAAUUUUAUUUCCCAGCCCAUGAGUUAAAUCCCAUAGGGUUGGGAUUACUUUCGAUGAAACUUUAAUUGUUUAUGGUGCAAUAUAUAUUUGAUUUAUUUUUCUGUUUCAUUUGAUUGUUUUUAUUUCGUAAUUUAAAUGCAACGAUCUCUAGACAUAGAAGGCUAUCGACAUACUAUAAACUGAUUCUAAUUCUAGAAAGGCUGGAAUGGUUGGAUAAAAAUUAAAUGAAAUGAGCAAGUAUUCGAUAGACACUUGUAGUUGACUCUAGACAUAGAGUCACAAUCAUAAAAUAGGAACCCAUGCAAGAUAUCUAAAAAGCCUAUAGACACAGGCAAGGUAACUUGAGGUUUUGCUCUCGCGAGAGGCAAGCCAUUUUAUAACUCUUCCGUGUAGUAAAGUAGAUACGAUUUUGCCAAGGCAUUACUGACAGUAAGGGUCAAGUCUGGGUAAUCCCGACCUUCCAUAUCAAUAACACUCUAUCCUUAUUCUUUGUCGUAGUAUCUCUGCCACAACAUAUUUAGUUGUUUAUUUCUGUUCGGAUAAUCACUCUCGUUAUUGCCAUUACAUUUCUACUUUCACUUUUGCCAUUACAUUUCUACUUUCACUUUUGCCAUAGCAUUUCCAAUCACUCAUCAAUUUUCAUCUAUCGCAUACUUUACUGCAUACUUACCUUAGUUUACCAUUCAUCAAUCUUAUCAUAGCAUUAACCAGAUUAUAAUAACUUGACAACUUCUGUGCCUCGAUCUGGUCCUCAUGGGACCGGUACUCACUCAUCACUUUAUUACUUAAACUGACGUGUAUACUUACACAAAAUCACAUAUCAUUUUACACGUGACACUUACCGCUCCUAAUAUUAACCACCUAAGUUCAGUAUAUUACAAAGUACACAAGUAUUAAGGUUUUCAAAUAUAUGCAUCCAUCAACAAAUCAUAUAUGUAAUUUGAUUAUCCUAGCAAAAUAUAAACAAUCGUGAAAGCAAUUACUUAGUAUGAUGUCAAUUGAUCAUUAAGUCUACCUAGGUCACAUAAGACUUUUCGGCUUCUAUCGUUCUGAAGCUUAGGACGGGUAUGGAAUUCAAGAACAAGAAGCAUUGAUUACCUCUAGACGUACCCACGUCCAGAGUAGAAAUCCUGCACAGAAUAUAUGAAAAACGCGAUAUCCGUAAGUAUACGGGUUAGGUUGUAAUACAGUUACAACAGAGUAGAAGAGUAGUCUGAGGAUCGUAACCAAGGGAGGCGAACACUAAAUUAAUUCUAACCUAAGCAUAAAUAGAUCUAGUUAUUACUUUAAAUAGAUUACAUUACGAUAAAGAAAAAAGAAGGUUUUUAUGAUCUAUACUAAUAAUAAAAUAAAUAAAUAAGCUCAGGAAAUCAAAUAAUAAAAUCUAUCAAAUCUGGGCAUGGGUGAUUAGCUUGCUUCAGUAAUCAUAACCAACUGUUACUUCGGAUUUUCUUAUUCCAUCGACUAGUCAAUAUCCCAGUAGGAUCUUUCGAUCUUCCACUAAAAUAAUGAGUUGGUAACAACUACUUAUCUCUCGAGCUCACAGUCCAGACCAGUUCAGGGUUAAGGUGUUUACGGAUAGACCAUAACAAAUUUGGGUUAAUUCCCACCUUAAUGACUUCCUAGGGUUGUUAGGCCUAGGGUUUAGGUUCUUCCUUUCUUGAAUAGUUGAUCUGCUAAGAAAACCCUACAAAAUAGCUAAUCAAUCAUACCUCCAUGCACUAAUCCCCCAUAGGAGGAUUAGUUCCUCAUGGAUCUAAUAAACAAUAUAAACUUGAUAAAACAAAGUAACCAUGAAUAAUAAUUCAAGAGUAUAAAGUUUAGUAGAAGCUUGAUUUGUAUUAGAAUUGAGCACAAAAUCCUCACAGGGUUUGAUUGUAUUUCACAAAUUUGAUCUCUCCCAAAAAAGCAAAUAACAAGAACUAAAAUUAACUUAAAACCUAAUAAGGGAAAAACUAAAGACUAAAUCUAGGAAGAAAAUUAUACAAUACAAAAGCCCUUCCCUAAUAUGUGCAAAAUGAGCCUAUUUAUAGACUUUAGAAUAGUCGUCGUCCUUAACCCUAGGCAACUGCUGUCCUCGUGCUUAACAUUUGAUUAUGUAGACCAAAAUGCCCUUAGCUCGUAAUUAUUUCCCGAACAAAGGUGAUGUCGAGAUAGACUAGGUCUUGUGUCAUGACAUCGAGGGUAGUAUGCUCAUUUUCCAGGUAUCUUCAGGGGUGUGUCGCGACAUCCUCAUGCUGUGUCGUGACACUGAAAGAAGUCUUAGAAUUCUUCUACUCUGCUUCCUAAGUUGUGACAUACAAUGCUCUGUGUUGCAAUACAUCGACCAGUAUCGAGUUAGCAUGCCUUCAUGCUCAUAAAGUAUAUUAGCUCACCCUUAGAUGUCUUUCGCCCUCUAAGGUUAAUAAAAGACUCAAAUUACACACUUUAGUAAAUUUAACUAAAUUUACAAAAACAUAUUUAAAACUUAACUAAAAUGCUUAUGUUCAAGCUCCUAAAGUGUGAAAACUAGUUUAAUCUACUACAUCGAAUUACAACAGAUCAAACUCUUCCACACUUAAAUCAUUGCUUGUCCUCAAGCAAAACAAAAAAAAAAGUAAAUGAAAAGACGACCCUUGAGCAAGCAUGGCAGAAAUGUUAGCUUUGGAGCAUAUGAAUAAGCAUUUCAUAUUCAUACAGAAUAUUGGCAUGAUAUAUAGCUGACUUACCACUUUUGAUAUCAAGGACCUAUGUUCAGUAUAUUACAAAGCAUACAAGCAUUAAAGGUCUCAAAUGUAGGAAUCCAUCAAUAAAUUAUAUAAGUAAUUUGAUUAUCCUAGCAGAAUACAAACAAUCAUACAUGCAAUUAUUUAGUAUGAUUUCAAAUUGUGAAUAAGUCUACCUAGAUCACAUAGGGUUUUUCAGCUUGUAACAUUCCAAGGCUUAAGAUUGGUAUGGAUUUCAAUAACAAUAAGCAUCAAAUAGUUUCAAGCACAAAAAUAGUUUGGCACAUCGUAUUGUCCCAUAUUCUCCCUUUUAGUGACCCUUUCCUGCUCACCGCCUUAUUUCUCCUUCUCUCCUCUUUCUUUUAUCUCCUUAUAGUAAACCUUAGCAUCAUAUAGUAACUACAACUAGCUCACGAGUUUUUGUGCAAUAAUGAUCAAGUUUUUCUAUAGUUGUGACUUUGUCACUUUUCUUUCCUUUUCAUAGUACCUCAUUCAUAAUUGUUUCUAUUUUUCACGUAUUCUUUUCCUACUCGUUUAAAUUUUUUUUUGAAUAUAUCUUUUUUUUAUAGUUUUAAGCUAACCUAUAAUCACUAUACUCUACUAAUCUUUCAUAUCACUUUAUUUUUACAAAGCUACCAUAAUGUAUCUAUUUAACCCUCAAUAUGUAUGGCCAGACGUCUAUAAUCAUGCAGUUCAAGACUAAAGAAAAGGGUAAGCACAAAUCAUCGCUUUUAUCUCACAUAUUGUAUAGAGGUUCAUCAAGAAGUGUUUUCUGGCUCAAAAUAGAUACUAAGGAUGAAUAAAUAGGGUUAGCUUUUUGGCUUUGGGUGUAUACCAAAGAAUGCCUUAGGUCAUCCCUAGGUUUCUGAAUAUUCCCAAAUUUAGUCAACCAAACAAUCACAAAUUCAAUAAUUUAUCAUUCAUACUAGCAUUCUCGUUUCCUAGUAUUCUCUAUGUCAUUUGGUACAAUCAAUUGCUUCAUACCUAUUUACAAUGUAAUAUAUAGAACUUAAUAGUCUAAUAAUAAAAAAUUUAAAAUCACUUAUCCUCAUGCCAAAUUUACUAUAAAUACAAUCAACCUAUGUACAUGCUCCUAACCAAUCACUUGUACUUUUACAAGCUCAAGCACACAAAUGAUAAGAAAAAUCGAAGAAAAAAAAAAAUUAAAAAAAAUCUUCUAUGUUACCCCCCACACUUUAGAUAACUCAUCAUCCUCAAUGUGUAGCCCUGAAAAAAAAUAAGGAACAAAGUUACCCUAUUGAUCGUGAUAGUUUCAUAGACUAUUGGUGGGUACCUCUGUAAACUCGAAAUUAUAUAGGGUUUUUCUAUAUAAUUUUACCACCUUUUUACUUAAUUAUUUUGUUUAUCUUGAGUAAUUAUUAUUGAAAUAGGUUAAUUUUAAUUAAUUAGUAAUUUUGAACAUGAAUUUUGAAAGUAUGUGAAAUUAUGCUUAAUUACAUUAUUUUUAUGCAUAUUUUAUAUGAAUUCAUGUUAAUUUAUUAAUGUAUUUAUUUUUCACCAUGUAGAAGGUCCAUUGGAGACAUGAUUUAAAUAAAUAAAAGAUGGUCAUGCACAAACUAUCCAUAUGGAUGGCAAGACCAUGCAAUUUUGGGCAUGGGGUUGACUAUUUGACCCAGUAAGGAAGAUGAUGAAUGAUGUACAUAUUUGCUAAGUUAUUGGACUGAAAAAAGUUGUCAAACAAGGGGAAUUAAAAGCCCAAUUUCAGCAAUAGAAGAUGGCUACCAAAAAUAUGUUUUGAAAUAUUUAAUGGAAGGUCCUUACAGUUGGAAAAUAAUUAGAAUUCAGCCCAACAACUUCCCUAUUGAAACCGUACACUACAUAGCUAUUUUUAUCUUGAAUUUAAAAUUCAAAUUGAGAAGACUUGGUCAUCCAUUUUCCUUGAAGCAUGGUCGACCACAUAAGAAAAGGAAGCAAGAGAAUUUAAACCUAUUUUUAGUAAAUACCUUGUCAUCCCUCACUUCUAAAUCGUUCCUUAUCACUCAACAUUUCUCUCUCAUUCUCAAUAGUUUUCUCUCAAUUUCUUCUCUCUUUUUCCCUUGCAUAGCCAUUCAUACCCUCUCCAAUAUCUAGCUUCAAAAGCUUUUUCAAAAGCAAUAUUUAGUCGACUACCUUCUAAACCCUUAAAAAAAACCUUCAAUCAGAACGAAGGAGCGCUUCAGUCAAAAUAGAUCCGAAAGGCUGCUGAACUGAGUCUACUCUUUCCUCUUGUCAUUUAUUUUAAACUUGUUUGCUUUGAGUUUUAUGUUUUUAACAUCAAAUAUGAAGUUUUAAUUCCUAUAUUCUAGAAUGAUUAUAUUAAUUUAAUGAGAUUUCUUUAAUUCAUGUUAACAUGUUUUGUGCUUCAGUUGAUUAUGUUUUCAAUUAAUAUCAUGAUGCAUUUCAUUCAUACAUGAUUGGGUGCACUUAAAUUAGAUGAGCAAUCCUAACCAGAUGACGACUAAUAGACGCAUAAUUGAAAAGUGCAAUGCUUAAUUUAGGUCAUUAAAACCGACUAAGUUAAGGUUCAUAAUAUCUUUAGUUAGCUUUAUUAUCUUGCAUGGUUUUUAGAUUUAUGUAAUUGCAAAUGUAAAUAUCCAUGUGACUUUGCAUAAAUGCCAAGAAACCCUUAGUCUAAUAUGAUCAUUAACAUGCAUAUUUAACUAAGUAAAAGAUCUGAGAGGACUUAAUUUGGUUUCCGAACCCAUACGAGAUCAAGUUGCCAUGGAAAUAAUUUCGAGCAUGUUAGCAUGAUGAAAGUAAGUUGAUUUGAUUAAUAUAAUUAUCCUAGCCCAUUUAAUGUUGAUUGUUUUUGUUGCUAAAGCUCUCAUUUCAUACAUUUAGGUAAAUUACAUCUAGAUUAAUUUUGCAUUAGGGAUCACUCUUACAUUUAAUUUAUCUAAUCAUCACUAUCAAAUUUAUUGAGUUUUUUUACAUCAAAUUGUUAAUUAUAAUUUUGCAAUUAAUUGUUUAAGCUUAUAUAGUCCCCGUGGAGACGAUAACUCAUUUGUACUUACUUAUUACUUGAACGACUAUGUACACUUGCGUAAACGUUACAAUUCAUUACAACCUCCUCCUUUGAUCAUUGAUAGUUCAAAAUCAUUACGCUUCUUCCAUGUGAGGCUCCUGUAAAGAAAAUUUAAGCACAAAACAACAACUAGUCUAUUAUUACUCCUACUCCUAACAAUUUAAAUUAAAAAAAUGAUCCCUAAAAUUAAUACAAUCUUUAAAAACAAAAAUUAUAAGUUCAAUCCUCCUCCUCAAAGACUGUCUCAUCAUCCGACGUAUAAUUAGGUACCCUAAUAUUGUUUUGCUGCACGAAUUCCUAAAAAAUAGGCCCAACUCCUGCAUCUAGGUUAUCAUCCAAUCUAGCUUGGGAUGAUUGCCCUCGCCAAUUUAUUAUUGAGUGGUCAAUUUUGCUUUCCUUUGAGAUGAAGUUGGAGAGACCAUCAUCUUUUGCUGGCGUUUAUUCUAUUCCUUAAUCUGUUUAUCCCGAAGCUCAAUGUACUAUGUAUACAAUGUUUCGCCAAUUAUACUUUGGGAUGGCUGCAUUGAUUGUUUCAUGGAUAUCAUCGAUACACCUUCUCUUUUACAUAAGGCCCUCUCUAAGUGAGGAAAGAAGACUCCCACUCUCUAGCCACUAACGCAUCGCUUCAUAUUUUGGUAUAUCCAUGUUCCGAUGUGUACCUAUUUUUCUACAAAAUAGAAUAAAGCAAAAUCGAUCGAAAAGUAUUGACAUUAGAAACAUUCAAAGCAGAAGCUAUUCUAGUGCAUAGAAAUUGAAUCCACAUUUUUGCUUCAGGAAACAUUAUUGCUUAAUUAAAGAAGGUUGGAAUACCAGUACUUGGGCGACAUUUGCAUUCACCCCUCCCCUCUGUUAUCAAGUUUAUAAUGUUGUCAUAGUUAUAUCUCAAAAAUAUUUCAAAUCAAUUUCUUCUGUAAAAUCUUUUUCAUAAAAUGGAGCAUUAUAAAAUUCACAAAUAACCCAAGGGGUAAUUCAUACAUCUUUCCCUCGCACAGGUAUCAUUUCCCAUGUACAACCUUUGGCUUUUCUAGACUCUUGGUCUCAUAAAGAUACAUAAAAUUCCUGAACUACAGGGACCACGAAAAAGUCCUUUGGGAUCGUUAAAAAAUGUUCCCAUCUAUGAUAUCUAACUAAAGGUCUUAUCUCCUGACAGAGAACCAUCGAUGGUUCAAAUCCCCUCUCUUGGAUAAAUAUUUUUCCCUGAAGUUCUAGAAAAUAUUUUUCAACAGUUGGAUUUGAUAAAUUAAAGGGGUUUAGAACCGUCGAUGGUUCUGAUUCAUUGGUUCUUCUCACUUUUCUUCGAGGCAUUUUGAAUAUUGUUCAAGUUCAAUAAUUAAUGAACUAACGAACAAAUUUUCCAAUGGAACAAUAAAAAUAGGAGUUAGGAACCCUUAACCUUGGAAAAUGAUGUGUUGGAUUCCUUGUAAUAUUCAUUUGUGGUCACUCCUUUUAGUUCUUCCCAUUUGUUUCUGUAUCAAAUAGAGAUGAAUAAAAGAAAUUUUAUAGUAAACUAGUAAGAAGAAGUAAGAAAAGAGUUUUAGGGUUUAUCAAAAUUAAGAGGUUUUGAGGUGUUUAAAGUGUUAAGAUUGGGUUAGGUAGUGAUUUAAUAUGUUUUUGGGUUUUAAAUAAGGUUUUUUUAGGGUUAAAAUUGGAUUAAUAAGGUGUUUUAAUUGGCUGGUUUGCGCAGUUGGGUCGGGUCAACCUUGUAAAACAUCCCCAGUAGUUUGCCAUUGUCGCAACAUCGAGGUUCGAUGUCGCAACACACUCUGGAAUUUUGGAAUUUUGGGUAAACUAUCUUUGGUGUCACAACACAGGAUUGCAGUGUUGCGACAUUGGCCCUAUUUUUGCCCAAACUUCCAAUUUCUAAAGUGUCACGGUUCCUAUAAAACAUAAAUUUCAUAAAAAUUAAAAUCUAGACUAAACAGUUAGUUAAAUAUAUAAUAAUUUACAAAGAAUUAAAUAUCAAUUUAAAAUAUCAAUUUUUACUGUCGGAUUCAUCCGAUAGCACCAUUAAUGCAUAUAAGGACGUUUUUCUGGUUCUUUCAAUGUUAGCCCAUCGCCCGUCGUGUCACUCCACCUUAUUUCAUUUAUCUCUUUCCCAGAACCUGUUCUUUUGACCUGCAUUGAUCGUAGGAAGUACAUUCUUUGAUUCUGGAUUAUUAGGGUUAAAAGCAGAUAAUUCAUUACAAUGUUCCCCUAGUCCCUUUUAUUUCCUCACUCUGUUGGUGACCACAUUUAAAAAAAUUUGUUUUGCCAUUGAUCUUCAUUGUUAAUUGAUUUCUCUUUAGAUCAAUGGUGGAGCUUGAUGUAGCUAGAAAAUUUCUGCAAAAUAGAAUGGGUUUCUCACGGUCCUCUUCAAAGUCUAAAACUACAAAGUCCGCCGAAAUGAUAAAGUUGCGCACUUUGACUAACACAUCUUCUAGUAUUCCUUUCGGAUGUAGUGUAAUUUGUGUAUUCUUGAGGUCCCUUAACCUAAGUUCUUCACAUAUUGAUAGAGGCAUUAAAUUGAUACUAGCUCCUAAAUCGCAUAUGGCUCUAUUGAAUUGAAUGCUCCCUAUCUCUAUGGGAAUUGUAAAGCUUCCCAGGUCUUUCAGUUUUUGGUGAACUUGUUUAGAAAUAAUAGCACUACAGGAAGCGCUCAUGUUAAUUUGUUCUCCUACAUUAAUUUUCCUACGUCUAGACAUGAUUUCCUUUAAAAUUUUGACAUACUCAAGAACUUUCUCAAUAGUUUAACUAAAGGUAGUUUCACAUUGAAUGUUUUAAACAAGUUUAAAAACCUUAGAAACUCGUCUUCAUCCCAUUUUUAUCUCUUCCAACCUUGAAGGGAGCAAUAUCUUUACAACGAUAGGGUCUUUAAUUGUCUCUUUCUCUAGUUCAACUACCGGUGCAACUACUUCCUCUAGUUUUGGUUCAUCAUCAGCUUCCAACCUUGAAGGGAACAAUAUCUUUACCACAGUAGGGUCUUUAAUUGUCUCUUUCUCCAAUUCAACUACCGGUGUAACUACUUUCACUAGUUUUGGUUCAUCAUCAGCUUCUAAGGGUCCUUUAUUAAGAUCACUUGUACUCCCCAUAGGUUCCUCCUAAGUAAGGUUCUCUGGGCUACUCAGUACUUUACUCGAUCAAAGCACGAUUGCUUUCACAUGCUCCUUCCCUUCUCUCCAAGGAUUAUUUUUGAUGUUGUAGGGAUACCUAUGCCAAUUUGUGUUUUUAUAUCACCCAUCAUGUUCUUCAAUUGGCUUAUCUGAUCUUCAAACUUAGUCAAUGUUUUUGCUGGAUUGGUGCAUUCAGACUGCACCUGCUUUACAUCUAUCCUCAUUGAUUGCAUUUUCCCUUUGAUUUGAUCCAAACGUUGACCACAUAUAGCAUGAUCAUUUGGGUUGGCCCUUUCCUAAGGUUUUUGUAAAUAAGGAGGUUGAUAGUUAGCAUUUUUAACCUGAUUUGAAGUAUUACCUCAUCCUUGAUUUCCUCCCCAUCUUAGGUUUAGAUGAUCUCUCCAUCCAGGAUUGUAAGUAUUUGAAUAAGGAUUUUCACCCCUAUUCCUGAUGUAAUUCACAUCCUUAGUGAAUUGUUAAUAUAGUGGAAGAGUAGUUUGUCUCCUCCAUAUAUAGACGGUGCAUUCUUUUCAGAUUUUAUUUAAUUGAUUCUAUCAAUUGUUGAUAUUUGUCAUCCUCCUAAACAGCCUUCACCGUAGAUGGUCUUUGGCCAUAUUUGUUUCGUUCAAUUGGCCACUGGUAGGAGUUCAUCGCCAUAUUUUCUAUUAAUUUGUACGUAUCCUCAUACAUUCGGUUCAUUAAAGCACCUCUUGCGGCUCUAUCCAAUCCUAACCUUCAGUGCACAUCCAACACAUUGUAGAAAAUUUACAGUCGUAACCACUCAGGAAAUCCGUGGUGUAGGCAUUUCUGAAUCAACUUUUUAAAAGACACCCAUGCUUCGUGAAAAAUUUCUCCUUCUAAUUGUUUAAACAUAGAAAUUUCCCUUCUUAGCUAGACCGUCUUGCUAAUGGGGAAGAACUUUUGUAGGAAUUUCCCUGCGAGUUCGUCCCAUGUCGUGAUUAAUCCUAAUGCCUGCGAAUCUAACCAAGGAAAGGCAUUACCAAUAAAAGAAAAAGGAAACAACCGAAGAAGAAUAGCGUCAUCAGUGACCCUAUUGUAUUUGAAGGUAUCACAAAGCUGGAUGAACCAUUUUAGACCCUGACUCGAAUCUUCUAUCAUCGUUCCUCGAAACCGCAAAUUAUUUUGAAUCAUCUAGAUCAUAGCUGGCUUGAUCUUGAAAUUAUUGGUCGUGAUGGCUAGCCUCGUUAUACUCCCUUGAACCAUAUCCAGAUUCGAUAACGUAUACUCUCUUAGAGUCCUUUCAUUAUAUGCCUUGAGAUUGUUUGCGGGUAAUUAUGGUGGUGGUGAUGGGUAGUCUAGAUUGUUAUUGUUAGCUUCGUUGAACAAUGGAUUCUCACAUGGUUGUAAAUUACCUUCAGUAGGUAGUUGAUUCUGCAUUAGUUGUGGUUGCUAUUGACAAUUUCUUCAGAUUAUUCAUUCUAAAUCUGUGACUAGCUCUAUAGGUGUUCCCCUACUACAAAUCAUACACUAAACCCAAAGAUAAAAGAUUAGUAUAAAAUAAGAAAAUAAAAUCGUAGCUAUAAUCUAAAAAUUUCCUAAUUAUUCUAUUAAUAUGCGAAAAAUUAAAUUUAAAUCAGUGACGUUGCCUCCCUAGAAACGAUGCAACAACUUGACCGCCUCCGGACGUACUAACGUCCAGAGUGUGAAUACUGCUACAAAAUAUAUGGAAUUUGAGGUGGUGUCUGCAAUUAUACGGGUCGAUUUGUAAUAUUUUGUUUACAACGAAACGCUUCGUAAGAAUUCUGGGGAUCGUACCCAGUAGAGGCUAGUACCAAACUAAUUCAAACCUACAAGCUAAUAGAUCUAAUUAGUACUUUAAAUUAUUUAUAGUACGAUAACAUAAAUAAAAGGGAUUUUUGGGAUUUUUAUAAUAGUAAAAUAAUAAUAAAGAAAUAAAUAACAAGAGAUUGAAAAGUAGAAUUAAUCAAAUCUACGUAUAGGUGAUUAGCUCGUUUCGACAAUCCCCAUCAAUUUUCACUUUGGGUUCCUCAUAAAUCAAAUAGUCACUAUUUCAGUAGGAUCUUCUGAUCUUCUACUAAAAUAACGAGUCAGUAAAAACUACUUAUUUUUCGACCUCACAGUCCAGACCGGCUUGGGAUGAAGAUGUUCACGGAUAGGCCAUACCAAUUUUGGGUUAAUUCCUACCUUGAUGACUUCCUAGGGUUGUCAAGCCUUGGAUUUUGGUUACUCUUUUCCCAAAUAGUUGAUCCAUUGAGUAACCCUAUAAAAUAGUUAAUAGAUCAUACCUCUACUCACUAAUCCCCUAUAGAAGGAUUAGUUCCUCAUGGAAUCAAUAAACAUUAUAUCGAAUAUAUGUAUAAAGAAUAAAACAAGAGUAGAGUUUAGAGAAUCCUAUUUGUAUUUGAUAUAUGAAGUGCUGUAAUCCUCAACCGUUUGUUUGCGUCUACAAAUCAAGUUCUCCGAUGAACACGAAUGAAAAGAACUAAAAACAAGUCUAAACCCUAAGAGAAAGAAAAAUAAACUAAAAACUAAAUUUUACAAAAGAAACUAAUAAUAUGAAAAGCUCUCUAUAACAAGUGUGAAAUGGGCCUAUCUAUAACAAGUCUAUAUUCAUGUAGUUCAGGACCGAAGUAAAAGGGUAAAUACAAAGUAACAUUUUUGGCUUGAGUUUUGUAUGAAAGUUAAUCCAGAAGUCUAUUCUAACUCAAAAUAGGUACUAAGGAUGAAUAAACAAGGUUAGCUUUUUUACUCUAGGUGUAUACCAAACAAUGCCUUAGGUUAUCCCUAAGCAUCUCAAUAUUCGCAAAUUUAAUCAAUCAAACAAUCACAAAUUCAACUAUUUAUCAUACAUACUAGCAUGCUAGUUUCCUCGUAUUUUUUAUAUCAUUUGGUAUAUUCAAUAACUCAAUACCUAUUUACAAUGUAAUAUAUAGAACUUAGUUGUCUAAAAAUUGAAAAUUUAAAACCAUUCACUAUCAUGCCAAGUUUAUAGUAAACACAAUCAACCUAUGUACAUGCUCCUAACCAAUCACUUAUAUUUCUACAAGCUUAAGCAUGCAUUUGACAAUAAAAGAAAAGAAAAAGUAUAGAAACAAAAUAAGAAAAAAAUUCCUAUGUUACCCCCCACACUUUAGAUAGCACAUUAUCCCUAAUGUGCACCCCUAUAGAUAAGGAAAGAAGUUACCCGAUUGAUCGUUACAUUGUAGUAGUCUUAUGGUGGUUGCUUCCUACCUUGUUCGUUAAAAGCUCAAAAAUGUUGUGCUUUCUUUCAUGUGAAGUUCCUACAUAGGAAACUUGAAAUAGAAUAUAUAUAUAUAAAUCUACUGUUACUCCUACUCCUAAAAUAAAAAUAAAAAUCAUCCCAAUUAUUUACAAUAGAAAAAGUUAAAAGUUAAUUUAAUCAUUCUCCUCCUCCUAGUAAUCCAUCUCAUUCCCACCACUUCAGCGUCCUCCUCUUUACUACCUUCCCCUUCCUCGGUUCCUUGCUCUUCUACUUUAGACCACAUUUUUCUGGCUGAUAAUUUGGUACUCUCAUAUUAUUCUACCGCUCGAAUUCUUGAAGAACUAGGCCCGUUUCUUGUAACCAUCUUAUCAUCCAUUCCAUCUUUAUGUUACUACUCUCGCCUGUUUCUUUACAAGAUGUCGAUUUUGCCUUUCACUUAAGUGAAGUUGGGACAUCCAUCUUUUCCUUUCGGCAUUUUUUUCUAAUCGUUUAUUUUCUUUCGUUGAAGCUUCAUAUAUUGCUUGUAUAAUGAGUCUCCUAUGAGACAUGGCUUCAUGAACUACUUAGUAUUUGUCAUUGGAACUUUGGCCUUCAUGCACAAGGUAGUCACUAAGUGGGGGAAGAAGACCCUAACAUUUUGGUCACUAAUGCACUGCUUCAUAUAAUGGUAGAUCAAUGUCCCAAUGCACACCUAUUUAUUCUUGGUCGAAAUCUUUUGAUUCCUCGUGAAAUUUCCUUGCACAUUCUUUGCUAAUGUAAUGUGGUUGUUCUGAGAAGGUUGAAUCCUUGUUGUUGUCUUGACAUUGGGAUUCGUUUACUCCAAGUGGGCAAAUGAAAAAUAUGCAACAUAGUAUAAAGGAAAUAAAAUAAAAUAAACAUUAAAGUAAUAAAAGAAAUAAAACAAAAUUUAAAACAAGAAAUAGAAGUUCUUUAAAGAUUGAGACGUUCUGUGUUGCCACCAUAAAAGAACCUCUAGCUAGUUCUCGGCACCUUGAUCCGAUGUUUGUUUUUCUGUUGAUGUAUUUGAACCAGUCACUUUGGUUUAUUCGAAUUAUUUUGUCUUAUUUUUUACCGUCGUGAAAUCCACAUUGUCAGUCAUUUAGUACCAAAUCCGAGCCAACCCCAAACUUUUUUUGAGGUAUUAUUGUCUCGAGCUUCCUCCUCUCCUUGUUAUAUGAGGCUUUGGUGACUCGAGCCUUGUUGCUGUUUUCGAAUGAGAAUGAGUCAAACUCCUCGACUUUUUUAGUUGGAACCUUUUCUGCUAUUGCCAGAAAGUGUAUUAACUCUUCUGUACUUUCAUUCAAUAUCGGUUUAACCUCUAUGUUAGUGUUUAAUUCAUCUUUUACUUAUACCUCUAUGGUUAGAUCUAUUACUAUGUGAAUUGGAUCAGAUACCAUUUCCACUAUGUUCAACUCAUCCCCAUAAUCUUUAGUUCUAAGCUCAAGUUGAAUCUCAUCAUGGCUAUCGGUAAUACCAAGGUUCUCAUGAUCCAAGUUGUGAAGGUCAAACAUGUCCUCUUUGAGGUAGCACUUCGGAUAUUUUUUUUCAUUAUUUGCACCAUCAUGUUUGACAUGUUUGAUAAGACCUUAGAGUUGACCAUCCUUGUGGUUUCACAUGGAAACAUCUCAGAUGAAUCACUAGGAGGCUUGUCCGAAUGUUUGGGCAUAUCAUGUUCUUCAAGUGUUAGAAAUUGUAGAUUGCAAAUUCAUAACUACUUAUAAGCACUUAUUAGAAUGUGAUGAUUUACUCAAAAGAUACAUUUGAUUCCAUGAGACAUGUUUUUCUAAGAAGUAUGUCCAAUUGAAAUCAAACAUAAAGAAUUGUGACUUUUAAAAAUAGUGUCUAUUGGGUGUAUAUAAAUAGAGGGUCUAUGGUGCUCAUAAAUUACAAUUACAAUCAAUCCUAUUUUUAAAAAAUUAAAGUAAGAGUUAGGGAAUUCCUUGAUUUUUCUAAUCAAAGGAAAUUCAAAAACUUCAUUGUAUCCUGGGAGGACCUUUGUCUUAACCCUUUAGUAACUUUGUGUGGGGGCAAAUAGUUCGUUUUAGAAUGCAUCACCCACUCCUCGAAGUCUACUGUUUAUUUCAAUAUCUUCCCCACUCUAUAUAUCUAACAAUCAAAGAGAAAUACUUUGGAGAUGGCGAUGGAGGCUACCACACAUUCAAAGUAAUGAACUAAGAGUUUGUGAAACUUGACCAAUUUGAUGGUUCACACUUCAAUCGUUGAAAUGACAAGAUGUUGUUCAUUCUUACUAUCUUAAAUGUGGCAUACGUUCUGGAUCUGAACCUACAACCUGUGGAGGACCCCACCCUUAAUGCGAACCCCGAAGAAAUUAUAAAAGUGGCCGAACUAAAGAAGAAGCAUGAAGAAGAAAAUUUCACAUGUCAAUGACACAUUCUCAACACCUUGUCUAAUCGAUUGUAUGAUCUCUACAUGUCGAAGUAAUCCCUGGUGGAAAUAUGGAAAGCUCUUGAAGAAAAAUACAACACCAAGCGGUAAUGUACUGAUAAAUUUUUAAUAAUGAAGCAUUUUGAAUUCAAAAUGCUCGAUAGUAUCCUGAUCAUAGAUCAAGUUCAUGAAUUAUAAGUCCUUGUAAGUAGGCUUCGUGACUUGAAAUUUGUUAUUUUGGAAUUGUUACAAGUCAUCUUGAAGUUGCCCUCAUCUUGGAACAAUUAUUGGAAGAAACUUCAGCGUAUGGCAGAGGACUUCACUGUGGAGAAAAUACUUAGGCAUUUGAUAUUGAAGAAGAAACUCGGAAGCGUGAUGCGGUGUAUCUUUCCCAAAUUUCUAAAGUGAACCAUAUGAGUGACUCCAAGAACUCUCGAAAUGGUAAGCGAAAGGCCACAUCCGAGGCCAAUGACAUGCAAGACAAGAAGAAAAAAAUCUCGCAAUUGUUAUAAUUGCAAUAGGAAAGGACAUUAUAUUAAGGAUUGCAAACUUCUCAAAAAGAAGCAAGAUGCCACAAAUUCUAAAGCCAACAUGGUGGCGGACAUGGACUUAAUGGCCAUGGUUACGGAAAGGAUCGAGAGUUUGGAGAUUGUUAUGAUUACUGAACUUAACAUAGCCAUGACUGAUAAGUCUUGUAAUUGAUGGCUCGACUCCAGAGCUACCAUCCAUGUGUGUAAUGACCGACAACAAUUCAAGAGUUAUGAACUAGUAGCAAACCGUGAAGUGCUUAUAGGCAACUAUCAAUCGACUAAGGUACUCGAUCAAGAGAUGGUGGAACUUAACUUCACAUCUGGGAAAAAAUUAGAUUUGACCAAUGUGUUGCAUGUUCCUGAUAUGAGAAAGAAUUUAGUGUCCACGACUAUUCUGUGUAACAAGGGGUUCAAGAUUAUCUUAGAAUCUGAUAAGUUUGUCUUGCUUUAGUGUCAGCAAGGGUAUGUUCAUGUUGAGCAUUGAUAUGAAUAAAGUUAAUUCUUUUGCUUAUAUUGUUGAAUCUAAUCCUUUGUGGCAUGCGCGUUUAGCACAUUUUAAUUUUAAAACUUUACAAUAUAUGCAAAACAAUGGUUAUAUAAGUCUAAGUAAUGAUGAGUUUGUGGAGAAAUGUGAAAUUUCUAUUCAAUCAAAAAUUACCAAAAAUUGGUGUCCUAAUAAGUGUGAAAGGAAUUCACAAGUGUUAGAUUUAAUUCAUUCAGAUGUUUGUGAAUUAAAUGAAACUCUAACAAAAGGUGGAAAACGAUAUUUUAUCACUUUUAUAGACAACUUCUCUAGAUUUACUUAUGUGUAUCUCAUGAGAAGUGAAGAUGAGGCGUUUGAUAUGUUUAAACAUUUUAAAAUUGAGGUUGAGAAUUUGUUUAGUUAGGAAAUCAAAGUGCUUCGUAGUUAUAGAGGUGGUAAAUAUUUUUCAAAUGAAUUUAAUAUAUUUUGUGAGGAACAAGGUGUGGCACAUGAGUGUUUCGUGCCUUAUACUCUGCCAACAAAAUGGUUUGGUAGAAAGAAAGAAUCGUACUUUAGUAGAUAUGGUUAACUCGAUGUUGUUAAAUGCUAAACUUCCAUAUAAUCUAUGGGGUGAAGCAUUAUUGACUAUAUGUUAUAUUCUUAACAAAAUACUGUAGAAAAAAUUCAAAGUAUCUCCAUAUGAGUUAGGGAAGAGCCAGAUGCCAAACUUAGAUUAUUUCAAAGUGUAGGGGUGUUUGGCUUACUAUAGAGUUCUCGACCAACGGAGAACAAAGUUAGGUCUAAGAGCCAUCAAGGGUGAAUUCAUUGGAUAUGCCCAACACUCUAAGGCUUAUCGUGUUCUUGACUUAGUGUCAAAUACAAUAAUUAAAACAAGAGAUGUCGUAUUCAUUGAAAAUAAGGUUUUUAAUGAUUCAAAAGAUUCAGAAAAAGAAUAUCAACCAAUGGUCUCAAGUGAUCAAACCAAAAAAAUUCUUUGUGACAAUAAGGAUAUGGAGCCGAGGAAAAGUCAAAGAGUGUGAAAAGUAAAGAACUUUGGUCCUGAUUUCAUUUCCUCGCAAUCUCUAGCAUUACUUGUUAAGGGAAAUAAAGAAUCUGUAAUUAGGAAGAUUGUAACGCUGAAGUUUGUGCAAGUGUACACAGUCAUUAUCAAGUAAUGAGUAAGUAUCGAGUUAUCGUCUCCAUAGGGAUUGUAUUUGUGCUAAGUCACUUAAUUUGUAGAAUUAUAUUAACAAUUUGGUAAAUAAAAACACAAUAUAGUUGAGAUGUGGUGAUUAAAAUAUAUUAAACUAAAUGCAAUGAUCCCUAAUGCAAAUUAUCCUAAGUAUGCAAACUAUAUGAAUGAAAUAGAUUUUAGUAAAAUUAAACACAAUUCACAACAAUUAUAACAUAAAUAAACUAGGGCAAUUACUUUUAUUAAACUCAAUUUAUUAUCAACAUGCUUAAUAACAUUCGGAAAAACAUUCCAUCGCAACUCGAUCUUUCAUGAGUUUGGAAACCACAUUAGGUCCUUUCGGAAUCCUUUACUUAGUAAAUACGCAUUUUACUGAUCCUUAUUUACUAAGGGUUUCUUGGCAUUCGUGUGAGUUAACAGGGACGUGUUAGGUUUGAAACAAUUUAAUCACACAAAUCUAAAAAAUAUGUAGAUAAUAGAGCUUGGUUAGAGUUGUUAUGCAACCUACAAUUCAAUCGGGUUAGGAUCUAAAUUGAGCAUGCACAUUUCAAUGAUGCGUCCAUUACUCGUCAUUUGGUUAGGAUCGCUCAGCUAAUUCAGGUGCAUUUCAAUCACGUAUGAACGAAAUACAAAGUUGAUUUUAAUUGAAAACAUAAGCAUGAACCAAAUAAAUAUUAUUUAAUAAAAAUAAUCAUCCUAGCUUAAAUAAAAUUAAGCUAUCAUUAUUGUAAAUAAGAACAAAGAACACUUAGCAAAUAUCUUUAAAUUAAAUUUAAAGAAAAGGAAGAUUAAACCCAAUUCAGAGUGGCUGUCACCCAAGACUAUGAAUAACGAGGCUCAUUCGCUUCUUUGCGUCGCUUCUUUGCGUUGCUCCUUUGCUGAUGGCUCUCCAAGGUGGCCGACCAAGGGUUCUUUAAGAGGCUUAAUUGCUAAAAUCCUUAUGCAAGGAUGAUGAAGGGGAAAGAUAUCUAAAAGAGUUGAGAGAAUGAUGAAUGAGUGAGAGAUGAUGGGAUGAGGGAUGAUUGAAAAAGUAAGAAAUGAGCUUUUAUUUAUAGGUGAAGCAAGGGAGCUAGUUUGCUAAAAAUAGGUGUGUCCAUCCUUUGAAACUUCCUCCAAGAGUGGCCGGCCAUGAAUUGAGGAAAGGUGGCUGAUUUUUCCUUUAUUUUUGGUCAAUUUGAAUGCCACAACAACUCAGGACUAAGACUUGGUUAUCAGUAAAUCUUCGAGAAAAUCUCCAAUUUCUUUAACUCUUCAAAGACUUUGUAUAAUUAAACCAAAAAAUGGUUUAUGUCAUCCAUGUGCAGCCAAAAAUUGGGUUGACUUGGUCCCCAAUUUGGACGGUUUUGCAAUUAGAAGUAAACUCUCAGACUUGUCCAAAAAUAGUAGAUAGUUUAGAGGACCAAAUAAUAUAAUUUAACCACUUUAAUUAAUCAAUUUACCUAAUUAACUAAAACCCAAUUUAUUAAUGAAUUAUUAAAAAUGAACUAUUAAACAUAACUUUAUAUUUUAUUAUUUAAUUUAAUCAUGCAUGGCCCACUUUAUAGCUUAAAAAUAUAAUAUGCUCAAAUUAAUAUAAAAUAAGCCAUUUUAUGCAUGAAAACUAUAUAAUAAAGUAUAAAAUCACAUUCUAAUAAUUUCUAUGUCCUAAUUUCAUAUUUUCUCAUUUUUGAUUAAUUUAUUAAACAAUUACUUGGUUUUAACAACAAAUUUAAGUAAAAAUGUGAUGAAUUAUGUAGGAAAAAUCCUAUAUAUUUUUCAGUUUACAAAAAUCCCCAUAAUGUUUAAUGUGGAUGGUGAUUCACAAUCUUAUGGUGAAACCAUGACUUUUAGGGAUGCAAGAUUUUGGAAAGAGGCGAUCAAUGAUGAAAUGGAUUCAAUAUUAGCCAAUAAUACUUGGAUUUCUAGUUGAUCUUCCUCAAGGAUUGAAGCCUAUCGGGUGUAAAUGGGUGUUUAAAAGGAAAAAUAAUCCAACAGGGGGUUCUUCUAGCUUUAAGUCUAGGUUGGUGGCUAAAGGAUUUAGGCAAAAGGAAGGCCUAGACUAUUUUCACACUUGUAUCUAUCCAUAAGUUACAUAUACAUAAAAUGGAUGUUAAGAUAACUUUUUUAAAUGGUGAUCUCGAAGAGGAAAUCUACAUGGAGCAACUACAAGGCUUUGCUCUUCCUAGGAAUGAACAUAAGGUGUGUAAGUUUAUCAAGUCAUUAUAUGUUUUAAAACAAUCACCUAAACAGUGGCAUGAGAAAUUUGACUUGAUUAUCUUGUCCUAUGGUUUUUUACAUAAUGGUGCAGCUAAAUGUAUUUACACUAAAUUCAUCAAUAGAUAUGGUGUAAUUAUUUGUCUUUAUGUAGAUGACUUGUUGAUUUUUGGUAUGAACAUGGAUGGUGUUCGUGAGACCAAAGAGUAUUUAGCCUCGAAUUUUAAGAUAAAGGAUCUCAACGAGGGAGAUACAUUUCUAGGUAUAAAGGUGAAAAAGCAUGAAAAGGGCUUUGUACUAAGCCAAUCUCACUAUAUCGAGAAAGUAUUGGAAAAGUUUAAACACUUGAAUAUGAAGGAUUUGAACACGCUAUACGAUUGGAACUUCAAGUUAAGUGAGAAUAAUGGUAAGGCUAUAGUGCAACUUGAGUAUGCCAACACAAUCGGAAGUCUAAUGUAUGCAAUGCAUUCCACUAGACACGAUAUCGCAUUUGUUGUGUGCCAAUUGGCGAGAUUUACAAAUUGUCCUAGUACCGAUCAUAGGAAAGGAAUUUGUAGGAUUUUUCGCCAUCUUAGGAAAAUAAAAAAUUUGGGAUAAUUCUAUAGUGAUUAUCCCGCGGUACUAGAAGGUUACUCGGAUGCAAGUUGGAUUACAAGUCUAACUGACAAUAAGUCCACAUCGGGAAGGAUUUUUACAAUCAGAGGUGGAGCCAUUAGUUGGGCCUCCAAACAAAAACAAGCAUCUCACGUUCAGCUAUGGAGGCUGAAUAGUGGAAUGGCUAAGAGAUCUUUUGCUAGAUAUAAAGUUAUGGCCACAACGUAAGUUCGCCAUUUUCGUAUAAUGCAAUAGUGAAUCUACCAUGUCUCAAGCAUACAAUAAGGUGUAUAAUGGAAAGUCUAGACAUAUAAGUUUGUGACAUGAGUAUGUCAGACAAUUGAUUAGUGACAGUGUGAUAACUGUUACCUAUGUUAAGUCAGUUGACAAUUUAGUGGAUCCAUUGAAAAAAGGUUUUUAAAGAGAUUUGGUUAAGAGUACCACCACUAAGAUGGGAUUAAAACCAUUCUAAUCGCUUCAUUGAUAAUGGAAACCCUAACAUAUUCUAGCUAAAAGUUAGUUUCGAGGUUCAAAGGGUAAUAACAAGUUAUUGAAUGACAAUGUGAACUAAGGAUCAGGAUUUAAUGUUUAUAUUAUAGGAGGAUAAGUUUUACUCUUAAUAGAUUGACAUUAAUUGUCAUGAAAUCCACCAAUAUGGACAUGAAGUGAUGUCACUUCAACGAGAUUUUCUUUAUGGUUUUCUCUCAUACAUUUUUAUGAAACGGGAUGAGCACAUGGCCAUAACGGUGCUAAAGCAAAUUAAACUCUUACUCUAAUACUUUACAGUUAUGUGUGAAAUUUUUCCAGUACUGACUUUAAGAAUGAUGGUCCAAGCGAAUAGCCACCAUUUACUUUGUUGAUAUUUUGAAGAGUUUGCACUAAAGGAAGGUUCAAUCUAUGGACACCUUUCUUUAUGCAUAAUCAUUGUGUACUUAUUUUUUGGAAUUAGCAAUCUAGUUGGGGACUGUUAGAAAUUGUAGAUUGCAAAUACAUAAUUAUUCAUGAGCACUUAUUAGAAAGUGAUGGUUUAUUCAAAAGAUACAUUUGAUCCGUGAGACAUGUUUCUCUAAGAAGUAUGUCCAAUAGAAAUCAAACAUAAAGGAUUGUGACUCUUUAAAAUAGUGUCUAUUGAGUGUAUAUAAAUAAAAGGUCAAUGGUUCUCACAAAUUACAAUCACAAUCAAUUCUAUUUUUUUAGAAAUUAAAGUAAGAGUUAGGGAAUUCCUCGAUUUGCUAAUCAAAGGAAAUUCAAAAACUUCAUUCUAUCCCGGGAAGAACUUUGUCUUAACCCUCUAGCAACUUUGUAUGGGGGCAAAUAGUUCUCUUUGGAAAGCAUCACCCGCGCCUCGAAGUCUACUAUUUAUUUCAAUAUCGUACUCGGAUUUUUCUUCUCCACUCUAUAUAUCUAACAACAAGUGCCUCACACAAAUUACCAGUGAACUCAUGUGGAUGUUCAACUAUAUUAGUCCCUUGAUCAUUACUCCACUAGUGCGUUGAGGCUUCGUUUCCACAUUGGCUCAGCUCUAUAAUGAAAAUUCUUUUAUUCUCCAUAAUCUCUAAUUCUUUAUAUACUCCCUUUUCAAAUAUUUCGUCAUAAAAAAUUAUCUCAUCGUUAAACCACAUGUAAUUAGUUUCAUCCAUAAUUGAAUGGUUUUUCAAGAUUAAUCUCUAUGGAUUAGUGAAUAACUAAAUAGAUGUUCCUUUCCACUAAAGCAUAUACUGAAAUUAACAAAGAAAAAGAAAGAAGUUAGUAAACUAAAUUAAUAAAAUUCAAAUUACAAAUUGUAUCUAUAAUUCAAAUAUUUCCUAAUUAUUCUAUUAAAACGUAAAAAUUACAUUUAAUUUAGUAAUGUUGCCUUCACAGCAACGACGCCAACAACUUGACCGCCUUCGGACGUACCAACAUCUAGAGUAUGAGUACUACAACUAAAAGAUAUGGAAUUAAGGUAGUGUUCGCAAGUAUACAGGUUAGGUUGUAAUAUAGUUACAACGAAGCAAGUAUGUACUCCGAGGAUCAUACCCAACGCAGGCGAGUACUAAAUUAAUGUCAACUUGAACGCAAAUAGAACUAAUUAGUAGUUUAAAUAAAUUAUAGUACAAUAAAACAUAAAAGAAUAUUUUUUGGGAUUUUAUAAAGAAUAAAAUAAAAAUAAAAAAAGGAAAGUGAGAUUCAGAAAUAUAAAUUCUAACUUAAUUAGAUCUAAGUAUGGUUGAUUAGUUUGCUUUGGUGAUCAUAACUAAUUCAUAUUUCGGGUUUCUACUCAACCAACUAGUCGCUACCCUAGAAGGAUCUCUCGAUCUUCCACUAAACUAAUGAGUCGACAAGAACUACUUAUCUCUCAACCUCACAAUUCAAACCGAUUCGGGGUAAAGGUGUUCACAAUAGGCCAUACCAAUUUUGGGUUAAUUCCUACCUGAAUGACUUUCUAGGGUCAUACCUAGGUUUUAAGUUCUUUCUCUCCCAACCAGUUGCUCCACUAAGAAAACCCUACAUAACAAUUAAUUAAUCACACCUCCACCACAAAUCCCCCAUAAAAGAUUUAGUUCCUUAUGGAUCUCAUGAACACAGUAAUCUUGAUAAUAAAGAUAAGCAUGAAUAAUGAAUCAAGAUAAAGGUUAAAGAGAAUCCUGAAUUGUAUUGAUUGAAAUGCAGAAUCCACAGUAGUUUGAUCACAAUUACAACUCAAGUUCUUCGACAAAUACGAAAUAGAACAGAACUGAAAUAAACCUAACGCCUAAAAGAAAGGAAAAACUAGAGACUAAAUUUACAAAGAAAAUCUUAGAAUUUAAAAUCUGUCCUAAACAAGUGUUUUAAGAGCCUAUUUAUAGAGUUAGGGUUGUCGUCAUCCUCAACCCUAGGUUAGUUGAUGUUCUCGUGUUUUAAUUUCCAUUGUGCGGGCCAAAAUACCUUUGGCUCGUUAAUACUUCCCGUAAAGGACUGAUGUCACGACACCCUAGUUCCUGUUUCAUGACAUUGAAGGCAAUAUGCAUGGUUCAAGGCUAACUACAGCGGUGUGUCGUGACAUCCCUUAGCUAUGUCAUGACAUCCAAGGCAGUACAAUUGUAACACCCCAAACCCGGCCUAGAAGUUAUGGCCGAAUCUGGCGGUGUCACAUUGAGGUGUUUAGUGAAAAUUGAACUCGUUGGUAAAAAUUCAUUUCUAGGUUUAAAAACCCCAUUAUUAUUAUUUAACAAAUCAUCUAGUAAAAAAAGUUUACCUUGUUAUCUGCUAUUGUGAUAAAAGUUUGAUCUAAAAUCGCAGAAGCUUUUGAAAACUCUAAUGUUUAAAUUUCGUGUCUUUAAAAACAGUAAUUAUUUUGAAAAUUCAUCUUCUGCUAAAUUAGCAGUUUAAAAUAAGUAAGCAAAAUCCCAAUUAAAAAUUUAAACAAACAUAAAUGGCCUUAUUACAAAAACAAAACCCAACAUAAACUUUAAAUUUAUUUAAAAACAAUGUAGAUCAGUUGCAGUUGUGUGGCCACCUCCGAGUCCCUCGCAGCACCAAAUCGCCUAUAGCUGAGGAUUACCUGUACAGUAAAAACGAAAGGGUGAGUUUACGAAACUCAUUGUGUAAUCCCUUACCAAACAGUUAGCAUACAACAUUCAGUAACAGUCUGGGCCUGAGCCCUAUACAGUAAUAGUACAGUGUGGGCCUUAGCCCAUUACAGUAACAGUAUGUGGGCCUUAGCCCAAUAUAGUAACAAUGUGUGGGCCUUAGCCCAAUACAGUAACAGUGUGAGCCUUAGCCCAAUACAGUAAUCAAUACAAUGCAGUAAUGCAACCCAUCCCAAUCCAACUAACAUACCACUCCGUACCACCAACACACCAUGUGGGGAUAAAAUCGACCCACCCAGCCAACACACCAAUAUCGCAGCAAAGCUGCCAGUAACAGUAUCGCAGCAAAGCUGUCAGUAACUAUAUCGCAGUAAAGCUGCCAGUAACAGUAUACUUCCUCCAUAACAGUAUCCCAACCCCAUACAGUAUGUCAUGUCAUAAAUCAUAUGUGUAUGCUAAAUGUCAUACUCAUUCAUAGUCAUACAUAUCAUAAAGCAAAUCAGUUAUACAUAACAUAAGGCCAUAUCAAUCAUUUCAUCUCCUAGGGGUAUAACAGUUAUUAUUUUACCCUAUGGGGGUAAUUCAAUCAUUUUACCCUAUAGGGGUAAUUUGUUCAUUUUACCCUACGAGGGUAAUUCGGUCAUUUUACCCUACGAGGUAAUUCAGUUAUUUUAUCCUACGGGGGUAAUUCGAUCAUUUUACCCUACGGGGGUAACUCGAUCAUUUUACCCUAUAGAGGUAAUUCAGUCAUUUUACCCUACGAGGGUAAUUCAAUCAUUUUAUCCUUCGACAGUAUUUCAGUUAUUUAACCCUAUAGGGGUAUUUCGAUCAUUUUACCCUUCGAGGGUAUUUUGAUCAUUUUACCCUUCAGGGGUAUUUUGAUCAUUUUAACUUAUGGGGGUAUUUCGGUCAUUUUACCCUAUGGGGGUAUUUCAAUCAUUCUACCCUAUGAGGGUAUUUCGAUCAUUCUACCCUAUGGGGGUAUUUCGGUCAUUCUACCUUAUGGGGUAUUUCCAUCAUUUUACCUAUGAGGGUAUUUCAGUCAUUUUACCUUAUGGGGGUAUUUCGGUCAUUCUACCCAAUGGGGGUAUUUCGAUCAUUCUACCUUAUGGGGUAUUUAAGUCAUUCUACCCUAUGAGGGUAUUUCAGUCAUUUUACCCUAUGGGGGUAUUUCGAUCUUUCUACCCUAUAGGGGUAUUUCGGUCACUUUACCCUAUCAGGGUAUUUUGGUCAUUUUAACUAUUUUGGGGUCUCGAUGCAGAUAUCAACCACCCAGAAUUCCUUCCAGGGCCUGCUGAAUUACUUUUAUAGAUUCCGUCAUUUCACUGAUUCGGACUAAAUAACGAGCUAAUGAAUCUCCUUCUUUUUGCCACUGGAUUUCCCAAUCAAAUUCUUCGUAACACUCAUAAUGAUAAACUUUCUGAAGAUCCUAUUUGAUUCCAGAUGCUCGUAGCAUUGGGCCGGAUAAACCCCAAUUUAUUGCUUCUUCUCCACCAAUAACGCCUAUCCCUUAAAUUCGUUCUAAAAAAAUAGGAUUUUCAAUGAUUCCUGUUAAAAAUAAUCAAAAAAAUCCAAACAUUUAUCUAUCCAGCCGUAAGGUAGAUCGGCCGCCGCUCCUCCGAUACGAAAAUAAUUAUGCAUCAUUCUCAUACCGGUGGCAGCUUCGAAUAGAUCAUAUACUAAUUCUCUUUCUCUGAAAAUAUAGAAAAGGGGAGUCUGUGCACCAAUAUCUGCCAUAAAAGGUCCAAGCCAUAACAGAUGAGAAGCUAUAUGACUCAACUCCAACAUAGUGGCUAAAUAAUCCCAACGCGUUACAUACGGCAAAUAUUGUAUAAUUGUUCGGUUUUCUGCAAUUUUAUCCAUUCCUCUAUGUAAAUAACCUAAUAUUGGUUCACAGUCAACAACAUCUUCACCAUCUAGAGUAACAAUGAGACGAAGAACACCAUGCAUUGAUGGGUGGUGAGGCCCCAUAUUGACUAUCAUAAGGUCUUUUUCUGUAGCUGAUAGAUUCAUAAGUUUUUCCUCGAUUCAUUCUUACAUGAAUUGUUGAAAACGAAAACAAGUACAUCAAAAUGAAAAUCUAAUAAAUCGACUAAUUCAAAAUUUACAAAUUAACGAUUUUUUGAUUCCCGAAUAUCCAACUCACUAAUUAAUUCUUUAUAACAUAUUUUAUUUGUCUCGAAAGGUCCGCAAUCUCCUUGACCGACUCAGGUAACCUAAAUGGUCAUAACAGUGUAAAUGGGCCCAAGGCCCAUUACUCGGCCCAAGUGGGCCCACACGCUUGGGUGGCCCGUUCAGCCCAAAUUUCGCCACGGCUAUGAGAUAUACUUAGCCCCGACCAGUAUUUGCCACAAAUCAAUGAUCAUCGCACCCUUGGUUCCCAGGCAAUGUGCCAAUCAACCUCGACCACCACCAGUUAGGAAUGAAAGCAAUGCAGGUUGGAGAGAGCGACGAAAACCUUGAAAACCUCACCGAUCUCCCAUCGAGAACAAGGAACAAAUGAGAUGAUAUAUAUCUCUCCACAACAACAACCUCCCCAAAUCCCAAUAUUCUCUCCUCAAAUCUCUCCAAGUAUCCCUCCUUAAUUCUCUCUAUGACCAGUUCAAACUCCAUUUAGCAGUAUUUCAAUCCAACUCUACCACCCACACGAAUUAGGCAGCAAAAUAAAUAUUCCCUUUCUGAUGCGCCACCACUCAAACCUUAGACCCCAUGUACACUCCAUACGCCCCUUACCACUAGACCAACAACUCAUUUGUAUCAUAUUUUAACCACAAUAAUUUAAGAACCUACUAUCUAGAUCCAAGGAUUUUAUUCACUUAAAAUAAAAAUUUUGCAUAAGCCAAGGCUUGAACCCCUGACUUCUCAGACACUUCCAAACACUCCUAAGUCUCUUAACCACUGAAGUAGAUAUUCAUUUAUGUCACUUCCUUGCACAACUAAAUAUUUGUGUGCAGUCUCCUAACUGUUCCCUUGUUCAAAACCUAUUUCUUCUAGGCCCAAAAUUCGGGGUGUUACAAUAGUGGUUCUGGUCUUCUACUGCCUAUGUUGCAACAUAGAACUACCCAUGUUGCAACAUAGCAACCAACUUUGAGUUCCUAUGCCUUUGAAUGGUCUUUUGCACACUUACUAAGUACAUUAGCCCACCUUUAGGCCUCAGCCGGCCCUUAAGGUCAAUAAAAGACUCAAAAUGAACUUUUCAUUGGAUUUAACUAAACUAAGAAAACAUAAGUAAAACAUACUAAAACUGCUCGUAUUCAAGCUCCUCAAGUACAAAAACUAGUUUAAUUAGCUACACCGAAUUACCACAGAUCAGAAACUCCGUGUUGCAACACCACUGACAAGAUCAAUGAAUAGAGCAAUUUAGCUCUAUGUCGCGACACGACACCUUUAUUUCAUGACAAAACAGUCAGAUUGUCCCAAAUUCUAAAGAUUUCAAGGUGUGUUGCGACAUCAAUCCCUGAUGUCACGACAUCAGUAUCCUGCUAAGGGUGUCAGGACAUAAAACCCCUAUGUUUCAACAUCACUACAAUUUUUUAUAGGGUCGACCUAACCCUCCAUGCAACCCAUUGGUUUUAACACUUGUUUAACCCAAUUUUUAACCUAAAAACACCAACAAAUUUUAAAUCUAAAACACUUUUAACUUGUUUUUAAACUUUCUCUAACUUUAAACUCCCUCUAAAACCUUCCAAACUCUUGAAACUCAAAAACCUUGUUUUACUUGUCUUUCUCUUUUGCUACAAAUUUUCUCCUGUUUUUCUUAUGUUUCUAUUUUUUGUAAGAUAAAAGCAACACGACAACGAGGAACUUGCAAUGGAUUUUCAAAAAGAAUCACAAGUUCUCAAGUAAGGUUAAGGCUUCUAAAUAGAUUUUUACUAUUUUAUUACAUUAUUUGCUUGAUUUUUGUUAUUUUUUAGUUAGAAUAUUAUUCAAAAUGCCUGCUAGGAAAAUCUAGAAGUACUAGGGAACAAAAACCAUUAAUGGUUGCAAAUCUCUUGAAAUUUCCAAACGAGAAUGUGGAAAAAUAUUUUUUAGAACUAUAAGGAAAGACAUUCAUUCAAGAAUAGGGUUUUGAACCAUUGACGAUUCUUUACAAAGAAAUUUGGCCGUUAGUUUGGUAUCAUAGAUGGGAGAGAUUUUGCGUGACUCCCAAAGAAAAUGCAAUAAUCCUCAUAAUCCAAGAAUUUUAUGCAUUUUUUAAGGAUUAAGAGACAAGGAGACUAUAUACGGCUAUUUGGGAAACCAUAAUAGUACUAGGGAAAGAGGUGCACUCACCUCUUGUGAAAUUUGUGAGUUUUACAAUAAAAUGUUUUCCUUGAAAACACAAAUUUAACAAGUUUAAAUGACAUAAAUAUGGAUAAUAUUGUGAACUACUUAACUGAAGAGAGGGGUGAGUGGAAUCAUUGACAGCAUACCGGUCUACCGAUCAAUUUUAAUCAAGCAAUAAUGUUCCCUACUAUGAAUGUUUCUAAUGUAAAUACUUUCUAAGCCAUUUUGUUAUAUGGUAAUUUGCAGAAUAAAUAGAUAUGCAUCGGGGAAUGGAGCAUGAAACAUUGUAUCAAUGACUAGAAGGUCGGGGUUUUCUUCCCUCACCUAGUGACGACAAUACGCAAAAAGGCUAAAGUUCCAAUGGAAGCGAAUGAACAAUUCACGAGGCCAACGAAAAGCUUAAUAGGUGACUCUCGUAUACAUAGUAUGUCAAGCUCAAGUGGAAAAAAAUAAAGGAUUGGAACCAGCGAAGAAAGCAAAAGAUGGAUGUCCUGGCAUCUCUGAAAAGAAAAAAGGUAUCAAAAGCUCGAAAAGGAAGUGAAAUCUCGAACAACGAAUGGCUGAUUAGAUGGAUGCAAGAAACAGUCCCAGUUAUUCAAGAAUUUGCAUGGAAAAAUGGUAUGAGAAUACCAAAAUUACUGCCACCCAAAUAUGGCCCUAUUCGAUCCCAUAACAGAUCCAAAGAGUAAUUUUAUAUUUUUUUUUGUUUUUGGUUUUGAAUUUUCUAUGUAGGAACCUUUCAUGAAGGAAAAACUACAUUUACGAGCUUUCAACGAUUAAGGAAGUAGUACCCACCAUAAGAAUACGUCAAUGUCACAAUCAAUUGGGUAACUUCAUUCCUAAUCUAUUUAAGGGUUGCACAUUAGGGACAAUAUGCUAUCUAAAGUGUGGGGGUAACAUAGGAAAUUUUAGUUUCAGUUUUACACUUUUUCAUUUAUUUUUCUUGUCAAAAGUGUGCUUGAGUUUGUAAAAAUACAAGUGAUUGGUUAAGAGCAUGCAUAUAGGGUGAUUGUAUUUAUGAUAAAUUUGGCAUGAUAGUGACUUAUUUUAAAUUUUUAGUUAUUAGACUACUAAGUUUUAUAAAUUACACUGUAAAUAGGCAUUAAGUAAUUGAAUAUACCAAAUGACAGAGAGAAUAUAGGGAAAUGAGCAUGCUAGUAUGUAUGAUAAAUGGCUAAAUUGUGAUUACUUGAUUGAUUAAAUUUAUGAAUAUUGAGAUACCUAGGGAUGACCUAAGACAAUGUUUGGUAUACACCUAGAGCUAAAAAGCCAACCUUAUUCAUGAAUCCUUAAAACCCAUAUUUGAGCUAGAAAACUCUUCUUGAUAAACCUUCAUGCAAAACCAAAGCCAAAAUAUGAACUUGUACUUGCCUUUUUUCUUUGGUCCAUGAAAUGCACGAAUUUAGACAUCCUGUCAUAUGUAUUGAGGGAUAAGUAGAGACAUCAUGGUGGUUUUGUAAAUAUAAGAGUGAAAUAGAAAGGAGAAAUGUGAUAUAGUUAUUAUAAGGUUCAGCCAAAAUGUGUAAAACAAAAGAAAAUUUCAGAAAAAAAUCAAAAUGAGUAGAAAAAGUACUUGAACAAUUGAAAACAAAAUCAUUGUGAGUGGGAAUCAUUGGAAAAGUCAAAAGUGACUCCAAAAGUAAAUGUAAGGCCCCAAAAAUAGGUCCAGUAGUUUCGAGUAAGUUUACCGAGUUUCGAGUGAAAAUUGAGAAUUCAUCGGGUUAAUUAGCGAUUUAUAUUCUUAAUUAGUUAGCUUAACUUUAUCUAAAAAUCGUUAAAUAAUAUUUCGAAAAAUAAAAAUAUUUUUAGAAAAAUUAAUUUCAAAAAAUAAAAAUAUUUUUAGAAAAAUUAAUUUUAUGGUUUUAAAUAAUUUUUGGGUAAAAAUAAAUAUUUUGGGUUAAAUUGGAAUAUAAAAAUAAUUUAAAAUAGGGGUUUAAUUGGGUGAUUUAAAAUAUUAAUUAAAUGAGACUAAUUUGAAAAAAAAAAAGGGGAAAUGUGUAAGAGGUUUUAUAGAAAAUAAAUCAUAUUUUCAGAAUUUUAGAGGGAAAUGAGCAAAUUGUAAAACAAGGGAAAAGGGGGAGUGGCCUAAUGGCAAAUUUCCCAAAUUUUGAAAAUCAGGUGGGGGUUUUAAGUUUUAAAAACUCUGCAACUACCUCACUUUUCACUCAUUUUUCACCUGAAUUGAGAGCGCUCUCUCUCUCUCUCUNNNNNNNNNNNNNNNNNNNNNNNNNNNNNNNNNNNNNNNNNNNNNNNNNNNNNNNNNNNNNNNNNNNNNNNNNNNNNNNNNNNNNNNNNNNNNNNNNNNNCUCGUACUCUCUCUCUCUCUCUCUCUCUCUCUCUCUCUCUCUCUCUCUCUCUCUCUCUCUCUCUCUCUCUCUCUCUCUCUCUCUUUGCUUAUUUUCAUAAACCAAAUAUCAUAGAAUAGAUUUAAACAUUUUCUCUCCCAAAAUUCUCCCUAAAAUCUCUCAAAAUAAUUUUAAAAGUUGGGCGAAAAAUCAUCCGAAUUUCUUCAAGCAUUUUGAUUCAAACUUCCAAAUCAAUGAUUUGAGUUCAAUUGAAGGUAAUUCACAUCUUUAAACUUUUUUUAAGUUGAUUUCAAUCGUUAUUUAUUAAUUAAAGUGAUUAUAAUGGAUUUUUAACUUUAAUUUCUUCUUCCUUGAACUUGAGGAUCAACAAUGGUGGAUCUUUAAUUUUGAGUUGGAAUCCAAAUAUUAAUAGAUGUGAAAGCUCAAAAUAGGUCUAAUAAGAGGUUUUUAAUCUUAAACCAAAAGAUCAAACAUGUUUUAUGGAUCAAUUUUGAUAAACUCGAAUUUGAUGAAGAACAUAGAUGAUUUUUUCGAAAAAUUAUGAAACAGAUUAAAUGAUGAAAUUAAUACUUAAAAUACAUGUUAUUGGACUAGGAAUGAAGAUUAGAAGUGGUUUGAGGUGCUGAAAAGGGAGUUUAGUUGAGGAAUUCCACAUUUCGACUUAGUUUUCAACAUCGGUAAGGGAGUUUAGAGCAAUGAUCUAGAUUCAUAUUCUUUAUCAAAUUUCGUUUUUCUUGUUAUUAUUCUUAGUUUGUAAUGCAUACUUUAUCUCUAUUAAAACUUCACAUCAAGAGGAGGAACAUGCAAAUCAGAAUUGAAGCCCAAACUUGCUUGUUUGAAGCCCAAACUUGCUUGUUUGAACACUUUGUUUUUUACUUAAAGAGUUAAGUGUGGAGGUGAGUGAUAUUGAGAGAAAUUUGGUAAAUUGGCCUAAUUAUGUGUUAAAUUAAAGGUUUAAUUGGUUUUAUUAACGACUUAACUAUAUAUUGGAUGGUUGGAUUUGCAAAAAUAGGUUUUAUUUUAUAAAAGAGCGAAAUGGCAAUUGGUUUGGUAAGUUGUGUAUUAUGCUUUUAGCAUGAUUAAAUUUUAUAGAAUAAAUUGAUAUUUGGAGCAUGAAUUGUUGAUUUAUUGAACAUUUGAUAAAUGUGUUCAAUUGGUAUAUGAAUAUUGGGAAAAUGAUAUUUGCCAUGAUUAAUUUUAUUGAUGUUAAAAUUGCUUAGCGACAUGCUUUUACUUGCAUUUUAACAUCCUAAAUUAAGUGAUUAAACAAUAGAUUUGAUGCCUUGUAUGUAUGAUUAUAUUGGCAACAUUGCAUGGUGAUCCAUUGGAUACAGUUGGCAUGCCAUAUUUGUGAGUACUCACCAUUAUUUGUGAUAUUGUGAGCCUAUGGCUCUUGGUGGAUUGAUUUGUUUGGAGUAGAUAAGGGAGUGUUGAGCUUGAGUCUUCACUCACCAGGUUAUUUGAAGCGCUAUAAAGGAGCAUGUGGCUUUGGCCCACUCAAUUCGGAGGACUGUAUUUGAUUUGUGGGAGUUCGGAGAUGCGUUUAUCCAAUAUAUGAUCACACGUUUACUUAUUGUCAUGGAUGUAUUAUGUCAAUAUAAUUGAUUGAUUGUGCCAAUAUAAUUGAAUGUUAUGUGUUAAAAGAUGCUUUUAUAUGCCAUGAAAAAAAAUUAUUCUUAAUUAUUCUUAAUAGUAUGUGAUGUUAUGGCGAAAUAUUAACAUGUUGUGACUGAAAAUUUAAUGCUUAAUUGCUUUGAUUUAUGACUGAAAAUUUAAUGCUUAAUUGCUUUGAUUUAUGCCUGAUUGGGUACAAAUUACUUGAUGUUUUUACUAUCAUUCAUUGAGCUUUUUAAGCUCACACCCUCACAUUACGUGCAGACAAUUUUCGGGCGGAAGGAGUCGAGAAGCGAGUGCAAGGGCAAUCCAAGAAUAAGGCUCGGUAGUGGCUUAAAAAUUUUACUUUAGAGACUAUAUAGGGCAUUGUGAUGCUUUUGGGACUAGUGUUAUUUUACUUGUAAUGGACAUUGGACAUUAAAUUUUGGACUUUAAUUUUGGUGAUUUUAUAGUUGCUUUGUCUAAUUGAUGUUUGAUUUAUGGUAUGUUGAUGAGUGUUCGUACGGUGGUUGAUAACACGAUGAAUGAAGCAUGUAUUUUGUACUAACAAUGUUUAAUUGAAGCUUACCAUAGAGUGGAUUGCUUGCGACUAAGGUAUGUAGCUUGUGUGAAUUAAUUGGUGUUUGCUAAGCGUGUAAUUGGGUGUUAAAUUUUGAUUAAUUGUUGCAUAUGUGUUGUAAAUAAAUUAAAUUGGAGACGUGUGGAUGUUUAUGGUGAUUAAUUGUAACUAUUUCAAGUUUAAUGUGUAAGUAAAAUAUGUAAAAUCGGGUAAUUAAAAUGGAUUUUAAACAAAAUAGGUGCAGUGGUUUGCACACGGGCGUGUGUCUUUUCACACGGGAAUGUGGGUUUUGGGGGGUUUAAUUUUUCGUUUUUGUAAUCUAGUAUUCUAAUUUGCUUAAUUUAUAAUUUAGUCCUAAAACUUGAUUAGAUUAAUUAAAGCCUUUGAUGAUAGGGAAACUUGGUAAUAUUUUAGACUUGUAACUAUUAAUAUUUGGUAGAAACAAUCUUAAUUUUUAAUUUGAAAAUGUACUAAAAGUUUGUGAAAGUUACGAUUUAGUCCCUAAUAAUAAAACCUAAAUUAGAUAUAGUAAAUGAACUUGAAUUAAGUUGAAAUUUUUAGGGCUUGCAUAAUUUGAAUAAAAGAAGGUAGAUAACUAUUUAGAAAUAAAAUCAAGAUAGUUUAACCUUAGGCGGUAAAAUAACCAAAAUACCCUUAUGUUUAAAUAUUUAGAAAAAGUUUUAAAAUGGUUCACAAAUUGCUUCCGUAUUAAUAAAUGAUAGUUAAUUAGUCAUAAAUGAGGUAUUAUAAGGUUGGGGUGCACGUCGGGUGGUCGUCAGCUAGAGAGUCAAUUCGGUGGCUAAUGUAAUGCUUCGAAUUCGGGUCGGUCCAUCCCAGUCGGGUUUGGGGUGUCACAAUAAAAGUCACAAAAUUAGAAACCUCAACAAUUAGUGCACAAAAAAUUGUGAGCUAACCAUAGUUGCUUUAUUAUACCGUGACUUGCUAUAUGGAGAAAUAAGGAAAGUAAAAGAAUGAGAAAUAAGGUGGUGAGCAGGCAAGGGAUAUUAAGGGGAAGAAUAGGGAACAAUGGAUGUGCCAAACUACUUUUGUGCUUGAAAUUGUUUUGAUGCCCUUUUUAUUAAAUUCCAUACCAACCUUAAGCUUUAGAACGUUACAAGUCGAAAAGUCCUAUGUGACGUUGAUAAAUCUAUUCAUGAAUGGACAUUAUAUCAAGUAAUUGCAAUAAUGGUUGUUUGUAUUCUGUUAGUAUAAUCAAAUUACAUGUAUGAUUUAGCAAUGGAUCCAUAUAUUUAAGGACCUUAUUGUUUAUAUAUUUUGUAAUAUACUGAAUUUAGGGGUUUGAAGUUGAGAAUGUUAAGUCAUUGAUGUUGGAUUGUCGGUACGCCCUGUGACACAACGAAAAAUUUAUUCCGAUGAUCACCAUCAAAGGAUCAAAGUACGAGGAAUGAAUCGGGUUGAAACAUAAUUGGAAAUAUACCUUUAGCAAUCUAAUUUCCUUUGUGGUGUCGAUUCCAAGCCGUAACAGAAUCAUUUUGGCAUCUACGUAAUCCACUCAGUCAAGCAUGAACAAUAAAACUCUUUGAACUUUUCAGAGAGAAUUCAGACUGGCUGCUAGACCUCUUGAAUUUUUCCUUACUUCUCAAUCGCAUCAUCAGGGAUCUUUUUCCUUUUAUUAAUUACCUAUAAUAAAAACGGAAUAAUUCCCUUUUACUUCUAGAGAAAAUCAUGGAAGGUAUUAAAGUUUUCUUCUGUCCAAAAGAAUAUUAACUUUCAUAAAUAUUAACUCUGGAAAAUAGUUGCGAAUCGUAUUCACUAGGCGAUAUGUUAGUCAGGCGAUAUAGUCCGCCAGACGAUACUGUCCACCAGGCGAUAUUGUCUGCCAAAGAUGUAUAUAGGAAGGUAUAUGGCCAACAUUUUGUAUGAAGUCUAUUCGCUUUAACCAUAGGGUGUGACCUUGUAGGUUAUUGUAACAGUAGUAGUAAUACUAAAACAUUUCUAAUGUUACAAGCAAUGAGUGGCAUCUAGUAAUGCAUCAUUGCUACCUAAGUUACAAGAAGUUGUGAUUCGACAUAAAAUUUCUAUGAUAAACUUUUAUCCUUUAUAUCUAGAUUGGACGCAAGUCAUGGUAUAGUCACACUUGUAUAGUCCAAUCUCAUAGUUCUUGAUAUUUUGAGUAGACUAAAAUAAACAAAUAAGUGCGAUAUCUCAUAUCAACUUAUUUGAGUAUGGCCAUGCAUUUCUAGUCUCACUUCAUCAAAUGGCCCAAGAUAUUACUCCCAUUAUGUAUGAGGGAUAAAUCAGAUUUUGAUCAAUCAUAUCCCACUACAUGGUUUGUGGUAUAUCCAAUAUCAGUCUUUAUAGUACAACUUUGACUACAUCAAAAUAUACAACUCAUGAUGUUAGGACAAUGGUGAUUUCAAGUCUGAGGAUCAUAUACAUAGUUAUCACUAUGAGUAAUGUUGUGAUUAUUACAUAAUAAUCUAAGAAACAUACUCACAGUGGGUCAAUCCAAUAUGUUGUUCUCUAACACAUACUCAUGUAUUGAUUUUGACAUCCCUAUGUCAAUGACGACACUUUGUCAUCAAUCAACUACACAUUAGUCUCAAUGUAUUAUCGCUGUCCAAACCCACAAUAAUACUUGACUAAGGAAUUUUUAAGAAUAAUCAUAUUAUUCUCAGGACUUUAUUAUUUAUAAGUUUAUUUAUACACACAAAAAUUGAAAUAACAAUGGCAAUGUCUUAUAUUAACAACGUCAAUGUCUUAUAUUAACAACAAGGUAAAGACGAGUAUGUAAUUACAAUAAUAUCAUGCCAUAAUUACAUGUAUAUAUGAUUAUUCCUAGUUAUGUGUUCCAAAACUGGUAUUUGUAUCAUAUUUGCUCAAGAGUUGUGUUUUAUUUUUCAAUUUUUAUGUUUUCUUGCUUGAGGACAUGCAAUGACUUAAGUGUGGAGGAGUUUGAUCUACCGCAAUUUGUUGUAGUAGAUUAAACCAUUUUUCAUACUUAGCUUGAAUAAAAGAAAUUUCAUCAUGUUUUACUUAAUUUUUCACUUUUAGUUAUCAAAUAAUAAAAAGUGUAAUUUGAUUUGUUUAUAUGACUUUAGGGGCAAAAAUAGGCCUAAAGGAAGACUAACGUGUUUCGUGAAUGUGCAGGACACCAUUCGAAAGCAUGAAAACACGAGCUGGUCACCAUGUUGCAACACGGAGGUUCAACGAUGCAACAUAGUGAGCAAGACACCUAAAAUAGAAAGAUUGCCUUUGGCGUCCCGACAUAGCUAGAGGAUGUCGCGACACAGCCUUGAAUCUGAGCCUGAGCAAAGUAAACUACCACCAAUGUUGCGACACCGGCUUGACGUGAAGAAUUAAUAAGCUAAGAGUGUUUUGGUCCGCACAAUGAACUUUAACAUAAAAACGCCGGCCAGACUAAAGCUAUGGACGACAACCAACCCUAAAUCUAUAAAUAGGCUUUACUGAACACUUCUUAGACAACUUUUCUGUGUCUUUAAACUUUUAUUCUAGUUUAGGUUGUAAGUUUUAUUUAGUUUUCAGUUUAUUUUAACUUUUGUCUGGCAGAGAAUCUGAUUGGUAGAUUCAUUAUUCUUGUGGAUUUUUAUUUUUUCAAAUCAUCAAUACAAUUUAGGAUUUCUCUUAAACUUUUACUCUUGAUUUAUUCUUCAUGUUUAUCUUUUUUAUCAAGUUUAUGUUGUUUAUGAGAUUCAUGAGGAACUAAUCCUCUUGUGGGGAAUUAACGAGUGGACGCGAGAGUACUUAAUUUUUGUGUAAGGUUUCUUAGCAAAUCAACUUUUUAGGAUAGGAAGAACUUAAACCCUAGGCCUGACAACCUUAGGAAGUCAUCUAGGUGGCAAUGAACCAAAAAUUUGUAUUGCCUAUCUGUGAACCCCUUACCCCAAUCAGGUCUCGACUGUGAGGUCGAGAGAUAAGUAGUUCUUAUGGACUCGUUAGUUUAGUGGAAGAUCAAGUGAUCCUACUAGGUUAGUGACUAGUUGGUUGAGUAGAGCUCAACAUAGGAUUUAGUUAUGAGCACUAAAGUGAGUUAGUCUUCCAUGCUUAGAUUUGAGUGAUUCAACAAAUUAGUUUUCCAUUUUUUAUUAUUUUAUGUUAUUUAUUUAUUUUUCUUAUAAAAUAAUUUCUCUUCACUUUAUGUUUUAGUGUAAUGUAAUUUAAUUAAAAUACUAAUUAGAUCUAUUACGUUAGAGAUAUUAUUAAUUUAGUAUUCGCCUCCCUUGGGUACGAUCCUCGAAGUACUCUCCUACUUCAUUGUAAAAAACUAUAUUACAACCUGACCUAUAUACUUGCAAAAAUUGUCUAACUCUUAUUUGGUUGCAAGAAUUAUACUCUAAACGUUAAUACAUCUGGAGGUGGUCAAAUACACAACCACAUCGUGCAUUCAGAGAGCAUACCAACAAUCAUCUAUAUAUAUCCAUGGUAUUAUGCAUGCAUAGUUUACCCUUUAUCGUAAUCAUAUACAACCAUGGAUUUUAGACUGGACUCAAAACAAACACUCGAGCAAAACAUUUAGCAGCAUGAUAACAAAAAAUAACCAAAAUAGAUUCCAGAAACUCACCUUAAGUCCUUUGUCCUCGCCAGCUUAGCUUGUCCAAACACCAGAGUCUCUUUCGUCCUAGAAGCUAAGUAUGACAACCAUAUAUAUUGGUUAAACCGAAAGUAUUCAAAUCUUAAAACUUAGAAUUCAGUAUCAUUCAAAAGCUUCCUAGAGAUUUCAGAAAUCCUUAUUUCCCUUUCUCAAUCCAUGAAUACAAAAAGAUAGAAAGACUUACUAGUUCCUUAAAUUCUCUACUCCCUAACCUCAAUCCUCACGAUCACUGCCCCAUGCAAUAUUUCAUCAAUUUUCUCUCAUUCGGAGCAACCAGAAAAGACGAUGGAGAAGGAAGGAAAGUAAAACAGAAAUGAGGAGAAUUCUGCCUUCAAAAUAAUCCUCCACUCUCAUAUAUAUAACGAUUCUUAUGCACGGCUCAAGGCCCCAAGUAACCAUCCAUCGGCUAUCAUUUUGUCUCCCACUAAGGAAUCAGCUGGUUCCAACGUAACCAAACUAGAAUUGGUUCCCAACUAAUUACCAUUCAACCACCAAAAUUUUCCAAGUUUUCCAGUAAAGCCCUCCAACUUACUAUUUUAUUCAAUUAACUCUUAGCUCUCCAUUAAUUUCUGGGACUUAAAGAAAACCGGGUGUGACAAAUAUCGUAGCAAGACUAAAAACAACCUUAUUGUUUUAUGACCCUCUAGAUGGUCCAAUUAGUUAUGAUUUUUCUAUUUUUUAUAAUUAAUCCCUGAUGAGAUUCUCUCUUAUUUUGGAAGAGGCCUUCAGCCCUCCCAUUAGGAAAACAAUUAUGUAAUCUUUCUUUUUUAUCCAAGUUCAUUUUAUUACCAAAAAGAAAAAAAAAGUAGUAGUAUCUUUAGUUUCUUCUAGUGUCACGGGUAGCACAAAGAAGCCCGCAACCAAAGCACACUUUGAUGUUCCCUUUUGUUCAUUGGGGGUCAUUUGGCCUGACAAGAUUGACCCAUUCCUUGGAAGAGACUCAAGGCCUAUCUGCUUGGAUCCUAGCUAAAUUGUAAGCAUUGUAUUUUACCAAGGUAAUUAUUGUAAAUCCUAAAGGAUAAACAUGUAUAGAAUUUGAAUCCCUUAGGACUCUCUUAUUGUAGAUAAGAACUAAUCUCAACCAUUAAUGUAAUUCGAUCUGUACAGUUGGAUUUGAGGGAGCUAAACUAUAAAUAGAGUCAUCUCCCUUCAUUUGUAAUAAUUCCAUUCUUGAGUUAAAGAAUAUAUUGAGAGCAUUUACUCAAACACUUGGUGUGCGAUAUUUCUUUUUGGCUUUUUUGUUCAUUCUUUGCUCUUUCGUUUUUAGUUUGCUUCCAUUUUGCUUUGGUGUAUUAGAGAAUUUCUGCAAAAAUUUUCAUUUUUCCAGAGUAGGCUGACUUGGACAGGAAUUCAACCCAAGAAAUUGCCUAAAGCCGCGCGGUUUGCCAAACUAAAUUUCUAGCCCCAUGACAUUAAUAAUACCAUAUAUUCCUUGAUGGUCAACAUUUCUCUCCAUCUCCUAUAUAUAAAUGGUUAAAAUGUGCUACAAGUCGCUGUACGUUUCAAAAAUUAGGAAUUUAGUCCAUAUACUUCUAUAUCAUUGAUUUUAGUUCCUCUACUUUUUAGAUUUCAAAAUUCAUUUAAGUCCAAUUGUUAACAUUUUUUUUUUGGUGACAUUUUUGAAAUAAAAAUACUCAAUUGAUACCCAUGUAAUAAAAAAAAAGACUUUGUAAUUAAAUUGAAUUUAACAAAAUAAUAAUAAUGUUAACAAUUAAACCUAAAUUUUAAAAUAGGGAUAAAUUUUAAAAUUAUACAUGAACUUUGAUUUAAUGUGUAAUUGUAUAAAGAAACUUUAAUUUGGUGCAAUUAUACAUGUGAAACUCUAAUUGUGGUUCAAAUAUAUACUUGAAACUUUAAUUUUGAUUAAUCGUACAUAUUUAAAAAAAUAAUACAUCAAUUUAUUUUUAUUUGGGAAAAAUAUAUUUAUUUAUGUAUGCAAUAUAUAAAUAUAAAAUGAUGUUAUAUCAAUAAUUGUGUUAAUUAUUUACAAAAAUUGGAUCAAAUCAAAAUUUUAUAUAUAAAAUUAUACAAAAUCAAAAUUUAUAUAUAUAAUUAUAUAUUAAACCAUAAUUCAUAUAUAAUUUUAAAAUUUAUCCCUUUAAAAUAUGAAAAGUAUAAAAAUAAAUUCCUUCAAUUAAGAGUACAAGGUUCAUAUUCUCAAUUUUCAAAAAGUAUAGGUACUUGUGCCACAUUUUAACCUAUAUAAAUAGGAUCGGCGGAUUUAGACCAACGGAGUGAAAGAUCGAAAUUGGCAGAAGAUGAAGGUUUCCGUCAAAACUCUCAAAGGCACUCACUUCGAUAUCGAAGUCAAACCCGAAGAUGCGGUUCGCUUCUCUCUCCCUCUUUUUCCAGGGCUUUUACGUUUCUUGACUAGGGUUUUCCGUUUUCCCCUGCAUUUGAACAUUAAUUCGCGUUCAUCUAGGACUGUAUUAGUUGGACUUAUUAUGCACGUAGUUGAAUUACCAUGCUUGACAUGUGAAAUCGGAGAUCGUGAAUGAUUUGUUCAAUUUUAGUGUCUAAUUCAUUGAAUAUGUUUAUUUAGCUUGUGAAUAGUCUAGCUACUUCGAUUAAGUUUUAGUGGACUGAUACUCGUGUAGCUUGAACGGCGGUAUCCUUUUCUUCUGGCGACAAUUAGCAAUUAAGUACUUCCUACGUAAUGCUUUUUACCAGUUCAUUGAAAUUAGUGAAUAAUACUUUGAUUUCUGGGCUUCAUUUUUGUCUUAGUAUUUCAUUAACUUGUAUCAUUGAAUAUUGAUGCAUAGAUUGCCAUGUAAUUUCUAGUUGUAGUUUGCUAGAUUUAGGUUUGAAUUUGAGUAUACACAAGCUUUGAUCAUUGCCAUAAGCAUCUCAUAUUUUGCAAUGCUCUUUCACUUCUUUUUAAUUAGUGUGGUUAUGAACACUGGAUUAAAUGUACAGAGGCUUCUUUUAAUAGAUCUUCUAUAACCAAGGAUCAAGUUCUGCAUUCUAUGGUUACAUCUAAUCAAGGGUUGUGUUUUUUAAUGAUGUGGAUUUUCUAACUAUAUAAAUAAGCUAUUAUUAUUUUUAUUGUUUUUUGCUACUUUUUAUGCUUUUAAGGUUUAUAUAUACAUAUAUACAUACAUAUAUAUAUGCAUGUAUACAUACAUAUAUAUAUGCAUGUAUACAUACAUAUAUAAGCACAGACAUGAAAGUCUUGGGAUAAAAUGCAUUCUGCCUUCUGCCUUUUUCAUUUCUUUGUCACUUGUUAUUAUACAAUUCCGCUGCUAAUGCUUGUCAAUUCUUUCAGGUUGCGGAUGUAAAAAAGAACAUAGAAACUGUUCAAGGGACUGAUGUUUAUCCUGCUUCACAACAAAUGCUUAUCUAUAAGGGAAAAGUUCUUAAAGAUGACACGACACUGGCUGAAAACAGUGUCACUGAAAAUAGCUUUAUUGUGAUCAUGUUGACAAAGGUGAGAUUGUUUACAAUAUUCUGAUUUUUAUGUUUGUAAUAUUUCAUCUAACUUGUUCGAACUUUUCUGACCAAAGUAUGCUGACUUUGUCCUAAUAAAUGCCCAACUGACAUCAUUAUUUUUCACACUGCUGUUGAACUUGAAAGUUAUCUUAGUUAUAACUGAUGACGGAGUGUUGUAUCCUUAUAAUUUUCUUUUGAAAUCUGGUUGUUUCUUUCCUGUAGGUGCAUCUUAUAAAUCAAUUUGUUGCUAAACUAGAAAAUUUUCUUUGUGCUACUUUUUGACCUUUUACCUACUUGUAUUUGUAUCUGAAUUUAUUUUUCAUGACUGUCAUUUUCAUACUAAUAUUGUCCUUUUUGCUUAAAUAAACUAGAAUAAGGGUACAACUGGUGAGGGUUCAGCUGCUUCAACAGCUCCUACAAAGAAAGUAAGAUUGUUGUUACCUCUCUUACUACUACUUGCAUGCAUAAUUGGUUGUAAGCAAUGAUUGUCACUGUACCUUUUGAGCCACAUUUCUUGAGACAUUUUGCAAUAAAUAUGACAUGAAAAGUGUUGGGAUUCUGUUUUUUCCAUGAUGGUAGAUGUUCUUUAUUUCAAUGCUAUGAACUAGAACUUGAAGUGAUAGUCAAGCAUCUUGAACAAAUAUAAUUUGUAAACGAGUAGAUCAUCAAAAAAGUUAUAUACAGCAAAUAGAAUGCUUUUAAGAUUUUGGGUUUUUAGAUAUGGCCCAGGUUUGAGUUGUUUUGUGUCCAACUGCUUUCUAUGUUACACUAUUGAGCCAUAAACAUAUUGCAUAAUUUGGAGUUUGAGUUGGUGUUAUUACCAAAUUCAACCGCCUUAAAUGUUUAUGAGUUAGUUACACGAUCUCUUAUCCAUGUUUCUCAAUUUCACAAUUGUUUUCCCUUUCUCCUUUCCAGUAGCAUAUCAAUAUGAAAGAAUAUUGACUCCUUCUUAGAACUAUUUAGCUUGAGCUAUUAACUCUCACAAUCAUUAUGCAAAUUCUGAUUUGAUCUUCAAAUUUCUUUUUGAGUAUGAAUAUAAAUUUCUGUUUUCCCCCCACUAUACAAUCUUUAGGGUAUGUUGCUUCUGAAAACUUAGCCUGUAUCCAAAGAUUAUUGUGGAGUGAGUAGUGAUUUUGGAUUCUUUGUAGGAUCCUGAGGCAAGUAAUCUGCCAACAGCUCCAGCACCAGCUUCUACUGCACCUGUUGCAACAUCAGCUAUGUAAGUCCUGCUAUUCUACACUUUUGGUCAGAUACAGCACCUUUGCAAUUGAUUAAUUGCUUAUUAUUUUUUUUCAGGGCUGCAGCUGCCGCUGAAUCUGCUCCUGUUGCUUCAAGUACUCCUCUGUGAGUAACUUAUUCUUGAUAGUAAUUUUCAUGCUUCUUAUUUGAAGGAUAGAAGCUUUUGAUUUAAUCGAAUUGCUUUUAGUAGGAGAGAUCUUGAGUUUUUCCUUGUUUUCCUUUGCAUACUUGUAAUAUCUUGAAUAAUGUCUUUGGAAACAGGUCAGAUUCUGAUGUUUAUGGCCAAGCAGCAUCUAACCUGGUUGCAGGGAGUAACUUAGAGGGAACAAUCCAACAGAUUCUUGAUAUGGGUGGAGGGACCUGGGACAGGGACACUGUUGUCCGCGC
rnacentral:lncRNA from 1 species